rnacentral:lncRNA from 1 species
UGCAAAUGCGACACCAAUUAGCUACCCUGGACUGGGAAAAAAUCGUCAAGUUCCAUGCAAAAUUGGAGGAGGUAAUUGCCUCCCACCACCAUCCAACGAUUAUGACAGAGGAUGUUCACCCCUAAAAAGAUGUCGAAUUCAUCAUACAAUGCCCAUCCUUCAUUGACCACAACUAGAAAAUGCACUUGAUUAACUUCUCCUUUUUUCUAUCAAAUUAUACGAAAAAAAAGAGCAAUUAAUAAUUUCAUAUGUUUAUUCAUUCCUUUUUAUUGUAACCCAUGAAUUCCAGAAAUAUAUACUUCAACAAUUUUUUAAGAAUUCUAAGAAAAGGUCUUAUUAAUAUUUUGUCUAAUUCAUAUAUGUUGAAUUACAUUCCUAAAAAUGUAACAUAGAAAUAGUUUUAUUGGCACAAUGAAGAAAUACUUGAGUAAACCAAUGCAAAUAUGGGAGUUGUUGUUAGGUUUAAUGAGUUUGUUGGUUAGAGGUGAUUUGAUCAUCUGGUUUCAUGCGUUGAGCGAAGGAGCUAGCAACUGAUGUGAACAUCUCAAACCUUUCAUGUCAUCUUGGGGACAGUUGGCCCAAUAACCGUCUCCAGAAGUGCAAACGUCUGGACUAAAAAUACUACCACUAAAGAGCUAAUUAAUAAAGUAGCAUGUCAAGAAGUGUACGAGUUAAAUUGUAAUAUGGAAUAAUGUUAAAACCAAACAUUUCGGGAAUGAGAAUCGUACCCAAGGGAGGUUGAAUUCAACCAAGACUAAUACUCUAUACUAGCCAAGCUAAAUAGUAGUAAUCAAAAAUUUUAUUACAAAAAACCAAAUUAAAGGCAGUUAAUCAAAAUAAAAUAAAUUAACUAAAAUUAAAGAUAAUCAAUUUUAAAAUUGAAAUUCAAUUCAAUUAAGCAGUAACAAGAUUAAUUCAUUUCAGUGUUCCAAAUGAACUUCAGGACUCGAGUUUUAUCGAGUAAGCUAUUAAUUAACUAGCUAUUACCUCUCGUCCUUUAACUAAUUAACUAAUCAACCAAUACAUGCUUAUCUCUCAAAGUUAGUUGAUUUCGAGCGGAGGAUGUUCUGAAAUCGUUCUAUUUCAUCCAUUAAUUCAUGAGCAUUCUUGUCCCUUUAUUCAUCUAUUUAUAUUACAUUCAAUAAUUUUAUUAAUUGAAUGUUUGUAUAAAUAUUGGAAUAUAUUUUGUGCUUUAUCCUUAUUUUGAAUGAUUUUAUUGUUUCGUCAAUUAAUUGAUUAAGUAAAUAAUAACCUAAUAUUGAAUUUUAUUCAAGAAUACUUAAUAUACAAGGAAGCGACACCCUAGUAGAAGAUCUAGACAGGUGAGACCGAGAGGGUAUCCUGUUGAGUAGAACUCAUACCAAGUGGUGGGAUCGAGAGAGUAUCUCUAUGCCUAGGUGAGACUGAGAGGGCAUCUUAGGUGGUAAUUAUUGGUGAAGAUGAAACUGAGAGGGUAUUAUUAACUAAGGGUAGUAAAUAGUUAAUGGAAGGUUAUUGUUGACUUAAUUAAUAAUUUGGGCUAAAAUUGAUUCUUGGCUGAAAGGACUCAUGUUGCGAAACUAGGAAUAGGACAAACGAAUAGUGAACUUCGGGAUAUUUUUUGUUUUAGGUUAAAAUAAAUAUGUAUUUUUUAAAAAAAUUAUAUUCUAAAUGCAUAAUUUCCACAAGCAUAUGUACAUGAUAGAACUUCUAAUAAUAAACAAAAUAGAAGAAGUAAUAAAAAUUAAAUUUAGCAUAAAGGAAAUAAUAAUAGUAAACUUUUAAAACUAAAAUCCAAAUUGAACCCAGACAAAGUAGGAUUGCCACAUAUGUAACACCCCUUACUCGUAUCCAAGGCCGGGAUAAGGUAUGAGGCGUUACCGUACUUAAACAUAUGCUCACAUGCAAAAUCAGCCACUAAAUUUCUUUCAAUUUAAAAUUAUUCAUACACAUGAAUAAUGUCCCUUACACAGGUCUUCGAGGCCCCAAACAUGCAUUGAAAGUAGUUAGGGACUAAACCAAGAACCUUAGAAGGUUUUGGGAAAACUUAAAAAAAUUUUCCAUGAAACAGGGUCACACGCCCAUGAGCCCUUGACAUGCCCGUGCACUCAGGCCAUGUAACUCUCUGUUUAUGUCGUCAGCAAAACAAAUUGAACCAUACGGCCAAGCCACACGCCCAUGUGCUAGGCCGUGUGAUGGAUUAUAUUCUCGUAAAAAUGAUACAGACUUCACACGCACUAGACACAUGCCCAUGUCUCUAGGCCAUGUCCUCCACAUGGCUGAGACGUACGACCAUGUCUCUACCCGUGUGGUCGCCGCUUAGGGUAUUUUCCAAGCCUUUUGUUACCCUUAAUCCCUCACAUACUUAAACACACAUAGGUACAUAAUAUAACAUCAAUUUAAUGAUUAAACAUCCUCCAUUAAGACUCAAUUAUAGCAUGUGCAUAUCGCCAUACGUGUGUUUCACAUACUCAUAUUAUACCAAGUCUAAACUCAUCAUUUCAGAUUCAUUUGAUGACAUACUUGUCUAAGACAUUCUACACCAAUUUCAUAUUCAAUGCAUUAUUGGUUUUUGCCAUAUCACACUUUUACUCCAAAAUUAUGACCACUUUGAUUUGGUCAUAAGGAAUUUAUCAAGUAUACAUACUAAAACACUAUCCAAUUAUAGUAAGCAAGCAUAAUCACAUAACCACAUCACAGGGCAUUAACAUAUAGCAUGGAUAACUAGGCUUACAACCGUAACCAAUAUAAGCCACAUCUCAUGGCUAUACCCAAUGAAUCAAUAUAAGCCAACAUCUUUGGCCAAAUCAUAAAAACUCAUAUCAUAACAUUUAAGCCUCUAUACAUGCCACUCACUCAAAAACACUUAAGGUUUAUCAAUACCCUAAAGGUGGUAGCUUGAUAGUUUAAUGCGGCCUCCGACUAUAACAUCCCGAAUUAGGUCCUAGUUUGAAAAGCGAUUUCGGGACCACAAGUCUGACACAAUAAAAUUUGUUUUUAUUAUAUUUUUAUGGUCUAAGAUUUCAUGGGAUGAUCUCGUGAAAAUUUCAUUAAAAAAUUUUGACGUUUGGGCACUCAAUUUUGUCAAAAGGACUAAAUUGUAAAAAGUACAAAAGUUGAUUUCUACAUGUUAGAGGUGUCUAAUUGUCAUGAAAUUUUAAAUUGGAGGCCCUUAAAUUGUAAUUAGACCAUUGGAUAAUUUGUUGGACAAAAAUGGACAUGAAAUGUGUAACACCCCAAACCCGGCCCAGACGUUAUGGCCAGAUCUGACGUGUCACAUGGACUUACGACUUAGUAUGCAUUCGCUGGUUUAAGUGACUGGGGUGGUCUUUGUAAAAACAGUGGUUGAAUGAAAAUCCGGUUUAUCAACCUUUAGGCUAUCCAUUUGUUGUGCUUGUUGAGUCUUGAAAACGUUCAUUAAUUUUGAAAACUCGCGCAGCCUAACACUAGCAGUUUCGUCAUAGUAUAAAUAUAAUCAGAAAAUAAAACCAUAGCGGAAAAAAAGAAAUUUAAAUAGCGGCCUUAUUAUAACUUAAAACCCAAAAUUAAAUCAGAAUAUAAAAAUAAUAAAAAUAAAUUGACUUAGAAAAACCAACUUUGCAGAUGAUGUGGCCACUCCGAAUCCCUCACAGCUCCAAGCCCACUAUGGUUGAGGAUUUCCUGUAGAGAUGAAAAUAAAGGUUGAGUUCGGUAAACUCAGUGUCUAACAUAACCUAACCAUAGCCCAAAACAGAUCAAACCUCAGAGUCAGACUUAUCUGGGCCUUGGCCCAGUACAGAAAUCAGAAUGAAACCCAUAGGCCCAUAGCAGAUACAGAACAAAUGUAAUAGCCCAAAAUUGACCCUAGUCGGGGAGUGGUUUCGGGACCACAAAACCGAGUCAUAAAAAUAAUUAAUUUCCAUAUUCUAUGCUUAUUAUGUGUGUACAUGAGUAUGUGGAAGUUUCAUUCUCCAAUUUUGCCAAUUGCAUGAGAAAUUAUUAAAUAGGGAUCGAUAUGAGACAUGGUGAAAAUAUGAUAGGCUAAUUUAAAAUGGUCUAUUAAUGCAUGUUAUGAAAAUGAUGGGUUUGCAUGUCAAUUUACCCAAAAUUUGAGCUAGUGGUUGGCCAUGCUAUGGGUGGAAACAUGUUGGGAACAUGUUGGCUUAGUGAGGUAUGUUAGAAAAAAAUAAAAUAAGGAGUAUGGGUAAUAAAGAAAUGAAAACAAAAAAAAUGAGUGGUUGUUUCCCCCCCCAUUGCCGUGAGCUAAAGAAAGGAAAAGAAAAAUUUUGUUCAUCCUUUUUCAUCCUCUUUUGACCGAAAAUUCUAAGGAAGGAGGAAGGAGUUAUUGCUUCAUGUUUGGUUUGGAAGAGGAUUAGGAGGAAGUUUGGCCAUGCAUGUAACUAGAUUGAGGUAUGUUUGAUAUUAUUCUUUGAGAUUCAUGUAUAUUUUAAGUUGUAAGUUUGAAAUCUACCUAGCCAUGGUUCAAACUUUGUUAAAUGAUGGAGAUGAUAUUCGGCCAUGAAUGUUACAUUCUUGGUUGGUAUUUUGAUGUCUUUGGUGAUGAGGUAUGGAGAUGGUUGACUUUGAGUGUUUGAACUAACUAAGGAUCAAAUAGAUGCAUGGGUACAAAGUAGGAAGAAUCGGCUACUAUGGUUGAUACUAAUGCCGAAUGUGAAAAUGUUAUAUUAAGUAAUGUAUGUGAAUUGUGUUAAUAAUAUGAAAAAAAUAUUUAGAUGUAUUAUAAUUGAUAAAGUAUUAAAUCAAAAGUUGCUAAAAUUGCCAUUUCUUUAGCCGAAUAUGUGUUUGAUCAAUGAAGAAUUUGUUGAAGAAUAUAGGUGAACUUGGUAAGAGUACUCAGCUUAGUGUAUAAAUGAUAUAAAGAUUUUAGAAAUUAUUUUUGGUUAGGUGUAUGUAUGAUUAGGUAUAUUCGGCCAUAUGAGUAAAUAUAUAGAUGAUGUUAACUUUGAUUAUGUAUAAUGGGCCAUAUAGGGUACACAUUGUGAUAUUAACUUUGAUUCUCUAUAAUUGAUCAAGUGGGUGAUUAGUAAGGGUGAUUGCCGAAUAUACUAACAUACAUAUGCAUGUGUAAUUAGAUUGUAAAUAUUUAGCAAGGCGGUUAAACUAGUUGAUUUAUUGAUUAAGCUCAAGGAGUUAAAUGAGGAGAAUCGAGCAAAGGCAAAGAAAAGAUCAUCGAGUAGCCGAGUUGGAACCGUCUUACCCAACACAGGUAAGUCAUUAAGCAUAUCUUUGGUAUUGAUUUAAAUGAUCGUAAUACCUAUACCAUUGUGUUUAAUGAGAUGAAAUGUAUACAAAUGUAUAUGUAAGUAGAGAUGAAAUUUGUCGAAUGUAAAAAGGAAGUGAAGCCUAUAGAGUGGCUGGUUUUCGGCACUAAGUGUGCGGGCAAUAAGUGUUCACGGUCAUGAGAUUGGCACUAAGUGUGCGGGUUUAAAUUGUACAGCACUAAGUGUGCGAGUUUAAAGUACAUGGCACUAAGUGUGCGCGGUUGAUUAUUAAGCACUAUGUGUGCGAACCCAAUAUAUAUUUUCUAUAAAUUAUUUACAUUAAGGGUGCGACUUUACCGAGUCGAUUUUGGACAGCGGAAAAGGUAAGUGUGCGAACUUGAAAUGCAUGGCACUAAGUGUGUGAGUUUAAAGUGCAUGGCACUAAGUGUGCGUGGUUGAUUACUAAACAUUAUGUGUGCAACCCAGUAUAUAUUUUCUAUAAAUUAUUUACAUGAAGGGUGCGACUUUACCGAGUCAAUUUUGGACAGCGGAAAAGGUAAGUACCUUGAGUUCAUGGCUAAUAGGCGCUAUGUUUAUAUUUGGAGUUGAGCUUGGUAAGUUUUGAACCUAUGUGACGAUUAUAGUUGAAGUCACGUACAUAAGGUUCAUUGUGGAAUAGGUGAAAGUUCGUUUAAUUGUAUGAUUAUAACGAAAAUAAAAUGAUGUAUGAAAGGCCAAUGUAGGACUUGGUAUGAGAUUGAACCAUAGGGUUUAAGGAACUAUGGUAUAGUUUGGUAUGGAUGGAGUACUUAACCUCAUUUCAUUGUUUCCUGUUGUGAUAAUUUUAUUAAUGGAUGGUUGUGGAAUGCUUAUGGCUUACUGAGUUAUAUACUCAUUCGGUGUUUGCUUGUCACCUAUUCUAGGUUUCUUGGACUCGUCUCUUUUUGCGUGAUCGUGCCGUCGUCGAAGUCAUCACACCGGCUAGCAACCUUUGGUAUUUUCUUCUUAGUUGGUCUAAGAGAACAUUUCGGCAUGUAUAGGCUAAUAUGUUUUGUUGAAAUUUGGUAUGUAAACUUUUAGCCAUGCGAAAAUGGCAUAAUGUUCGGUUGAAUUUGGUUCUAAUGUUGGGACGUAAGUCUUGGUAAUACGAUUUUUAUGCCAUAUGUCAUGGCUGAUUAAUUUUGGUGUUAAGAUUCAUGAUAUGGCAAUAGCGUAGUAGGGAGAUGUUUGACAAUGAUUAGCCUUUGGUAUGGCUAGUCAUGAUUAUAAUUUUGUGAUAUGUAUGAUGAAUUACUAGUUAGAUCAAUGAGAAAUCACGAAAUGGACAUAGUUGCUUCAGUAACAGAUGCUGGCAGCAGCAGUGACGUGUGAUUGAAAAAUUACAAAAAUUAGUAGGAAUGGAAUUAAAUAGUGAAUAAAUUAUGUAAUCGAAUCUCGAUGAGUCUAUUUUCAUAUAGAAGUAACAAAACAAUCAUAUUGACAGUAUGUUAAGAGAUAUUCAGGUUCUCGUGAGACAGGGCCAGAACGGUUUCUGGGUUCCCUGUUCCGACUUUGGAAAUUCAUUAUAAAUUAACCAGAGAUAAUUAGGAGCCAUGACAUAUAUGUAUAGAUUCCCCUCUGAGUCUAGUUUCUAUAGAAACAAACGGCAUUAGUAUUGAAGCUCUGUACAGGGAGAUAUCCAGGUCGUAAUGCGCAAAGGUCAGUGUAGUCGACCCCAGUAACAUGGGAGACUUUGACUAAUAAACUGUACUAAUUGGCCCAACAAAAAAUUCUAGAAAAAAAUAUGUAGAUGGGCAUAUGAGUUUAGUUUCAGGGAAAAUUCACGGAACUCGAUUUCGAGUUCCAGAGCUCAGGAUAUGAUUUUUAAAGCAACUAGUACGCAGAUUGGCAGCUUGUCUGGAAAAAUUUUAAUAAGUGGUUUGAAGUCUGUUAACACCUCGUGUUCGACUCCGGCGACGGUCUCGGGUUAGGGGUGUUACAUUUGAUUGGUAUCAGAGCUAUGGUUUAGUCGGUUCUAGGACUACCGUAGCACGUAUGAGUCUAGCUAUACAUGCCGAAUGUUAAUGUUUAAAUGUGUGAUGACUUCUGACGGUUAAAAAUUUAUGUUUUGAUUAGUAAAUGGAUCCCGGUGUAGAGAGAACCUUGGCGGAUGACAUUGAAAAUGUAGCGGCUGCUCCUGCACAAGGGACACCGCCUGUGGAACCUCAGUCAUCUGUGAAUAAUCAAGGUGAGGGGGCUAAACAAGCCUUCUUUACCAUGAUGAAUGAGUGGGUCACGCAAUAUGCCCGAACCAAUCCGGCCGUCCAACAAUUCCCGAAUUUGAAUAAUCCACCCCAAGAGCCCGUAAUGCCAUCAGUCGCUGAUCCUGUGAGGCUGAGUAAGCCACCUGUAGACUUGAUUAGGAAGCGUGGGGCCGAGGAGUUUAGGGCCAUAGUUACUGAUGAUGCUGAAAAGGCCGAGUUCUGGCUUGAUAACACCAUUCGGGUGUUUGAUGAACUGUCAUGCACGCCUGAUGAAUGUCUAAAGUGUGCUAUAUCCUUGUUGCGGGACUCAGCCUACUAUUGGUGGAGGACCCUGAUUUCUAUAGUCCCAAACGAACGAGUAACUUGGGACUUCUUUCAGACGGAAUUUCGAAAGAAAUAUAUUAGUCAACGGUUCAUUGAUCAAAAGCGUAAGGAAUUCUUGGAACUCAAGCAAGGCCGUAUGACAGUAUCUGAAUACGAACAUGAAUUCGUAAGACUCAGUAGGUAUGCCCGGGAGUGUGUAGCUGAUGAGGUUGCUAUGUGCAAAAGAUUCGAAGAAGGAUUGAAUGAAAAUUUAAAGCUACUAGUGGGUAUUUUGGAGAUAAAAGAAUUCGUAACACUAGUCGAACGAGCCUGCAAGGCGGAAGAACUUGGAAAGGAGAAGAAGAAGGCUGAAUUUGAAGCUAGAGACUAUCGUAAAAGAUCGACGGGUAAAGCUCCGUUCUCAGCUGUAAAGAAGUUCAGGGAGGACACUAAUAAGUCGAGGACGACUGCAGGAAUUUCCAUCAGAGCACGACCAUCGACGGACUCCCGAGCUACUUCGGUAGCUAGUGUGGGCAAUAAUCGUCAAGAGAAACCUGAAUGUCCCCAAUGCGGGAGACGACACCUAGGUGAAUGUUGGGGUAAGUCUACUAACAGGGCCUGUUACGGAUGCGGUUCGAAGGACCACUUCAUUAGAGAUUGCACGGAGCUUGAGGAGAAGAAUAAGAUUCAAGGUGCAAGACCUAGUGGAGUGACAACUAGAGGUGGUCCACCGAGAAUUUUAGGAGGUAGGGGUGGUAGUCAGAGAGGGGCCUCUGAUACGGCUAUUCGAGCUGAGAACCGUACUCCUGCUAGAGCAUAUGCCAUUCGCGCACGAGAGGAGGCAUCCUCCGCCGACGUCAUCACUGGUACCUUCACUCUCUUUGAUACUAAUGUGAUUGCAUUGAUUGACCCUGGCUCUACUCAUUCAUAUGUAUGCGAAACCUUAGCAUCCAGUAAGACUCUACCUGUUGAGUCUACUGAGUUCGUAAUUCGAGUGUCAAACCCUUUGGGUCAAUGCGUACUUGUUGAUAAAGUGUGUAAGAGAUGCCCUCUAAUAAUCCGAGAAUCCUGUUUUCCGGCCGAUUUGAUGCUUUUGCCGUUUGACGAAUUUGAUGUUAUUCUUGGUUUGGAUUGGUUGACCGCGCAUGAUGCGGUUGUGAAUUGCAAAAGCAAGACUAUUGAUUUGAGGUGCGCAAAUAACGAGAUAAUCCAAGUUGAGUCUACGGACUUAACGGGGUUGCCAGCUGUAAUAUCAGCAAUGUUGGCCCAGAAAUAUGUAAGAAAAGGGUGCGAAGCAUACCUUGCGUAUGUACUUGAUGAGAAAGAAUUAGAAAAGAAACCCGAAUCUGUGCCGGUGGUUUGUGAAUACCUGGAUGUUUUUCCUGAAGAGUUACCGGGUUUGCCACCUGUUCGGGAGGUAGAGUUUCGUAUUGAGCUUGUACCUGGAACUACGCCAAUUUCGAUAGCUCCGUAUCGUAUGGCACCAACCGAGUUAAAGGAAUUGAAAGCUCAAUUGCAAGAGUUGACGGAUAGAGGUUUCGCUCGACCAAGUUUCUCACCUUGGGGUGCACCAGUAUUGUUCGUGAAAAAGAAGGAUGGAACCAUGAGGUUGUGCAUUGACUAUCGUCAACUGAAUAAAGUGACGAUAAAGAAUAAAUAUCCAUUACCGCGUAUUGAUGAUUUGUUUGAUCAACUAAAGGGAGCCUCAGUGUUUUCAAAGAUAGAUUUGAGAUCGGGUUAUUAUUAGUUGCGGAUUCGAGAUUCGGACGUACCCAAAACUGCUUUAAGAACGAGGUACGGUCACUACGAGUUCUUAGUGAUGCCGUUCGGGCUCACUAAUGCCCCUGCGGUAUUUAUGGAUUUGAUGAAUCGGAUCUUCAGACAGUAUUUGGACCGGUUCGUAGUUGUGUUCAUUGAUGACAUCUUAGUCUAUUCAGGAGGUGAGACCGAACAUGCUGAGCACCUGAGAUUAGUGUUGCAAAUUUUGCGGGAUAAGAAGUUAUAUGCUAAGUUCAGUAAGUGUGAGUUCUGGUUAAGAGAGGUUAGCUUCUUGGGUCAUGUGGUAUCCGCAUCGGGUAUUCGAGUUGACCCGAGCAAAAUUUUAGCCAUACUUAACUGGAAGCCUCCAAGAAAUAUUACCGAAGUUCGGAGCUUCCUGGGGCUCGCCGAUUAUUACCGACGAUUUGUAAAAGGUUUCUCGAUGAUAGCCACACCAAUGACGAAGCUACUUCAAAAGGAUGUUAAGUUCGAAUGGACGGAGAAAUGUCAGAAAAGCUUCGAUCAACUGAAAACUUGUUUGACUGAAGCUCCAAUUUUAGUGCAACCCGAAUCAGGCAAAGAGUUUGUCAUUUAUAGUGACGCAUCCCUACUCGGGUUGGGUUGCGUAUUGAUGCAAGAAGGUCGAGUUGUGGCCUAUGCGUCGAGACAAUUGAAGCCACACGAGAGAAAUUAUCCAACCCAUGAUCUCGAGCUAGCCGCCAUCGUAUUUGCUUUGAAAAUAUGGCGACAUUAUUUGUUUGGCGAAAAGUGCCAUGUAUUUUCGGAUCACAAAAGUCUCAAAUAUUUGAUGACUCAAAGAGACUUAAAUCUGCGACAAAGACGUUGGCUUGAGUUGUUGAAAGAUUACGAGCUUGUCAUUGAUUACCACCCGGGAAAGGCUAAUGUGGUUGCGGACGCCUUAAGUCGGAAAUUGCUGUUUGCUUUACGAGCGAUGAAUGUGCACUUGUCUGUUCUACCCGACAAUGUGUUAGUAGCUGAAUUAAAGGCCAAACCAUCAUUGAUUCAUCAAAUUCGUGAAGCUCAGAAAGUCGACGAUGAAUUGGUUGCAAAACGGGCUGAAUGUAUUCCGAAUAUGGAAUCCGAAUUUCAAAUUGAUGAUGAUGAUUGUUUGAGGUUCAGAAGUCAGUUGUGUGUUCCAAGAAAUUCAGAACUCAUUUCGAUGAUUCUGAACGAAGCUCAUUGUAGCCGAAUGUCAAUUCACCCGGGGAGCACGAAAAUGUACAACGAUUUGAAACGUCAGUUUCGGUGGCAUGGUAUGAAACGAGACAUCUCCGACUUUGUUUCGAGAUGUUUAAUAUGUCAACAAGUGAAAGCGGAACAUCAAGUGCCUUCAGGAUUACUUCAGCCGAUCAUGAUACCCGAGUGGAAAUGGGAUCGAGUCACAAUGGACUUUGUGUCCGGACUGCCAUUGUCAGCAAGUAAGAAGGAUGCGAUUUGGGUUGUUGUUGAUAGACUGACUAAGUCGGCUCACUUUAUCCCCGUGCGUACGGAUUUUUCAUUGGAUAAACUAGCCGAAUUGUAUGUUUCUGAGAUUGUGAGAUUACAUGGAGUACCUAUUUCUAUCGUGUCGGAUAGAGAUCCGAGAUUCACCUCACGAUUUUGGAAGAAAUUGCAAGAAGCUUUGGGUACCAAGCUUCAUUUUAGCACCGCUUUUCAUCCCCAAACCGAUGGUCAAUCCGAACGGAUAAUUCAGGUACUCGAGGAUAUGCUGAGAUGCUGCAUCCUUGAGUUUAGUGGUUCAUGGGAACGGUAUUUACCUUUGAUUGAAUUCGCUUACAACAAUAGUUUUCAAUCAAGUACUAAGAUGGCACCUUACGAGGCUUUGUACGGUCGUAAAUGCCGUACACCAUUGUUUUGGACCGAGCUCGGUGAAAGUAAAAUUUUCGGAGUUGAUUUGAUUAAAGAUGCCGAACAGCAAGUAAAGGUAAUCCGUGAAAGUCUGAAGGCAGCCACAGAUCGUCAGAAAUCGUAUGCGGACUUGAAACAAAAGGACAUUGAAUAUCAGGUGGGAGAUAAAGUGUUCCUUAAAGUUUCGCCUUGGAAAAAGGUACUCAGGUUUGGCCGUAAGGGCAAGUUGAGCCCGAGAUUCAUUGGGCCGUACGAAAUCUCCGAACGAGUUGGUCUGGUUGCGUAUAGAUUGAUUUUGCCCCCUGAGCUUGAAAAGAUUCACGACGUCUUUCAUGUUUCGAUGUUUCGACGCUAUUGAUCUGAUCCAUCGCACAUAAUUAGCCUAUUAGAGGUUGAAAUUCAAGCCGAUAUGAGUUAUGAAGAAGAACCGAUGCGUAUCCUAGCUCGUGAAGUGAAGGAGUUGCGAAACAAAAGGGUUCCGUUAGUGAAGGUGUUAUGGCUCAAACACGGGAUCGAGGAAGCUACUUGGGAAACCGAGAGCUCGAUGAAGGAACGAUACCCAAACCUAUUUACCGGUAAGAUUUUCGGGGACGAAAAUUCUUAAGUGGGGGAGAGUUGUAACAGCCCAAAAUUGACCCUAGUCGGGGAGUGGUUUCGGGACCACAAAACCGAGUCAUAAAAAUGAUGGGUUUGCAUGUCAAAUUAUUAAAUAGGGAUCGAUAUGAGACAUGGUGAAAAUAUGAUAGGCUAAUUUAAAAUGGUUUAUUAAUGCAUGUUAUGAAAAUGAUGGGUUUGCAUGUCAAAUUACCCAAAAUUUGAGCUAGUGGUUGGCCAUGCUAUGGGUGGAAACAUGUUGGGAACAUGUUGGCUUAGUGAGGUAUGUUAGAAAAAAAUAAAAUAAGGAGUAUGGGUAAUAAAGAAAUGAAAACAAAAAAAAUGAGUGGUUGUUCCCCCCCCCAUUGCCGUGAGCUAAAGAAAGGAAAAGGAAAAUUUUGUUCAUCCUUUUUCAUCCUCUUUUGACCGAAAAUUCUAAGGAAGGAGGAAGGAGUUCUUGCUUCAUGUUUGGUUUGGAAGAGGAUUAGGAGGAAGUUUGGCCAUGCAUGUAACUAGAUUGAGGUAUGUUUGAUAUUAUUCUUUGAGAUUCAUGUAUAUUUUAAGUUGUAAGUUUGAAAUCUACCUAGCCAUGGUUCAAACUUUGUUAAAUGAUGGAGAUGAUAUUCGGCCAUGAAUGUUACAUUCUUGGUUGGUAUUUUGAUGUCUUUGGUGAUGAGGUAUGGAGAUGGUUGACUUUGAGUGUUUGAACUAACUAAGGAUCAAAUAGAUGCAUGGGUACAAAGUAGGAAGAAUCGGCUACUAUGGUUGAUACUAAUGCCGAAUGUGAAAAUGUUAUAUUAAGUAAUGUAUGUGAAUUGUGUUAAUAAUAUGAAAAAAAUAUUUAGAUGUAUUAUACUUGAUAAAGUAUUAAAUCAAAAGUUGCUAAAAUUGCCAUUUCUUUAGCCGAAUAUGUGUUUGAUCAAUGAAGAAUUUGUUGAAGAAUAUAGGUGAACUUGGUAAGAGUACUCGGCUUAGUGUAUAAAUGAUAUAAAGAUUUUAGAAAUUAUUUUUGGUUAGGUGUAUGUAUGAUUAGGUAUAUUCGGCCAUAUGAGUAAAUAUAUAGAUGAUGUUAACUUUGAUUAUGUAUAAUGGGCCAUAUAGGGUACACAUUGUGAUAUUAACUUUGAUUCUCUAUAAUUGAUCAAGUGGGUGAUUAGUAAGGGUGAUUGCCGAAUAUACUAACAUACAUAUGCAUGUGUAAUUAGAUUGUAAAUAUUUAGCAAGGCGGUUAAACUAGUUGAUUUAUUGAUUAAGCUCAAGGAGUUAAAGGAGGAGAAUCGAGCAAAGGCAAAGAAAAGAUCAUCGAGUAGCCGAGUUGGAACCGUCUUACCCAACACAGGUAAGUCAUUAAGCAUAUCUUUGGUAUUGAUUUAAAUGAUCGUAAUACCUAUACCAUUGUGUUUAAUGAGAUGAAAUGUAUACAAAUGUAUAUGUAAGUAGAGAUGAAAUUUGUCGAAUGUAAAAAGGAAGUGAAGCCUAUAGAGUGGCUGGUUUUCGGCACUAAGUAUGCGGGCAAUAAGUGUUCACGGUCAUGAGAUUGGCACUAAGUGUGCGGGUUUAAAUUGUACAGCACUAAGUGUGCGAGUUUAAAGUACAUGGCACUAAGUGUGCGCGGUUGAUUAUUAAGCACUAUGUGUGCGAACCCAAUAUAUAUUUUCUAUAAAUUAUUUACAUUAAGGGUGCGACUUUACCGAGUCGAUUUUGGACAGCGGAAAAGGUAAGUGUGCGAACUUGAAAUGCAUGGCACUAAGUGUGUGAGUUUAAAGUGCAUGGCACUAAGUGUGCGUGGUUGAUUACUAAACAUUAUGUGUGCAACCCAGUAUAUAUUUUCUAUAAAUUAUUUACAUGAAGGGUGCGACUUUACCGAGUCAAUUUUGGACAGCGGAAAAGGUAAGUACCUUGAGUUCAUGGCUAAUAGGCGCUAUGUUUAUAUUUGGAGUUGAGCUUGGUAAGUUUUGAACCUAUGUGACGAUUAUAGUUGAAGUCACGUACAUAAGGUUCAUUGUGGAAUAGGUGAAAGUUCGUUUAAUUGUAUGAUUAUAACGAAAAUAAAAUGAUGUAUGAAAGGCCAAUGUAGGACUUGGUAUGAGAUUGAACCAUAGGGUUUAAGGAACUAUGGUAUAGUUUGGUAUGGAUGGAGUACUUAACCUCAUUUCAUUGUUUCCUGUUGUGAUAAUUUUAUUAAUGGAUGGUUGUGGAAUGCUUAUGGCUUACUGAGUUAUAUACUCAUUCGGUGUUUGCUUGUCACCUAUUCUAGGUUUCUUGGACUCGUCUCUUUUUGCGUGAUCGUGCCGUCGUCGAAGUCAUCACACCGGCUAGCAACCUUUGGUAUUUUCUUCUUAGUUGGUCUAAGAGAACAUUUCGGCAUGUAUAGGCUAAUAUGUUUUGUUGAAAUUUGGUAUGUAAACUUUUAGCCAUGCGAAAAUGGCAUAAUGUUCGGUUGAAUUUGGUUCUAAUGUUGGGACGUAAGUCUUGGUAAUACGAUUUUUAUGCCAUAUGUCAUGGCUGAUUAAUUUUGGUGUUAAGAUUCAUGAUAUGGCAAUAGCGUAGUAGGGAGAUGUUUGACAAUGAUUAGCCUUUGGUAUGGCUAGUCAUGAUUAUAAUUUUGUGAUAUGUAUGAUGAAUUACUAGUUAGAUCAAUGAGAAAUCACGAAAUGGACAUAGUUGCUUCAGUAACAGAUGCUGGCAGCAGCAGUGACGUGGGAUUGAAAAAUUACAAAAAUUAGUAGGAAUGGAAUUAAAUAGUGAAUAAAUUAUGUAAUCGAAGCUCGAUGAGUCUAUUUUCAGAUAGAAGUAACAAAACAAUCAUAUGGACAGUAUGUUAAGAGAUAUUCAGGUUCUCGUGAUACAGGGCCAGAACGGUUUCUGGGUUCCCUGUUCCGAAUUUGGAAAUUCAUUAUAAAUUAACCAGAGAUAAUUAGGAGCCAUGACAUAUAUGUAUAGAUUCCUCUCUGAGUCUAGUUUCUAUAGAAACAAACGGCAUUAGUAUUGAAGCUCUGUACAGGGAGAUAUCCAGGUCGUAAUGCGCAAAGGUCAGUGUAGUCGACCCCAGUAACAUGGGAGACUUUGACUAAUAAACUGUACUAAUUGGCCCAACAAAAAAUUCUAGAAAAAAAUAUGUAGAUGGGCAUAUGAGUCUUGUUUCAGGGAAAAUUCACGGAACUGGAUUUUGAGUUCCAUAGCUCAAGAUAUUAUUUUUAAAGCAACUAGUACGCAGAUUGGCAGCUUGUCUGGAAAAAUUUUAAUAAGUGGUUUGAAGUCUGUUAACACCUCGUGUUCGACUCCGGCGACGGUCUCGGGUUCGGGGUGUUACAAAAAAUAUAUCAUGAAUGCAGAAAUCCUAACCCAGAGCCAUCCAUAACACCCCUGUACCAGCCUUACACCAUGUGGGGAGACUACUCGACCCACCCAACCUCUACACACCACAGAAAUUGCAGCAAGGUUGCUAGAUAUUGUGACGAAGUCACCAGAUACAGAUAUUGUGGCUAGACCACCAGAACAGAUAUAUAUAUGUGGCGAAGCCACCAGAUUGCAGCGAGGCCGCCAGAUAUUGUGACGAAGUCUCCAGAACAGAUAUAUGUGGCGAGGCCACCAGAUUGCAGCGAGGCUGCCAGAACGCUUCCUCCAUCAAUAUAAGCCCAUGUCCCAUGCAACAGAAAUAAUAUGUCAUGGCAUACGUAUACAGAAGCAAAACAUCAUGCUUUUCAGAAAAAAAUAACCCUAGGGGUAAAAUCGUAAUUUUGCAUGCAUAAGGGUAUUUCAGUAAUUUAUUACCUAUUGCUAAGGUUUCAUGCUCAUUCUAACAUUUACCAAGUAAUCAAAAGUACUUACCUCGUCUUUUUACCAAAGUGGGCCCAUUGGCCCGUUUUCGGCCCAUUAAACCCAAAAAUACCAUUGUGCACGAAAAUGCACACUCUGCACUCUAAUCAUCCAAAUGUACCAUAUUCAUUAACAACUAUCUCAUGAGCGCUCGCACGCUCGCGGGUUCACAAAAUACCAACGUUUUGGUAUUUCAGCUUUUACCGAUUCAGUCUAAGGGAGGGUGUCGUUUACACACCUGGUUGAUGACGAUAUCUCCCACGCGAUAAUCCUAAAAUCAAUCACUAACACAUUAGACUUACGAAUUAACAAUAACUAACAUAAAUCCACGUCAACUAACCCAAUCAUCACACAAGUUAGUCAUUUACGCACGAGGGGCAAAAUAGUCAUUUUACCCUCCAAGGGUAAAUCGGUAGUCUUACCCUACAGGGGUAUUUUAGUAAUUCUAAAACUUAUCCACUUGGACCUACGGACCCAUUGGGACCACAUGGCCUAUUUCAGCCCAUCGUGGCCCGAAAUAGCCGUCCUACUGCUAGAGUAAUGAGAAAUACACACCUGUUAGGAGACUACAGUUAAUCCGCGCUCCAAACACUCUUAGCUGACGCCCAACCCAAACGAGCACGUCACAAAGCGAAAGGGAUCAGCCAAGAAGGGUAUGCCUACUCUCCUCAUGGUUUGCUCUAUUUAAAGCCAGCUCUCCAUGUACUCUUAUGUUAGCUUCCCGAUGUGGGAUCCCUCCAUCACCAGAGUUUACAACCAACACCAACUCUUGCCGUCCUAACAUAGCAAAAUAAUCAACCUUUGCGUGCCAAGCGAUUCGAACCAAAGUCCUCUCACAUGCCAACUCACGCCACCACUACUAGGCCAUCAACUCUUUUGUGUCAUAAAUCCAACACAUUAAACUUUAAAGCACACCUACUUGCUUCCAGAUUUAUUGAAAAGAAAAACCAAAAUAUAUUGCAAGAGCCAAGAAUUGAACCUUGGACCCCUUACUUCCUCUAUGGCAUCACUUCCUUAUCCCCUAAGUGGCGCCACCUUGCCACUACACCACACUCCUUUUUGUGUCAUCUUUUACCCCUUUACUCUUAAAAGCCCAAAUGCCAAUUGCAUCAGCUGUUCAUAAAAUUAAAAUUCCGAAGACUACCACGGAUUUAACUUAAGUUUGGGCCUUCCAAAGGCCCACUAACCUACUAAAAUACAUAUUUAAACCAACCAGAACACACACAAAUUUUAAAAAUCACAGAAACACAGAAAACCCAAAAAUUGGGGCGUUACUAAAUGGGUGAAAUAGAAUAUUUUUAAGUUAGGGGCAUUUUGGUAAUCUUGUAAUUAAAAUGAAUUAAAAACAAAAUUAAAAGCCAAUUUUUGUCCAUCUUCUACCCCAUGGCUGAAACUUGCAUGGAGAAGACAUAUCUAUGGUUAUCAAGCUUCCAAGCUCGAUUUUAAGUCCGUUCUAGCCCCAUUUUUAUUGAUUUAUACGUUUUUGAAAUCCUCGUAACAAGAUCUACUCAUUUCUACCUAUAUUUUGAGCUAGGUUUUGUGUUUAAAAAUUUACCUAUGGAUGAAAUGCAUGCAUUUUGAUGUUUAAUGGUAGAAUAUGAAUGUUUGGUGUGUAAUAAACGACUUUUACUAAGUGAUUUUCGGUGAAAUUAUCAAAAAGUAUCGUUUUGUAAAAGUUACAAAAUUUGUCAUAAAAGUGUGAUUUAGUGGAAAUUAGGGGCUGCUACAGUUAUGAAAAUGAUUCGACUAGGCUUAAAACGCAAGGAAAUUGAAUAAAAAUCAUUUUACGAGCCUAGGGGCCAAAGUGUAAAUAUAUGAAAGUUUACGAGUCAAAAUGUAAAUUUAUAAAAGUAUGAUUUUUGGACCCAUAUGAAUAAUGUGACUAAUUAGUCAGCUAAUUGUGGUAUUAUAGAUCAAGGAAAAUGAGUUUCGGGCAUAGAUUGGAAAUGAAUGAGAUUACGGACUAAAUCAGAGUAUAUAGUCGUACUCGAACCCGAGGUAAGUUCAGGUGAUUUUAAUAAUGCAAUAUUGUAUUUGAAUGCUAAUGAUUUGAUAUUACACGACUUGUAAGUAUAUAUAUGUGAAUAAUUUGAUAUUAUGUGAUUAUUUUGAUGAUAUAACAUGUUCUUGAUGUUUUGCUAUUAUGAUGAAAAUGUUGCAAUGCCAUGUGAUAAUGAGAUAUUGCUAUGUGAAUGAAGCCACAAUUCGAGUAUGUCCGGUAAAGGUUUGGAAGUUUGACGGAAUAUGAUAUUUCUUUAAACGAGUAAGUUUGUAUAUAAAUAAUAUUUCGAUUCUUUUUAUGUUAUUAUCUUUUGUUAUUAUAUGAUAUGUGACUGCAUAUAGAAUGAUCAAUUGAUGUAAACUACGAAUCAGAAUUGACUAAGAACGAGUUAGUAAAAUGCUGAAAAGUAAAGAAUUUAUUGAUUGAACCUUCGGAAUAGAAAAGAUACGAAUAAUACGUUGUGAGAACACAUGUGUAGUACUAUGUGCAGGCUACUAUGUGUUUAAGAUGGUUAGGUCACGUGUGUAGUACUAAGUGCAGGCUACUACGUGUACUAGAUUGAUAGGUCGCAUGUGUAGUACUAAGUGCAAGCUAGUAUGUGUACCCGAAAACUUUGAUCACGUGUGUAGUACUAAGUGCAGGCUACUACAUGUACCAAAUUGAUAGAUCGCAUGUGUAGUACUAAGUGCAGGCUACUAUGCGUACCAGAAAGCUUCGGUUACAAGGGUGGUAUAUGAACAUGCCACCGGGUAUCUGUUGUUAUUCCGAUGAGUUCAAUGGUAAAUUUACUAAGUGAAAAUAUAUAUGUACAUGAAUAUAUGAUGAAUAAGUGCAAAUAUAUCUAUGUGAAAAGUUGUGAGCAAUGUGCUCGAUAGUUGACCGAAUCUUUUGGUAAGAUAGAAUGGAGUAAGUGAAAUUAUGUAAAAGUGAAAUUUUUUAAUAAAACAAUUUUGGACAGCAGCAGUUGUGUGACUUUAAAAAAUCACCAAAAAUGGUAGAAAUUGAAUUAGAGGUAUAAUAAGAUAUGAAAUUAAAGCUUAAUGAGCCUAUUUUCUCACAAAAGAAACCAUGAAGGCAAUAGAAGUUUAUAUUCUGUGAUAAUUGGAUUUUUGUGAGAUAAGCUCAGAAUGAUUUUGGAAUCCCCUGUUCUAAUUUGAGAAAAUUAUUAAAAAUUGUAAAAAAAUACUUAAAAACCUUAAUGAGUAUAUUUUUAGGAGGAAUGGAUUGAUACAACAUCCGAGAUCUGUACCAUGAGAUAAAUAAUUUUUAGUGAAGAUAGGUCAGAACUGUAGGAUAGUGAUACAGGGGUAUAUUUAAUGAAUAAAUUGUACUAAUUUGCUAAACAAAAAAUUCUUAAAAUUUUAUGGUAAUAAUAUAUGUGAGUAUAAUUUCUGGUAAAAUUAGCGGUUCUCAAUUUGGAGUCCUGUACCAUGAGAUAAAUAAUUUUUAGUGAAGAAAGGUUGGAUCUGUCGGACAGUGAAACAAGGGUAUCUUCAAUGAAUAAACUGUACUUAUUGGCUAGACCAAAAAUUCUUAAAAUUUUAUGGUAAGAAUAUAUAUGAGCCUAGUUUCAUAGUCUUUUAGCUCUGGAUAUAAAUAAAUUAGUAACUAUGACUCGAGAAAACAGCAUGACCAGAAAUUCAACAAAAGUGUAAUUAUGAUUACAUUUUCAUGGAAUCAUGUUGAUAAUUUGCUUAUUAUUUUCACAUGGACUUACUAAGCUUUAAGCUUACUCCAUCCUCUCCAUUUCCUUAGUGUUCUCAGGUUAGCUCGGGGUUGGAGACCGUCGGAGGCAGCAUCACACUAUCAAGCCAACAACUCAGGAGUAUUAUCAUAUGUGUAUUAAAUACUUUCAAGUGAGUGGCAUGUAUAAUGACUAGUUUUUAUGUUAGAUGUUGUUAUGAUUAGCCAAAUGUAUAGGCUUAUAUUGAUUUAUUGUAUAUGGCCAUGAGAUGUGACUUAAAUGGUUAUGGCUUGUAAGCCUAAUUAUUCUUGCUAUGUGUUAAUGUUUGUGAUGUGUUUAUAAUUGGUUGUUAUAAAUGGUUAGUAUAACACAUGUACAUGAUGAAUGCUCUAAGACCAUUCGAGGUGGUUGUGGCCAUGGAAUGAAUGUGUGGCAUGGUAGUAAGUUGAUAAUGAUUGAAUAUGGACAAUUGUAGAAUGUGAAUUGGAAUGUCUAACUUGGUGUAACAUGAGUGUAGGUAAUAAACACAUGUAUGACAACGUGUAAAUGCUUUAACGAAAUUUUACUGAAGGAUGAUUAACCAUUAAAUUGAUGUUAUAAUGUGUGUCUAUAAUGUGCAUAAGUAUAGGAGAGAAUUAAGGACAACAUAAAGCUUGGAAAAUAGCCUAAGUGUUGGCUACAAGCCGUGUGGAGAACAACCGUGUGGAUCAAUUUGUUUUGCUGAUGUCAUAAACAGAAAGUUACAAGGCCUGAGGACAUGGGCGUGUUGAAGACACACGAGUGUGUCCCUGUGUCCACACGAUUGUGUGACCUUAUUUUAUGGAAAUUUCUCUAAGUUUUCCCAGAGCUUUCUAAAGUCCUCGGUUUAGUCCCGAACCACCCUGACGUAUGUUUUAGGCCUCGAAGGCCUGUAUAAGGGAUGAUUUAUAUGUGUUUGAAAAGUUUUAAUUUGGAUGAAAUUUUAUGGCCCGGUUUUGCAUGUUUGUGAAUGUUUAAGUCUGGUAACACCUCGAACCUUAUCCUGGCUUCGGAUAUGGGUAAGGGUUGUUACAUUUAGUGGUAUCAGCGCCAUGGUUUAGUCAGUUCUCGUACCAACCUAGCAUGAAUGAGAGUCUAGCUAUACAUGCCACCAGUUCAUGAUAGUGUGAUGUCUCCCGACGCGAAUGACAACCAUCUUGUUUAAACAGAGGUACUCUCCAACCGAGCUACACUGACCAUGUUAAAUGUAAAGCUAAGGUAUUCGGGUAAAGUACAGUUAUGAUGAGCCUAAACUCUGAAAAGUAUGAAUAAAAUUUCAUGACAUGUAUGUGAUAACAUGUGAGAUAAAAGUUUAUGUUACGAGGAAUACUCAUGCUUGUUUGAUAUUCAUAUGAUCUUGUGCACUGGACUUGUUUGAUUAAGUGAAUGUGACAAAAAGAAGUUCAUAAAGGUAUGAAUAAAGGUUUAUAAUAUCAUGUUACGGAUAAAAAUGUCAUUUUCCUGAUUGGACGUUGAAUGUUGAUGAAUUCUAACAAUAUCUUUAAAUGAGACAAAGGAUUAUAAUGUAAUGAACUUAUUUACGUUAAAUUAAUGGAUUGAUUCAUAUUAAUGUAAUGAUAUGUAUAUGAUGAAGUGCCAGAUAAAAGUUUUGAUUGUGACAUACUUAUCCAUGUUUGUUUGGCCCUCAUAAGAUGUUAUGUGUAUGACUUUCUUGAUUGAAUGAAUGGGAUAAGUAAAGUUAUUCAGAAUCCAUAGAAUACAUGCAUAAAUGCACUGGUUUAAAUAAAAUAACUAAAAAGUUCGUGUCAUACGAACGUGAAUAAUAGUUUGCCUGAAGUGGAUGAUAUGUUUGUGAAAAUAUUACUAUGAUAAUGAAAUAGUGUUAUAUGUAUAUGUGUCUGAGAGACGAGUUAGGGACCUUACGACCCUACCCCCUUAACAGAGUGGUGUUUUGUAAAGGAUUUUAUAAGAUCAGUGUUGAAUAAGCUCACAAGUAUGAGACCAAAGGGUUCAGCUAUAGAAUGAUUAUAACUAUGAUCAAAGAUUAAUUGGAUUGAUAAGUAAAGACAGAGCUAGUAAAGUGCGAUGUCGAGAAACGUAUUAACUGGAAUUUCUUUAGAACCAAUCUUCUUCAAUGAAAAUCAUAAUGUGGGAUUUGCAAUAACAAAAAUAGUUGGAGGAAUAAAUCCUGACAUGUAAGAUACCAGAAUGUAGUAAUUAUAGUAAGCAGAUUAUGACUGUCUCUCUUGAGGUAUUAUUGGGCUAUCUAUUUUUAGAUAAAUUGUUAUCAUGCAAAAAUGAUUUCUAAUCUUGGAAUAAGACGAAAGUAUUGAUAGUCUGACUAGUAUAUAAUCUGUACUGCUCUAUUUUCCCUGUGGCAUUCUAUUACGUUCCGCCUGUUGGGAUUUUAUGAGAUAUUGUACCUGAUGUUAUGAUUAUGUUCCUUCUAAUGGAUGCUCUGUUCGAUAUAUAUAUAUGGGAAGGUACAUUAUCCUUGUUGCAUUUAGUUCCAAUGGGCUUGAAUGAUGUAUUCUUCUGGACUUCUUUCUUCUGGGAAAUUAUCGAAAUCUUCCAUAUUUUAUUAUGAGCUUUGUUCUGGGUGUUUCAUUAUGAUAUUGUAUCUUGGGUUUCUCUAUGUUGGACUUCUUAAUCGUGGUUUUCUUGUUAUAUAUAUCCAAAAUUUAUCAAUCACGUCUCAUAUCUACAGUGUGUUCUUCAACUGUGAUAAUCAUGUCAAGUGUGACUAUGCUUCUACUUUGGUCAUAGUAAUGUGGUAAUUCUAGUAUCUGGAUUUCUCUAAACCUCCGUGAAGGAUUUGACAUCGGCAAAGGCAUAAGUGGUGAAAUUGCUAGUAUCAUCUUGUAUGAUGGAUUUCUUUUCUCAAGAAAGUUAAUCAAGUUAAUGCCUUUGAUUGGGGACAUUUAUACUACAUUGAGCUAAUGCAAUUGAAAUGAACUUUGAUUAGUAUGAUGAGUGAAUUUUGCAUAAUUACAUGUUAAAUCAUUUUGACAACUGAAAGGAAGGUUUCCUGAAACUUUAUCAAGUAAUAAUUAAGACCGACUCGGUUGUUCAGUUAGUGUAACACCCCGUACCCGAGUCCGUCGCCGGAGUUGGACACGAGGGGGUUUGCAGACUUACCUCACUUCUUUGCACAAUCCAUUUUAAAAAUUUCCAGGCAGUUGGCUAACUGCGUCACUGUCACCUUAAAAAUCAUAUCUUGAGUUCAGAAACUCGGAAUCCAGUUGCGUAAAUUUUCGUCGAAACUAGACUCAUAUUUCCAUCUACAUAUUUUUUUCUAGAAUUUUUGGUUGGGCCAAUUAGUACAGUUUAUUAGUCAAAGUCUCCCAUGUUACAGGGAUUGACUACACUGACCUUUGCGCAUUACUACUUGGAUAUCUCCCUGUACAAGGCUUCAAUACUGAUUCCGUUUGUUUUUAUAGAAACUAGACUCAAAGAGGAAUCUAUACAUAUAUGUCUUGACUCCUAAUUGUCUCUGGUUAAUUUGUAAUGAAUUUCCAAAGUCGGAACAGUAAAUCCAGAAACCGUUCUGGCCCUGUCUCACGAGAACCUGAAUAUCUCUUAACAUAAUGUCCGUAUGAUUGUUUCGUUACUUUCCUAUGAAAAUAUAUUCAUCAAGGUUCGUUUACAUAAUUUAUUCACUAUUUAAUUCCAUUCCUACUAUUUUUAGUGAUUUUCCAAAUCUACAUCACUGCUGCUGUCAGCAUCUGCCUUUAAGGUAGACUUUACCUAUUUCAAGGUUUCCAUGAUUCAACUAGCCCUUUUUGCAUAAAUAGCACAAUUUAUGAUAGUGAUUAACCAUUCCCAUGGCCAAUCCUUGUCAAGAAUAUCCACACCAAAUGAUUAUAACAUUAUACUCAAACACAUAUAAGCCAUUUUCGCAUGGCUAUCCAAAAUUAUACAAGUCCAAAGGGUCCACGACCCAAAACAAACGGGUAGUCCUAUACAUGCCAUUUCGAAGUUCAACCAAAAUUGUACCAAAAGGGGGGGCUUUGAUAGUGUGGGCGACUUUGACUUCAAGAUCCCGAGUCCGAUAGCUGGAGAACCAAAUCUAUAAAACAGAGGAGCAAUGAAACGGAGUAAGCAAUUUAUGCUUAGUAAGUUUUGAGCAAGGAAUUCCAGCACAACAAAAGUAUAGCAUUCAUAUAGCUAAACGGAUAAUUUCAUAUGCACAAAUUUUUGAUAUCAUACUUGCUUCACAUUACCAACCCUUAUGUACAUACACAAAAGAUCAACUUAGCCAAAGGCCGGUAGCUCGUUUAUCAACUGAGCGAAUACUUAUUUGUAAGGGCUCAACUAAAUUCAAGCACAUACGAAACAUACCUCAAUGUUGGGAUGUUUCUAGAGUAUUAACUGAAAUUUUUACAGCAAGAUCAUUCAUUCCCAAAUCACGUACCUUCGGAAUUUAACCGGAUAUAGCUCCUCGUUCAAAUGCCUUCGGGACAUAGCCCGGUUAUAGUAACUCGCACAAAUGCCUUCGGGACUUAACCCGGAUUUAGUAACUCGCACAAAUGCCUUCGGGCUUAGCCCGGAAUUAGUAUCUCGCACAAAUGCCUUCGGAUCUUAGUCCGGAUAUGGUCACUUAGCACAAAGCCUUCGGGACUUAGCCCGGACAUCAUUCAAAUAACCAUGCACAUUUAACAAUAAAUCAUGGCACAUUCGUAUUUCAUUUUCGUUAGCAAAACUCAAACACAAGACACUUAUCAUUCUUGUAAUUUCGGCUCAAUAGCCACACACAAAGAGCAUGAUUUUGAUUUGCUUAAAACAUGAUCUAAUCAAAUCUUAAUUUAAGCUCUCUUACUCAAGAACUUACCUCGGAUGUUGUCGAACGAUUCCGAUGGCUAUUCGACCACUUUUUCCUUCCCUUUAUCGGAUUUAGUUCCCCUUUGCUCUUGAGCUUAAUUAAACAAAUAAAUUGAUUUAAUCAUUUGAGCAUCGAAAAGAGGAACACAAGGCACUUAGCCCAUAUUUAUACAUUAGACAUUAAAGUCACAUAUGUACGGAAUCAUGAAUCAAACUCAACAUUUUAGCUAAUUUUCCCCCUUGGCCGAAUUUUCUAAGCCAAGACAAAAGCAUCAAUAUGCUUGCCUCCAACCGAAUACAUGCAACACCAAAUCUUCUUCCUAUGGCCGAAUAUGCAUGUCUAUGUUGGGGCCGAUUAUAUGCUUAAUACUUCCUACAAGUAUGGUUACUUGUAUUGAUUAUAAAUAUCAUCUUGUUUCAAGUUCAAAACUUGGCUAAUACACACAUAUAUACACUAGUAAAGCAUCCUCUCCCUUUCCAUCAAUUUAACACAUGCAUUGCUCAUUAACAUACAAAAGUUAUAUUCGGCCUUAGCACACAACUUGCUAGCCGAUUCUUCCCCAUCUAGCAACCAAUGCACAUAUGUGCUCACUCAAAAAUGCUAAAAAAGAGAUUCAAGAAUCAUCAAUCCACCAUCACAUGCAUCAUUAACAAGCUUCAUAUUUAGCAUGCAAUGGCAUUAACACAAAAUCCACCUAGGCCGAAUCUUAACUCAUCUUCAUGCCUCAUCACCACAACAUCAAACAUCAACCAAGAAUGAUGCAUCCAUGGCCGAGUGUCAUUUCCAUCACAUAGCAAGAUUUAGACCAUGGGCUAGGUAGAACUCAAGCUAACAACUAAAACAUGCAUGCAUCUCAUGGAACAUCAUCAAACAUACCUUAGCCUAGCUACAUGCAUGGCCGAACCUCUUCAACCUUUCUUCUUCCUUCCUCCUUAAAAUUUUUUGCCAAGGAUGAACCAAAGGAUGAGCACUUUUUUUUUGUUUUUCUUUCUAGUUUCGGCAAAAUGGGGGGGGGGGGGAGAAACAACCACACACUUUUUUUGUUUUCAUCAUAUUCCCUUUCAUUAUUUAAUUUCCAUGCUCAUUAUUUUAUUUUUUUCCACCCAUGAUGCACCAACCCAACAUAUCUAUGACAUGUCUUGCCCAUCACACUUGGUCUACCAUGCUUGUCAUGGCCGGCCACUACUAAUAGGGGGGAAUUGACAUGCAAGUCCCCCCUUUUUCAAAAUGCACUAAUAGGCCCUUAUGCUUUGACCUAUCACAUUUCAAAAUUUUCUCACAUAAGUCCUAUUGACUAAAUUCACAUGCAAUCGACUAAAUCGAAGCUUGAAAUUUUCACACAUUCAUAAUUACAUAUUCUAGACAAUAAAUAUCACAUUCAAACAUUUCGGUGACUUGGUUUAGCGGUCCCGAAACCACUUCCUGACUAGGGUCAAUUUUGGGCUGUCACAACUCUCCCCCACUUAAGAAAUUUUCGUCCCCGAAAAUCUUACCGGUAAAUAGGUUUGGGUAUCGUUCUUUCAUCGAGCUCUCGGUUUCCCAAGUAGCUUCCUCGAUCCCGUGUUUGAGCCAUAACACCUUAACUAACGGAACCUUUUUGUUUCGCAACUCUUUCACUUCACGAGCUAGGAUACGAAUCGGUUCUUCUUCAUAACUCAAGUCAGAUUGAAUUUCAACUUCUGAGGGAUUAAUCACAUGUGACGGAUCGGAUCUAUGACGUCGAAGCAUCGAAACAUGAAAGACAUCGUGAAUCUUUUCAUGUUCAAGGGGAAAAAUCAAUCUAUACGCAACCGGACCAACUCGUUCGGAGAUUUCGUACGGCCCAAUAAAUCUCGGGCUCAACUUGCCCUUACGGCCAAAUCUGAGUACCUUCUUCCAAGGUGAAACUUUAAGAAACACUUUAUCUCCCACCUGAUAUUCAAUGUCCUUUCGUUUCAAAUCCGCAUACGAUUUUUGACGAUCUGUGGCUGCUUUCAGACUUUCACGGAUUACCUUUACUUUCUGUUCGGCAUCCUUAAUCAAAUCAACUCCGAAAAUUUUACUUUCACCGAGCUCGGUCCAAAACAAUGGUGUACGGCAUUUACGACCGUACAAAGCCUCGUAAGGUGCCAUCUUAAUACUUGAUUGAAAACUAUUGUUGUAAGCGAAUUCAAUCAAAGGUAAAUACCGUUCCCAUGAACUACUGAACUCGAGGAUGCAACAUCUCAACAUAUCUUCAAGUAUCUGAAUUAUCCGCUCGGAUUGACCAUCGGUUUGGGGGUGAAAAGCAGUGCUAAAAUGCAGCUUGGUACCCAAAGCUUCUUGCAAUUUCUUCCAAAAUCGUGAGGUGAAUCUCAGAUCUCUAUCCGACACGAUAGAAAUAGGUACCCCGUGUAAUCUCACAAUCUGAGAAACGUACAAUUCGGCUAGUUUAUCCAAUGAAAAAUCCGUACGCACGGGGAUAAAGUGAGCCGACUUAGUCAGUCUAUCGACAACAACCCAAAUCGCAUCUUUCUUACUUGCUGACAAUGGCAGUCCGGACACAAAGUCCAUUAUGACUCGAUCCCAUUUCCACUCAGGUAUCAUGAUCGGCUGAAGUAAUCCUGAAGGCACUUGAUGUUCCGCUUUCACUUGUUGACAUAUUAAACAUCUCAAAACAAAGUCGGAGAUGUCCCGUUUCAUACCAUGCCACCAAAACCAACGUUUCAAAUCGUUGUACAUUUUCGUACUCCCCGGGUGAAUUGACAUUCGGCCACAAUGGGCUUCGUUCAGAAUCAUCGAAAUGAGUUCCGAAUUCCUUGGAACACACAAACGACUUUUGAACCUCAAACAAUCAUCACCAUCAAUUUGAAACUCCGAUUCCUUGUUCGGAGCACACUCAGCCCGUUUUGCAACCAAUUCAUCAUCAACUUUCUGGGCUUCACGAAUUUGAUGAAUCAAUAAUGGUUUGGCUUUUAAUUCAGCUACUAACACAUUGUCGGGUAGAACAGUCAAGUGCACAUUCAUCGCUCGUAAAGCAAACAAUGAUUUCCGGCUUAAGGCGUCCGCAACCACAUUAGCCUUUCCCGGGUGGUAAUCAAUGACAAGCUCGUAAUCUUUCAACAACUCAAGCCAACGUCUUUGUCGCAGAUUUAAGUCUCUUUGAGUCAUCAAAUAUUUGAGACUUUUGUGAUCCGAAAAUACAUGGCACUUUUCACCAAAUAAGUAAUGUCGCCAUAUUUUUAAAGUAAAUACGAUGGCAGCUAGUUCAAGAUCAUGGGUCGGAUAAUUUUUCUCAUGUGGCUUUAAUUGUCUCGACGCAUAGGCCACCACUCGACCUUCUUGCAUCAAUACUCAACCCAACCCAAGUAGGGAUGCGUCACUAUAAAUGACAAACUCUUUGCCUGAUUCGGGUUGCACUAAAAUUGGAGCUUCAGUCAAAUAAGUUUUCAGUUGAUCAAAAUUUUUCUGACAUUUCUCCGUCCAUUCGAACUUAACAUCCUUUUGAAGUAGCUUCGUCAUUGGUGUGGCUAUCAUCGAGAAACCUUUUACAAAUCGUCGGUAAUAACCGGCGAGCCCCAGGAAGCUCCGAACUUCGGUAAUAUUUCUUGGAGGCUUCCAGUUAAGUAUGGCUGAAAUUUUGCUCGGGUCAACUCGAAUACCCGAUGCGGAUACCACAUGACCCAAGAAGCUAACCUCUCUUAACCAGAACUCACACUUACUGAACUUAGCAUAUAACUGCUUAUCCCGCAAAAUUUGCAACACUAGUCUCAGGUGCUCAUCAUGUUCGGUCUCAUCUCUUGAAUAGACCAAGAUGUCAUCAAUGAACACAACUACGAACCGAUCCAAAUAUGGUCUGAAGAUCCGAUUCAUCAAAUCCAUAAAUACCGCAGGGGCAUUAGUGAGCCCAAACGGCAUCACUAAGAACUCGUAGUGACCAUAUCUCGUCCUGAAGGCAGUUUUGGGUAUGUCCGAUUCUCGAAUUCGCAACUGAUAAUAGCCCGAUCUCAGAUCUAUUUUUGAGAACAUUGAGGCUCCCUUCAGUUGGUCGAACAAAUCAUCGAUACGCGGUAACGGAUAUUUGUUCUUUAUCGUCACUUUAUUCAGUUGACGAUAGUCAAUGCACAACCUCAUGGUUCCGUCCUUCUUUUUCACGAACAAUACUGGUGCACCCCAAGGUGAGAAACUUGGUCGAGCAAAACCUCUAUCCGUCAAUUCUUGCAACUGAGCUUUCAACUCUUUUAACUCGGUUGGUGCCAUACGAUACGGAGCUAUCGAAAUCGGCGUAGUCCCAGGUACAAGCUCAAUACCAAACUCUACCUCCCGAACAGGUGGUAAACCCGGUAAUUCUUCAGGAAAAACAUCCGGGUAUUCACAAACCACUGGCACAGAUUCGGGUUUCUUUUCUAAUUCUUUGUCAUCAAGUACAUAUGCAAGGUAUGCUUCGCACCCUUUUCUUACAUAUUUCUGGGCCAACAUUGCUGAUAUUACAGCUGGCAUCCCCUCCAAGUCCAUAGACUCAACUCGAAUUACUUCGUUAUUUGCGCACCUCAAAUCAAUAGUCUUGCUUUUGCAAUUCACAACCGCAUCAUGCGCGGUCAACCAAUCCAAACCAAGAAUAACAUCAAAUUCAUCAAACAGCAAAAGCAUCAAGUCCGCCGGAAAACAAGAACCUCGAAUUUCUAGGGGACAUUUCUUACACACUUUGUCGACAAGCACGUAACGACCCAAGGGAUUUGACACCCGAAUUACGAACUCAGUAGACUGAAUAGGUAAGGUCUUACUGGAUGCUAAGGUUUCACAUAUGUAAGAAUGAGUAGAACCAGGGUCAAUCAAAGCAAUUACAUUAGUAUCAAAGAGAGUAAAAGUACCGGUAAUAACAUCAGGCGAAGAAGCAUCCUCGCGGGCACGUAUAGCAUAAGCUCUAGCAGGCGCACGAGCCUCGGAUCCGGUCGUAGCAUCUCUAGAUCCUCUAUGACCACCACUAGCAUUGCCCGUAUUUCCAGAUGGUCUACCUCGAGCAGUGGUAGCACCCGGUUUCCCACCCUGAUUUACAUUCUGUUCAGACAACCUCGGGCAAUCUUUAAUGAAGUGGUCAACUGAUCCGCACUUGUAACAGGAGCGGUCAGGGAAUCUACAACUCCCCGAAUGCCAUUUACCGCAAUAUCGACAUUUCGUUCUGUCUCGACGUUCAUUCCCAACACUGGCGACCGAAGUGCCUCGUGUACCCACAGGGGGUCGAUCACGAUCUCGUCUAAAAAGGCCCGAAGUGCCUCUCGACCAGCCCACAUCAUCUCGAAAUUUCUUCGAUGCCUGUUGAAGAGACUUUCCCAAAGAUCUUUUACGAAACUCUCCAGUUCCCACAUCAACUUUUUGUUUUUCUUUUCUAAGCUCUUCGGCUUUACAAGCUCGCUCGACAAGUACUACGAACUCUCGUAUUUCAAGAACGCCAACGAACAUUUUUAUAUCUUCAUUCAGCCCAUCCUCGAAGCGUUUACACAUGAUAGCCUCGGACGAAACACAUUCCCGAGCGUAUUUGCUAAGUCUAACAAAUUUUCGCUCGUAAUCAGUAACCGACAUGGAACCUUGCUUAAGCUCAAGAAAUUCCUUCCGUUUUUGAUCAACAAAUCUCUGACUGAUAUACUUUUUUCGAAACUCAGUUUGGAAAAACUCCCAAGUUACUUGCUCUCGGGGCACAACAGAGGUCAGAGUACUCCACCAAUAGUAGGCAGAAUCACGUAGCAAGGAGAUAGUACACUUUAGGCAUUCAUCGGGUGUACAAGAUAGCUCAUCGAGUACCCGAAUAGUGUUGUCCAACCAAAAUUCAGCUUGUUCGGCAUCGUCGCUAUCCGUAGCUUUAAAUUCAGUAGCCCCAUGUUUUCGGAUUCUAUCAACUGGGGGCUUAUUUGACCUUAUUUGGUCAGUUACCGGAGGUAUUGUAGGUGCGGGGGUUGUAUUAGUCGGGAAUGGAGGUUGUGGAACAGCCGUAUUAGUUCGAAUGUAUUGGUUGAACCAAUCAUUCAUCACGCUAUAGAAAGCUUGUCUAGCUUCAUCAUUCGGGUUACUAGCAUUGGGUUGAGAGUCCGCCGGCGCUGUCCCUUGUGCGGGAGCAGACGCUACACUCUCAAGAUCAUCAGCUACCUCUCGGUCGGGAUCGGGAUCCAUUACUAUAAAUAAACACAUUUACAAUUGUCAGAAAUCACCACACUAUCAAAUAAUCACAUAAAAUGGCAUGUAUAGCUAGACCCAACGCAUUACGGUAGUCCUAGAAUCGACUAAACCGUAGCUCUGAUACCAAUCAAAUGUAACACCCCGUACCCGAGUCCGUCGCCGGAGUCGGACACGAGGGGGUUUGCAGACUUACCUCACUUCUUUGCACAAUCCAUUUUAAAAAUUUCCAGGCAGUUGGCUAACUGCAUCACUGUCACCUUAAAAAUCAUAUCUUGAGUUCAGAAACUCGGAAUCCAGUUCCGUAAAUUUUCCCUUAAACUAGACUCAUAUGUCCAUCUACAUAUUUUUUUCUAGAAUUUUUGGUUGGACCAAUUAGUACAGUUUAUUAGUCAAAAUCUCCCAUGUUACACGGAUCGACUACACUGACCUUUGCGCAUUACGACUUGGAUAUCUCCAUGUACAGGGCUUCAAUACUGAUGCCGUUUGUUUCUAUAGAAACUAGACUCAAAUAGGAAUCUAUACAUAUAUAGAUUGACUCCUAAUUGUCUCUGGUUAAUUUGUAAUGAAUUUCCAAAGUUUCAACAGGAAAUCCAGAAACUGUUCUGGCCCUGUCUCACGAGAACCUGAAUAUCUCUUAACAUACUGUCCGUAUGAUUGUUUCGUUACUUUCCUAUGAAAAUAGAUUCAUCAAGGUUCGUUUACAUAAUUUAUUCACUAUUUAAUUCCAUUCCUACUAUUUUUAGUGAUUUUCCAAAUCUACAUCACUGCUGCUGUCAGCAUCUGCCUUUAAGGUAGACUUUACCUAUUUCAAGGUUUCCAUGAUUCAACUAGCCCUUUUUGCAUAAAUAGCACAAUUUAUGAUAGUGAUUAACCAUUCCCAUGGCCAAUCCUUGUCAAGCAUAUCCACACCAAAUGAUUAUAACAUUAUACUCAAACACAUAUAAGCCAUUUUCGCAUGGCUAUCCAAAAUUAUACAAGUCCAAAGGGUCCACGACCCACAACAAACGGGUAGUCCUAUACAUGCCAUUUCGAAGUUCAACCAAAAUUGUACCAAAAGGGGGGGCUUUGAUAGUGUGGGCGACUUUGACUUCAAGAUCCCGAGUCCGAUAGCUGGAGAACCAAAUCUAUAAAACAGAGGAGCAAUGAAACGGAGUAAGCAAUUUAUGCUUAGUAAGUUUUGAGCAAGGAAUUCCAGCACAACAAAAGUAUAGCAUUCAUAUAGCUAAACGGAUAAUUUCAUAUGCACAAAUUUUUGAUAUCAUACUUGCUUCACAUUACCAACCCUUAUGUACAUACACAAAAGAUCAACUUAGCCAAAGGCCGGUAGCUCGUUUAUCAACUGAGCGAAUACUUAUUUGUAAGGGCUCAACUAAAUUCAGGCACAUACGAAACAUACCUCAAUGUUGGGAUGUUUCUAGAGUAUUAACUGAAAUUUUUACAGCAAGAUCAUUCAUUCCCAAAUCACGUACCUUCGGAAUUUAACCGGAUAUAGCUCCUCGUUCAAAUGCCUUCGGGACAUAGCCCGGUUAUAGUAACUCGCACAAAUGCCUUCGGGACUUAACCCGGAUUUAGUAACUCGCACAAAUGCCUUCGGGCUUAGCCCGGAAUUAGUAUCUCGCACAAAUGCCUUCGGAUCUUAGUCCGGAUAUGGUCACUUAGCACAAAGCCUUCGGGACUUAGCCCGGACAUCAUUCAAAUAACCAUGCACAUUUAACAAUAAAUCAUGGCACAUUCGUAUUUCAUUUUCGUUAGCAAAACUCAAACACAAGACACUUAUCAUUCUUGUAAUUUCGGCUCAAUAGCCACACACAAAGAGCAUGAUUUUGAUUUGCUUAAAACAUGAUCUAAUCAAAUCUUAAUUUAAGCUCUCUUACUCAAGAACUUACCUCGGAUGUUGUCGAACGAUUCCGAUGGCUAUUCGACAACUUUUUCCUUCCCUUUAUCGGAUUUAGUUCCCCUUUGCUCUUGAGCUUAAUUAAACAAAUAAAUUGAUUUAAUCAUUUGAGCAUCGAAAAGAGGAACACAAGGCACUUAGCCCAUAUUUAUACAUUAGACAUUAAAGUCACAUAUGUACGGAAUCAUGAAUCAAACUCAACAUUUUAGCUAAUUUUCCCCCUUGUCCGAAUUUUCUAAGCCAAGACAAAAGCAUCAAUAUGCUUGCCUCCAACCGAAUACAUGCAACACCAAAUCUUCUUCCUAUGGCCGAAUAUGCAUGUCUAUGUUGGGGCCGAUUAUAUGCUUAAUACUUCCUACAAGUAUGGUUACUUGUAUUGAUUAUAAAUAUCAUCUUGUUUCAAGUUCAAAACUUUGCUAAUACACACAUAUAUACACUAGUAAAGCAUCCUCUCCCUUUCCAUCAAUUUAACACAUGCAUUUCUCAUUAACAUACAAAAGUUAUAUUCGGCCUUAGCACACAACUUGCUAGCCGAUUCUUCCCCAUCUAGCAACCAAUGCACAUAUGUGCUCACUCAAAAAUGCUAAAAAGGAGAUUCAAGAAUCAUCAAUCCACCAUCACAUGCAUCAUUAACAAGCUUCAUAUUUAGCAUGCAAUGGCAUUAACACAAAAUCCACCUAGGCCGAAUCUUAACUCAUCUUCAUGCCUCAUCACCACAACAUCAAACAUCAACCAAGAAUGAUGCAUCCAUGGCCGAGUGUCAUUUCCAUCACAUAGCAAGAUUUAGACCAUGGGCUAGGUAGAACUCAAGCUAACAACUAAAACAUGCAUGCAUCUCAUGGAACAUCAUCAAACAUACCUUAGCCUAGCUACAUGCAUGGCCGAACCUCUUCAACCUUUCUUCUUCCUUCCUCCUUAAAAUUUUUUGCCAAGGAUGAACCAAAGGAUGAGCACUUUUUUUUGUUUUUCUUUCUAGUUUCGGCAAAAUGGGGGGGGGGGAGAAACAACCACACACUUUUUUUGUUUUCAUCAUAUUUGCUUUCAUUAUUUAAUUUCCAUGCUCAUUAUUUUAUUUUUUUCCACCCAUGAUGCACCAACCCAACAUGUCUAUGACAUGUCUUGCCCAUCACACUUGGUCUACCAUGCUUGUCAUGGCCGGCCACUACUAAUAGGGGGGAAAUUGACAUGCAAGUCCCCCCUUUUUCAACAUGCACUAAUAGGCCCUUAUGCUUUGACCUAUCACAUUUCAAAAUUUUCUCACAUAAGUCCUAUUGACUAAAUUCACAUGCAAUCGACUAAAUCGAAGCUUGAAAUUUUCACACAUUCAUAAUUACAUAUUCUAGACAAUAAAUAUCACAUUCAAACAUUUCAGUGACUCGGUUUAGCGGUCCCGAAACCACUUCCCGACUAGGGUCAAUUUUGGGCUGUCACAGUUUGUAUGGGUUAUUGUUUGAAAGAUUUAAUGGGAUAUUUAUGUAUGAAUUUUUUUCCCAAGUCCGAGAACAAGAUUUUAUCUCUCCGAGUAAAAGACAAAUAGUCUAAAUGAAAGUGUAUAUAUCUUAGAAGAUUUUGAUACGAUUUAAAGUUGCUUUGAAUGAUAUUGUUUUUGUCUUAUGAAAGUUGAAUGGUCUAAUACAUGUUGGUAACGAUUUGAAUAUACGAGAAUAUUGUUAAUCGAAGCCUUGUAACUGGUUUAGUCUGCAUUGAGCAAAGACUUCUCGAAUUUCAGUGAUGUGUUUUAAGACAAGAAGGGAAGUGUGAUAGCUUAAAGUAUCUACUGUCAUAGAAAGACUUAAGUUGAGAUAGUGUAGCUGACUUGAAUUUUUAAAGGAUGAUAAGAUAGUUAUGGUGUGAUAUCUGAGAAUGAGAUUACUAUAGAUUUCAUAUUAGAAUUAUUUCAAUCUUUGAAAGAGAAAGAUGUCAUAUGACUUGUUAAGUAAUUGAUGAAUCUACAAAUCAUGUCGGUAAGUACUGAAUUUCCGCUCAUCAGAAUUAUGGGAUUAAGUAUCUUUAAGAUUGUUGAAUUUCUCAAAAUGCUAGUUUUUGUUAAUCAGAUUGAGAUCCGGGAUUUAUAUCGUGAAUUAUUGAAAAACCUAUUUGAGGCUCUGAUUAAUGAUGACCAGAGGUCGAACUAGUGAACUGUCGGGCUGUAUAAAAUGAUAGAGAACUUAAGGCCAGGAUGAUCAGGCUGGCUACGCCAUUUGAAUCUGAAAGGAUUCAAGUGUGAUGUGUAUAUACAUAUUAUAUGACGAUAUGGGUUUGACCCUUGUAUACAUGAGUUCUCUGAUAAAAGUCAAGAUUCGAUUGAAGUGACGUAUAACACGAAAUUGUUCAUGACUUUAGUAUGAGAAAUUACAGAGCUAAGUAUUAAACAUAGCCUGAGUAAAGGCUCUUUAACAAUGAUUAUGAGAUAAUGGAGUUUAUGUGAAAACCAAACCACUCUUCUAGUAAGAUUUUCGGGGAUGAAAAUCCCUAAAGGGGGGAGAGUUUUAACAUCCCGAAUUUGGGCCUAGUCGGAAUAGUGGUUUCAGGACCACAAAUCUGACACAAUAAAUUUUUUUUUAUUAUAUUUUUAUGGUCUACAAUUUUACGGAAUGAUCUCGUGAAAAUUUCGUUCGAAAAUUUUGAUGUUUGGGCACUUAUUUGGUCAAAAGGACUAAAUUGUAAAAAGUGUAAAAGUUGAGUUCUACAUGUUAAAGGUGUCUAAUUGUUAUGAAAUUUUAAAUUGGAGGCCCUUAAAUGGUAAUUAUACCAUUGGAUAAUUUUUUUAGACAAAAAUGACAUGAAAUGGGUGACAUAGAAUAUUUUUAAGUUAGGGGCAUUUUGGUAAACUAGUAAUUAAAAUGAAUGAAAAAAAAUUAAAAGCCAAUUUUUGUCCAUCUUCUACCCCAUGUCUGAAACUUGCAUGGAGAAGACAUAUCUAGGGUUACUAAAGCUUCCAAGCUCGAUUGUAAGUCCAUUCUAGCCCCAUUUUUAAUGAUUUUUACGUUUUUGAAAUCCUCAUAACAAGACCUACUCAUUUCUACCCAUAUUUUGAGCUAGGGUUUGUGGUUAAAAAUUUACCCAUGGAUGACAUGCAUGUGUUUUUAUGUCUAAUGGUAGAAUAUGAAUGCUCGGUGUGUAAUAAACGGUUUUUACUAAGUGAUUUUCGGUGAAAUUGUCAAAAAGGACCAUUUUGUAAAAGUUACAAAAUUUGUCAUAAAAGUGUGAUUUAGUGGAAAUUAGAGGCUGCAACAGUUAUGAAAAUGAUUCGGCUAGGGUUAAAAUGCAAGAAAAUUGAAUAAAAGUCAUUUUAUGAGCCUAGUGGCCAAAGUGCAAAGAUGUGAAAGUUCAAGGGUCAAAAUGCACAUUUGUAAAAGUAUGAUUUUUGGACCCAUAUGAAUAAUUUGACUAAUUAAUCAGCUAAAUGUAGUAUUAUAAAACAAAAUGAGAUUCGGGCAUAGAUAGGAAAUAAAUGAGAUUACGGACUAAAUCAUAAUAUAUAGUCGUACUUGAACCCGAGGUAAGUUCACGUGAUUUUAAUAAUGCAAUAUUGUAUUUGAAUGCUAAUGCUUUGAUAUUACACAAGUUGUAAGUAUAUAUAUGUGAAUAAUUUGAUAUUACGUGAUUAUUUUGAUGAUAUAACAUGUUCUUGAUGUUUUGCUAUUAUGAUGAAAAUGUUGCAAUGCCAUGUGAUAAUGAGAUAUUGCAAGUGUUCCUGUUUGCCUCUAUGAUUGAGCACGUUCGGCUUUGGUGUGUGUAAGCCGAAUAUUAUUCCUCUGAGUGUGGGCAUUAAGUUUCGGCAAGCGAUUGUUCAACUAAGUUCAAUCUGUUCUGUUACUUGUUAGGUGAUAAGACUUUUGGAGUGUAGGAAAUCCCCAAAGCCUUGUGGGUAGGUCUUUUUCAACGGUUACUAAGUGUCCAAUCAAAGCCAGUGAUAGGUAAUUCCUUGAGCCAAUAGUGGUUAAGGUGCUUUUCAAUUCGAUUGGAUAAAUGUUUGAUCAGAGAUUUGAUUGUGUUAGGUUUGGAAUACUCGUGGGCCAACAGCGCAUUUUGUUUGCAAUCAGGUGUGUAACCACACUUCAAUAAUCAUAAAUUGGAAAAAGUCGAAAACUGUGCUUGUUAACGUGAUAUGAGCAUGCUCAUGCUUGUGUUCGUCUUCAAACACUCAAAGAGAGGGUGUAUGCUCGUAAGAGGCCACCAUGAGCGAUUUCAUGGGCUUUGGCCAGUUUGGGCCAAGUUGGGCCGAAAAUGGGCCGUGUGAGCACACGAAAGGAAAGCCACAUGGACGUGUGGAGAUAAUUGGGCUGGCUGUGUAUUUUGCACGACCAAGGCCAUUAUUUGGGCUUAUUGGGCCACACGAGUGUGUGGGCCCACAUAGGCCAUAUUAUAGGCUUGGGCCCAUUUUCGUUGUUUAACUGUUAAGGUUGCACGGGUCACCCGAAACGACUAUGGACCUACUAUGGGGUUGUUAAGUAUACCUAGAACCUAAUUUAUGAUAUGACUAUUAUACCCCUAUGAGAUAAAUGACGGAUAUACCCCUAUAUGAUGUAUGAUUGUUUGAGCAUGCCAUUUUAAUUGUAUGUAUAUUUCUAUUAUGUUGCAUUGCAUAGGGUAGGAUAUAUGAUAUUGGAGGAAGUGUACUAAAAGGCUAUAAGCUUAUUACUGGCAGCUCUGCUGUAAAUACUGUUAGUGCUACAAUCGGUGCUAUAUUCUGGAGUGUAGAGAUGGGUGGAUCGAUUUUAUCCCCACAUGGAGUGUAGGGCUGGACGGAGUGGAGUGUAUAGGAUGGAUGGGUAGGACCUCUGUAUGCAUCUCUGAUACUAUACUGAAAUUGGGCUAAGGCCCACACUGAUACUGUUACUGUAAUGGGCUAAGGCCACACUGAUAUUGCCACUGAUAAGGGCUUAGGCCUAGACUGUUUUGCACUGCGUGAUUUACUGUUUGAUAAGUAGGGAUUACACACUGAGUUUUCAUAAACUCACCCUUCUGCUUAUUUGUGCAGGUAAUCCUUAGGCGGGUCAGUGUUGCGAGAGACUCGGAGAUGGCGACACAACUGGUUAUGUUUUCGUAAUUGACUUUUAGAAAAAGUAGUUUUAUUUGGGUAAAUUUUAUGUAUUAAGGUGGCUUUAAGUUUUAUUUUUAUUUGGGGAUUAUUUAUUUAAAUUGGUUUAUAUCUAUUAGCAGUAGGUCUUUAGUUUUCAAAAGAUAAAUGCUUUUCAACUACGAUGUUACUCAACUCGUUUUAAAAGCUUCCGCAACGAACAAAGUUUUUUUUAAAAUGUAAUAACAAUUUAGUAUCACACAAGUUUUGCUAAACAAACCUAUAAAUUAACAAGGAACAAGAUAAUAUAACUACUCAUGAAAACCACAAUGAGGUUUUAAUACAAAUGAACUUUUUUCUUUCCAACGGAACUACGUUUUUCAAAACACACUCCAAUGUGACAUUACAGAUUCAGCCAUAACGUCUAGGCAGGGUUUGGGGUGUUAUUGCAUAGUUCCUAGUGACAUGUCACUUGUAUCCUAAACUAUUCCAAAGUUCAAUCAAGAUUUUCCCUGCUAUCAUUUCUCUAUCGAGCUUGCUCAUAAUAUCAUUCUCAAUGUCCAUAGUACCAAUCACUUACUCAUGAUAACAAUAAGGCAAUUAAAAUUUUCAUGAUAUUAAGCAAUAGAAAAUGACAUAACAUCACAUAUAAACUUCCAUUUAAUUUUCAAUAUAUAUUCAAUCAUCACAUAACACAUUAUCGACAUGUGGACUAUCGAAUAUUUCAUGGAGUUUGUCACUAUCACCUACAUAGCAUCAGAAACAUUUAAUUUAACAUAAUCAAAUUAACAUACAAAUUUAGAUUCAAUCACAACAACGAUAACAUUAUCAUAGGUACUUACUUGUCAAGUUCUCAUCGUGUACAUCUAUAUAAAAAAUCAAUAAAUUUAUGAGAUAGUAAUAUAUCAUUACAAUUCAAGCAUGAUAUAGCAUUAUUUUAAUCACACGAACUUACGUCGAAUGCAAGUACGGCUAUUUAUUCCGGUUUAGUCCGUAAUCCCAUUCAUUCCCGAUCUAAGCCUGAAUCGCGUUUGCUUGAUCUAACAUUUCAAAUAUAACUUAUUUAUUACUCACACUAUUCAAAUCGACCCAAAAAUUAUACUUUAGAAAAUUUACAAUUUUGCCCCUAAACUUUCACAUAUUUGUACUUUGGCCACUAAGCUCGUAAAAUGAAAUGUGUUCAUUUCCUUGCACUUUAAGCCAAGCCGAACCAUUUUUUACACUUAUAGCAGUCCACAUUUCUCUUUUAUUUCACAAAUCUACUACGCAUUUUACAACUUCUACAAUUUGGUCCUAUUUAAGCAUUUUCAUGCAAAAUCACUUAGUAAAAGAUGUUAAACACACAUCAAUCUUUCAUAUUCUUCUAUUAAACAUCAAUAUACUAACAUUUAAUGCAUGUUUCUAUUUUUAAACAUGAAUCGUACUUCAAAAUAAGGGUAGAAAUAGGUAAAUCAUACAACGAGGACUUCCAAAAUGAAAAGAACAUUAAAAACGAGGCUUAGGAGCACUUACUAUUGAGCUUGGAAGUGACAAAACCCUAUUCAUUGUGUCCAUGGUUAUUUUCGGCCAAGCAAGAAGAAGAUGGACAAGGUUUUUGCUUGAUUUUUCCCUUUUUAAUCUUUUAAUUACCAAAUGACAAAAAAUACCCUUUUAGUCAUUCUUUCUAGUUUUACCAAUCCAAGCCCAUUUUUGUUCGAAUUUUUAGAAUUUGGAAAAAUUACUAUUUAAGGACCUCUAAUUAAUAAUCCAUAUCAAUUUCAUGCCAAAAGUUUCUAGAAUUCAAGUUUUCUAAAUUAUUCAAUUUAGUCCUUAAAGUCCAAUCGGGCGCUUUUCACAUAAAAUUUCUUCAUGAAAUUUUCACACAAGCAUACAACCAUAUCAUAGACCAUAAAACCAUCAUAAUAUAAUUAUUUCUAUUUCAAUCUUGUGGUCUCAAAACCACUAUUCCGACUAGGCCCUAAUUUGGGAUGUGACAGCCCUAAAUUGACCCUGGUCGAAAAGUGGUUUCGGGACCGCUAAACCGAGUCACCGAAGUAUUUGAGUAUAAUAUUUAUUGUAUAAAAUAUGUGAAUAUGAGUGUGUGAAAGUUUUAAGCUUCGAUUUAGUUAAUUGCAUGUGAAUUUAGUUAAUAGGACUUAUGUGUGACACUUUUGAAAUGUGAUAGGUUAAUCUAUAAGGAUCUAUUAGUGCAUGUAAUCAAAAGGGUGGACUUACAUGUCAAUUUCCCCACUUUGAUAGUAGUGGCCGGCCAUGACAAUGAGGAUAGACAAAAUGUGAUGGGUAAAACAUAUUAUAAACAUUUUGUAAUAACAUGUUGUGUUAAGAACAAUAAAAUAUGAGGGGAGUGGGAGGAGAAACCAAAGUUGUUUCAUCCUUGCUCCCCCAUUUUGCCGUAACUAGAAGAAAAAAAAAAGCUUCAUCCUUUUUGAUUCUUCUUGGCCGAAAUGAAAAGAGGAAGAAGGGAGGGAAGCAUUCGGUCAUCUUAGGCUAAUAUUAAGGUAAGGAGUUUAUACUAGUUCUUGAAAUUUUAGUUGAUCUUGGGUGAGAUAUCAAGUUAUUUUUGUAACCCAUGUUGAAAUUUUGAUUUUGGAAUGAGUAAGGUUUUCGGCUAUGGUAAUUAACAAGGGUGAUGGUGGUUGUUUCAUGCUAAAUCUAGAUGAACAAUGAUAGUUUGCUUAUAUCUUGAUAUUUAUGAGUUCCUUUCUUGGUUCUACCUUAAACCCAUGAAGUAUAUUUUUAUUUGGUGUUGUUGGAGGUUUCGGUCAUGGGUAGAAAAAAAAAAAGAAAACUAUAGAUUUUGAGAUUUAUGAUAGAAAUUAAUGAGUGAGAGUUGGAUAGAUAUUUUGAUGUUAAAAUUCAUGGGAUUAUAAGCUUGUAAGUUUGAUGGUGAAAUUUAUGCUUUGUGAGGGUAAAUGGUUUAAAAGGAGCAUUCGGCCAUGAUGUAAAAUUAUGAUGAAGUGUGUACUAAGGCCGAAUAUGAUUUUGAAUAUUAUUGAGAAAUGUAUGUGUUUUGAAUUGAUGGAAUGGAGAGGAUGCUUUAAUUGCGUUAUGAACAAUUAUAUGUUAAAUUGAGGUUUGCUAAGCUAGCUAUUAAGGUGAAGUGCAAAUGUUAGUAUUUGAUUACUAGUGUAUAUAUGUGUAUUAGCCGAGUUUUGAACUCGAAACAAAAUGGUAUGUAGUCAAUACAAGUAACCAUAUUUGUAGAAUGUAUUAAGUAUAUAAUCGACCUCAACAUAGACAUGCAUAUUCGGCCACAUGAAUGAAUACAUGGAUUGAUGUUGUACGUUCGGCUAUAGGUAAGCAUAUUGAUGGCUUUAUCUUGACUUAGAAAAUCGGCUAAAGGAGAAUAUUGGCUAAUAUGUUGAAUUUGAUUCAUGAUUUCAUACAUAUAUGACUCUAAUGCCUAAUAUAUAUGGGCUAAGUACCUUGAAUUUCUGUUUGAUGUUCCAAAUGAUUAAAUCAAUUUAUUUGUUAAAUUAAGCUCAAGAGCAAGGGGGAACUAAAUCCGAUAAAGGAAAGGAAAAGGUGAUCGAAUAGCCGUUGAAAUCGUUCGAAAACAUCCGAGGUAAGUUUUCGAGUAAUGGAACUUAGAUUAUGAUUCGAUUAGAUCAUGUUGUAUAGCGAAUCAAAAACCAUGCUCUUUGUAUGUGGUUAUUGAGCCGAAAUGGUAAUGGUAGAUAAGUGCCUUGUGUCUGAGUUCUAGUAAUGAAAACGAAAUAAAGAUGUGUUAUGAUUUGCGGACAUAUGUGCAUGAUUAUUCGGAUGAUAACCGGACUAAGAUCCGAAGGCAUUCGUGCGAGUUGCUAUAUCCGGGCUAUGUCCUGAAGGCAUUUAUGCUAGUGAUUAUAUCUGGGCUAAGACCCGAAGGCAUUUGUGCGAGUUGCUAUAUCCGGGCUAAGACCCGAAGGCAUUUGUGCGAGUUGUUAUAUCCGGCUAAAUCCCGAAGAUACUUGGGUUUGGAAGUGAGCGAUCUUGCUGUAAUAAUUUCAAUUAAUACGCUCAUAAAAUCCAAACGAUAAGGUAACGUUUCGUACAUGCAUCGGAAAAGUCGAUUCGUUUUUAAAUAGUAUUCGUUCAAUUGAUUAACGAACUUUCGGCCUUUAGUUAGGUUUGAUACCUUGUGUAUGAAUAUGUUGAUUGAAGUGUGAAGUAAGUAGGAUUAUGAGAAUGUCCAUAUAUGAAGUUAUUCAUUUAGCCAUAUGAAUGUUAUACUUUAGUCAAAAAUAAAUUUCAUUACUCAAACUUACUAAGCAUUAAAUGCUUAUUCCGUUUCUUUGAUUCUCUGUUUUAUAGAUUUUAGUUCGUCAGCUAUCGGACUCGGGAUUGUCGAAGUCGAAGUCGUCCACACUAUCAAAGCCCUUUUGGUACUCUUUUAGUUGAACUCUGAAAAUGGCAUGUAUAGGACUGCCCUUUUGUUGUUGGUCAUGUACCUUUUGGUAUUGUAUAAAUUUGGAUAGCCAUGCGAAAAUGGCUUAUAUAUCUUGAGCAUAGCAUUAUAAUCAUUUUGUAUAUUGUUCAUUGAGUGGUAUGGAAAUGCUUGGUAACGAUUAGCCAUUGGAAUGGUUAAUCACGAUCAUUUUAGUGCUAUGUACGACAAAUGGCUAGUUGAUCCAUGGAAAAUCAUGAAAUAGGUAUAGUCUACCUUAAAAACAGAUGCUGACAGCAGCAGUGAUGUGAAUUUGAAAAAUCACUCAAAAUAGUAGGAAUGAAAUUAAAUAGUGAAUAAAUUAUGUAAUCGAACCUUGAUGAGUGUUUUUUCAUAUGGAAGAAACGAAACGAUCAUAUGAGCCGUAUUUUAAGGGAUGUUUAAGUUUUCGUGAAACAGGGCCAGAGCGAUUUCUGGAUCCCCUGUUCUGAUUUGGAAAUUCACUAUAAAUUAACCAGAUAUAAUUAGAAGUCAUGUCUUAUAUUUACAAAUUCCUAUUCGAGUCUAGUUUCAUUAGAAACAAACGGCAUAAGUAUUGAAGCCCUGUACAGGGAGAUAUCUAAGUUGUAAUGCAUGAAGGUCAGAGUAGUCGAACCCUGUAACAGAUGAGACUUUAACUAAUAAACUGUACUAAUUGGCCCAACCAAAAAUUCUAGAAAACAAUUUAUAGAUGGAUAUAUGAGUCUAGUUUUAGGAAAAAUUUACGGAAUCAAUUUUUGAGUUUUGGAACUCGAGAUAUGAUUUCUAAAGUGACUGUGAUGCAGUUAACCAGCUUGUCUAGAUACUUUAAAAUGAACUGUGUAUAAAUAAGUGAAUUAAGUCCGUUAACACCUCGUGUUCGACUCCGGCAACGGUCUCGGAUACGGGGUGUUACAUGGGAUGUUACAACAUACUUUAGGAAAUAAGAAGAAAAAGAUAGUGAAUGACUUAUUAUUUUAGAUAAAAUUGCACAGUCACCUUUAGUUAAAUAAAUGAUUUUAAAGUUUUAGGGGAUGAGAUUUGCUAUAUAUUUUCAUUAAGAAAUAUUACACAAAUUGGUAGAUGAUAAAGAAAAGGGAUACUUAGCAUGUCAUUUUUUUUAUCUAGUACUGCAUGUAUAAUUUCGGAGAGGAUGAAUAUCGUUAAAAGAGACUAGGGAAUUCUGUUAUGAGUUCAUCAUCUUAUUUACUAAAAAUGUCUUAAAAAUGCUGAAAUAUUGUAUUUAUGGUUAAACAUUUUAGUAAAUACACAACUAUCAUGAAUCUAUAUAAAACCAAAACUUGUGAUUGGAAGAUAGUAUAAAGUUUUAAUUAAAUAAAGAAUUGUAUAUUUCAUGGAAGAAAAUGGGAGUGGAGAAGAGGAUUAUGGUGUUGUGGAUUUGUGCAAUGGUGAUAAGCUCAAUGGUGAUGCAAGAGGGUGCUAAUGCGACACCAAUUAGCUACCCUGGACUGGGAAAAAACCGUCAAGUUCCAUGCAAAACUGGAGGCGGUAAUUGCCUCCCACCACCAUCCAAUGAUUAUGAUAGAGGAUGUUCACCCCUAAAAAGGUGUCGAAGUCAUCAUACAAUGCCCAUCCUUCAUUGACCACAACUAGAAAGUGCACUUGAUUAACUUCCCCUUUUUUCUAUCAAAUUAUACGAAAAAAAAGAGCAAUUAAUAAUUUCAUAUGUUUAUUCAUUCCUUAUUAUUGUAACCCAUGAAUUCCAGAAAUAUAUACUUCAACAAUUUUUUAAGAAUUCUAAGCAAAGGCCUUAUUAAUAUUUUGUCUAAUCCAUAUACGUUGUCUUACAUUUUUAAAAAAGUAACAUAGAAAUAGUUUUAUUCGCACAAUGAAAAAAUACUUGAGUAAAGCAAUGCCAAUAGGGGAGGUCUUAUGAGCUUCAAUGAAUUUGUUGGAUAGAGGUGAUUUUAUCCUCUGGUUUCAUGCGUUGAGCAAAGGAGCUAGCAAUUGAUCUGCACAUCUCAAAUGUGACAGCCCUAAAUUGACCCUAGUCGGAAAGUGGUUUCAGGACCACUAAACCGAGUCAUAAAAAUAAUUGACCGUCAUAUUUGAUGCUUAUUAUAUGUAUAUAUGCAUGUGUGAAAAUUUCAUGUUUGAAUUUUGUUAAUUGUAAGUGAAUUUUAUUAAAUAGGACUUAUCUGAGAAAAUUUAGAAAUGUGCUAGGCAAAUGUAAAGUGGCCUAUUUAUGCAUGUUGCAAAUAAUUGUACUUGCAUGUCAAAUUAACCAAAAACCAAGAUGGUGGCCAGCCAUGCUAUGGGUUAAAGCCUAUUAUAAACAUUUUGUGUUAGUGUUUUAUGUUAGAAAUAAUAAAAUAAAAGGUUAGUAAUAAAGUAAUGAAAAGGAAAUUGGUGAUGAAAACAAAGUUCUCUCUUUGUUGUUCAACUUGGCCGAAUAGAAGAAACAAAGGAGGGGAAGAAUUUCGGUCACUUGAAUCCUUAGGGAGGUUAGUAUAUUGUGUUAAAUUUGUGAAAUUUUUACUUGUUUUAGGUAAAUUAUCAUGGUUCUUGCUUAGCCCAUGCUAAAAUUUUCACUAAUGAUGGGUGAAUGGAGCCUUCGGCUAUGGUUAUAAAGGAAGGAAUUUUGAUUGUUUUACUUGAAUUUUGAUGAUGAAUGUAUUGAGGAAAGAACUUGGUCUUUCUAAAAAUAUGAAUGGUUAAAGCUUAUACUAGUAAUAGCCGAAUUAAAGAAUGCUUGAUGUCAUGAGUAAAUGUUGUUCAUGUUAUUUGGAUGAGAAAUGGUAGUUAGGUGAAGUAGAGUCUAGCAAAUGAGCACAUAUGUGCAUUAGUUGCUAAAUGGAGAAAAAUCGGCUAACAAGUGUGUACUAAGGCCGAAUAUGAUUUUGAAUAUUAUUGAGUAAUGUAUGUGUUUUGAAUUGAUGGAAUGGAGAGGAUGCUUUAAUUGUGUUAUGAACAAUUAUAUGUUAAAUUAAGAUUUGCUAAGCUAGCUAUUAAGGUGAAGUGCAAAUGUUAGUAUUUGAUUACUAGUGCAUAUAUGUGUAUUAGACGAAUUUUGAACUUGAAACAAAAUGGUAUUUAGUCAAUACAAGUAACCAUAUUUGUAGAAUGUAUUAAGUAUAUAAUCGGCCUCAACAUAGACAUGCAUAUUCGGCCACAUGAAUGAAUACAUAGAUUGAUGUUGUACGUUCGGCUAUAGGUAAGCAUAUUGAUGGCUUUAUCUUGACUUAGAAAAUCGGCUAAAGGAGAAUAUUGGCUAAUAUGUUGAAUUUGAUUCAUGAUUUCAUACAUAUAUGACUCUAAUGCCUAAUAUAUAUGGGCUAAGUACCUUGAAUUUCUGUUUGAUGUUCAAAAUGAUUAAAUUAAUUUAUUUGUUAAAUUAAGCUCAAGAGCAAAAGGGAACUAAAUCUGAUAAAGGAAAGGAAAAAGUGAUCGAAUAGCCGUUGAAAUCGUUCGACAACAUCCGAGGUAAGUUUUCGAGUAAUGGAACUUAGAUUAUGAUUCGAUUAGAUCAUGUUAUAUAGCGAAUCAAAACCAUGCUCUUUGUAUGUGGUUAUUGAGCCGAAAAUGGUAAUGGUAGAUAAGUGCCUUGUGUCUGAGUUCUAGUAAUGAAAACAAAAUAAAGAUGUGUUAUGAUUUGUGGGCAUAUGUGCAUGAUUAUUCGGAUGAUAACCGGACUAAGAUCCGAAGGCAUUCGUGCGAGUUGCUAUAUCCGGGCUAUGUCCCGAAGGCAUUUAUGCUAGUGAUUAUAUCCGGGCUAAGACCCGAAGGCAUUUGUGCGAGUUGGUAUAUCCGGGCUAAGACCCGAAGGCAUUUGUGCGAGUUACUAUAUCCGGGCUAAGACCCGAAGGCAUUUGUGCGAGUUGUUAUAUCCGGCUAAAUCCCGAAGAUACUUGGGUUUGGAAGUGAGCGAUCUUGCUGUAAUAAUUUCAAUUAAUACGCUCAUAAAAUCCAAACGAUAAGGUAUGUUUCGUAUAUGCAUCGGAAAAGUCGAUUCGUUUUAAAUAGUAUUCGUUCAAUUAAUUAACGAACUUUCGGCCUUUAGUUAGGUUUGAUACCUUGUGUAUGAAUAUGUUGAUUGAAGCGUGAAGUAAGUAUGAUUAUGAGAAUGUGCAUAUAUGAAGUUAUUCAUUUAGCCAUAUGAAUGUUAUACUUUAGUCAAAACUAAUUUCAUUACUCAAACUUACUAAGCAUUAAAUGCUUAUUCUGUUGCUUUGAUUCUCUGUUUUAUAGAUUUUGCUCGUCAGCUAUCGGACUCGGGAUUGUCAAAGUCGAAGUCGUCCACACUAUCGAAGCCCUUUUGGUACUUUUUUAGUUGAACUCUGAUAAUGGCAUGUAUAGGACUGCCCUUUGUUGUUAGUCAAGUACCUUUGGUAAUGUAUAUAUUUGGAUAGCCAUGCGAAAAUGGCUCAUAUAUAUAUUGAGCAUAGCAUUAUAAUCAUUUUGUAUGUUGUUCAUUGAGUGGUAUGGAAAUGUUUGGUAACGAUUAGCCAUUGGAAAGGUUAAUCACGAUCAUUUUGGUGCUAUGUAUGACAAAAUUCUAGUUGAUCCAUGGAAAACCUUGAAAUAGGUAAAGUUUACCUGAAAAAAAUGAUGCUGUGUAACAGCCCGAUUCUGGGCCUAGUCGGAAUAGUGGUUUCGGGACCACAAAUCUGACGAGGGAAAAUAUGGUUAUUAUUAUAUUUUUAUGAUCUACAAUUUCACGGAAAAUUUUCGUAAAAAUUUCGUUCGAAAAUUUUGACGUUUGGGCACUCAAUUUAGUCAAAAGGACUAAAUUGUAAAUAGUGCAAAAGUUGAGUUCUACAUCUUAGAGGUGUCUAAUUGUUAUGAAAUUUUAAAUUGGAGGUAUUUAUGUGGUAAUUAGACCAUUAGUUAGUUGAUGGACAAAAAUAGACAUAAGAAAUGGGUGAAAUAGAUUUUUUUUAAAUGGGGGCAUUUUAGUCAUUUGGUUAUUAAAUAGAAUUAAAUGGGAAAAAGAUGGCAAAAUAUGCUCAUAUUCUUCAUGGUGAAUGAAAUCAGCAAGGGGGAAGCCAUAUUUAGGGUUUUUAAGCUUUCAAGCUCCAUAGUAAGUGAUUCUAAGCCCCGUUUUUAAUGUUCUUCGUAUUUUUAGAGUCCCGGUAACUUGGUUUAGCUUAUUCUACCAUUAAUUCAUGUUAGGGUUCAUAUUUGGAAAAAUAUCCAUAGGUGAAAUGUGUUUAUUUUGCUGUUUUAUGGUGGAAUAUGAAGCUAGAGAUUAUGUUAAACAACUUUUGCUAAGCAAUUUUAAGCGAAAACGGGUAAAUAGACAUAAUCGGUAAAAAUAAUUAAUAUUCAAAAGUAUGUGUUGGAGUGGGAAUUUGAUGUUUCCAUAGAAGGGAAAAAUGUUCAGCAUGUUAUAAAACUUAAGAAUAAGUGAUGAAGUUUAAUUUCCGAGCUUGGGGACAAAAGUGUAAUUAUGUAAAAGUUUGGGGGCAAAAUUGUAAUUUUCAAAAAGUUGGGUGGUGGAUUAUUUUAAUAAAUGUGAAUAUUAAACGAGUUAAAUUUGCUAUUAUAGAUCAAGAAAGACGUGAAGAGUAUAUCAAACGGGGAAAAGAAAAGAUAGGGGAGUAAAGUGCAAAAUUACGAUAUUUUGCACCGAGGUAAGUAAACACGUGACUAAAUGUAUUAUUUUGAUAUUAUUUGAUAUAUGUUGAGAUUUAUUUGGAAUUAAAAUAAAUGUUUGGCCAUAUCCUAAAAAUGUUGUUAAAUCGGGAAAGGUGGUAAAGGGUUGCAAUAUAUGGUUUAUGGGUUGAACACUCGGAAUAAGCCGGAGUAUGUUGUAUAUAAAGGGGUUGCUGUGUGCUGAUUCCCCGAUUCAUUGGUGGUGCUAUGUGCGUGAUCCACCAUAUCUUUGAAAUAUGAAAAGGGGGUUGCUAUGUGCUGAUUCCCCCGAGGGGUUGCUAAGUGCUGAUUCCCCGGUUCAUUGGUGGUGCUAAGUGCGAUAUCCACCAUAUCUUUGAAAUGUGAAAGGGGGUUGCUAUGUGCUGAUUCCCCCGAGGGGUUGCUAAGUGCUGAUUCCCCGAUUCAGCGGUGGUGCUAAGUGCGAGAUCCACCAAUAACGGUUAACAUUCCAAGUGUUCAACGAAGAAGUGUGGAAGAUGAAUAUUUCCAUAUGGUGGAAAAUUUUAUGAGGUAAAUAUUGAGUUGAAUACUAAAUCGACCCAUGUAUGAGAUGGGAGAAAAUAUCAAAAACGCAAAAGGAACGAUUUAAUUAUAAACUGUGUUGAACAACAGCAGUUGGGUAACUUUGAAAAAUCACCAUAAAUGGUGGAAAAUGAAUGGGAAGCUGAAUAAUAUAUGAAAUUGAAGCUGAAUGUGUCUAUUUUCAUAUGAAAGAAAUAGAAUAAGCAAAAGAGUUGUAUUUUUGGAGAUAUCUGAAUUUUACUGAAACAGGGCUGGAUUGAUUUCGAGAUCCCCUGUUCUAACUUUGGAAAAUUACCAAAAAUUGAAAAAAAAUAAUUAUGGCAUGAAAUUUAUAUCCCUGGAAUCCUUAUUGAGUCUAUUUUUAGUAGAAACAAGAAAACCCAUUUUUAAAAUUUUGUACAGAGAGUUAAGUAAAUUUUAGUGAGGAAGGGUCAGAACCGUUGGGCAGUGAAACAGGGGAAGGUUUAAUGAAUAAACUGUACUAAUUGGCUGGGUUAAAAAUUCUGAAAUUUUUAUGGUGAAAUGAUAUAUGAGUCUAGUUUCAGGGAAAAUUUACGGAACUCAAUUUGGAGCUCUGUAGCUCCAGAUAAAAAUAAAUUAGCGACUAUGACGCAGAAAAACAGCUUGCUGGAAAUUGCCUAAACAAUAAAGUUAUUCAUGAAUAAGUUUAUAUUUUGGUGUAGUUAUGGGAGUAAUUACUUAUUUAUCAUGUGUUUACUUACUAAGCUAUAUGCUUACUCGAUUUUAUUUUUCUCUUGGUUAUAGUGACUUCCAACAACUCGGAAAUUGGAACGAAGUCAGACAAUCAUCUACACUAUCCUUCACAUUUGGGGUAUUUUACUACUAGUGUUCCGAAAUUUUAUGGCAUGUAUAGACACUUUAUGUAAUGUGGGAUCAUCAUGUAAAUAUAUGUUAUGGUUCCCUUUUAAAUGUAGUGUUUAUUAAUAGUUAAACUAUAUGUGUGUUUAUACAAAUGAAAUUGGUUGGUAUAUUGGAAUGUGUUCUAAAUUUGCAGGAGGUUUAAGCAAAAAUAAGUAGGAAUGCUGUCGAAAAUUUUUAAAAAUUUAGUAAUACCUCAUACUCUGUUCCGGUAAGGAAUACGGGUAAGGGGUGUUACAUGCUGACAGCAGCAGUGAUGUGGAUUUGAAAAAAAUCGCUAAAAAUAGUAGGAAUGGAAUUAAAUAGUGAAUAAAUUAUGUAAUCGAACCUUGAUGAAUAUACUUUCAUAUGAAAGUAACGAAACGAUCAUAUGAGCCGUAUUUUAUGAGAUGUUUAAGUUUUCGUGAAACAGGGCCAGAGCAAUUUAUGGAUCCCCUGUUCUAAAUUUGGAAAUUCACUAUAAAUUAAUCAGAGAUAAUUAGACGUCAUGCCCUAUAUGUGAAGAUUACUUUUCGAGUCUAGUUUCUUUAGAAACAAACGGAAUAAGCAUUGAAGCCCUGUACAGGGAGAUAUCUAAGUCGUAAUGCAUGAAGGUCAGAGUAGUCGAACCCUGAAAUAGGGGAGACUUUAACUAAUAAACUGUACUAAUUGCCCCAACCAAAAAUUCUAGAAAACAAUUUGAAGAUAGAUGUAUGAGUCUAGUUUCAGGAAAAAUUUACAGAAUUGGUUUUCGAGCUUCGGAACUCGAGAUAUGGUUUUUAAAGUGACUGUGAUGCAUUUAACCAGCUUGUCUGAAAAUUUAAAAAUGAACUGUGUAAGUAAAUGAAUUAAGUCCGUUAACACCUCGUGUUCGACUCCGGCAACGGUCUAAGGUACGGGGCGUUACAUCAAACCCUUCAUGUCAUCUUCGGGAUAGUUGGCCCAAUAAUCGCCUCUAGAAGUUCGAACGUCUGGACUAAAAAUACUACAACUAAAGAGCUAAUUAAUAAAGUAGCAUGUUAACAAGUAUACGAGUGAAAUUGUAAAAUUGAAUAAUGUUACAACCAAACACUUUAGGAAUAAGGAUCAUACCCAAUGGAGGUUGAAUUCAAGCAAGACUAGUACUCUAUAAUAGCCAGGCUAAAUAGUAGUAAUCGAAAAUUUUAUUAAGAAAAACCAAAAUAGAGGAAAUUAAUCAAAAUAAAAUAAAUUAACUAAAAUUAAAGACAAUCAAUUUUAAUAAUUGAAAUUCAAUUCAAUUAAACAGGAACAAGAUUAAUUCAUUUCAGUGUUCCAAAUGAACUUUAGAAUUCAAGUUUUAUCGAGUUAGCUAUUAAUUAACUAGUUAUUACCUCUCGUCUUCUAACUAUUUAACUAAUCGACCAAUACAUGCUUAUCUCUCGAAGUUAGUCAAUAUCGAGCGGAGGAUGUUCUGAAAUCAUGCUCUUUCAUCAAUUAAUUUAUGAGCAUUCUCGUCUCGUUAUUCUUCUAUUUAUAUUGCAUUCAAUAAUUUUAUUAAUUGAAUGUUUGUAUAAAUAUUGGAAUAUAUUUUGUGCUUUACCCUUAUUUUGAAUGAUUUUAUUAUUUCGUCGAUUAAUUGAUUAAGUAAAUAAUAACCUAAUAUUGAGUUUUUAUUGGAGAAUACUUAACAUACAAGGAAGUGACACCCUAGUAGAAGAUCUAGACAGGUGAGACCGAGAGGGUAUCCUGUUGAGUAGAACUCGCACCAAGUGGUGGGACCUAGAGAGUAUCUCUAUGCCUAGGUGAGACCGAGAGGGCAUCUUAGGCGGUAAUUCUUGGUGAAGAUGAAACCGAGAUGGUAUUCUUAACUAAGGGUAGUAAAUAGUUAAUGGAAGGUUAUUGUUGACUUAAUUAAUAAUUUUGGCUAAAAUUGAUUCUUGGCUGAAAGGACUCGCGUUGCGAAACUAGGAAUAGGAGAAAUGAGUAGUUAACUUAGGGAUAGUUUUAGUUUUAGGUUAAAAUAAUUGUUUUAUUUUUAAAAAAAUUUAUAUUCUAAAUACAUAAUUUCCACAAGCAUACGCAUAUGAUAGAUCUUCUAAUAAUAAAUAAAAUAGAAGAAGUAACAAAAAUUAAAUUUAGCAUAAAAGAAAUAAUAAUAGUAAUCUUUUAAAACUAAAACCCAAUUUUAACAUGGACAAAAUAGGAUUCCUAGAUAUGUAACCCCCCUUACCCGUGUUCCAGGCCGGGACAGGGUACGAGGCGUUACCAUACUUAAACAUAAGCUCACAUUCAAAAUCGGGCACUAAAUUUCUUUCAAUUUAAAAUUAUUCAUACACAUGCAUAAUGUCCCUUACACGGGCCUUCGAGGCCCCAAACAUGCAUUGAAAGUAGUUAGGGACUAAAUCGAGAACUUUAGAAGGUUUUGGGAAAAGUUAGAAAAUUUUUCCAUGAAACAGGGUCACACGCCCGUGAGCCCUCAACACAUUCGUGCACUCAGGCCGUGUAACUCUCUGUUUAUGAUGUCAGCAAAACAAAUUGAACCACACAGCCAAGCCACACGCCCGUGUGCCAGGCCGUGUGAUGAAUUAUAUUCUCAAAAAAAUAAUACAGACUUCACAUGCCCUAGACACAUGCCCAUGUCUCCAAGCCGUGUCCUCCACACGGCUGAGACACACGGUCUUGUCUCUGCCCGUGUGGUCACCGCUUAGGCUAUUUUCCAAGCCUUUUGUUACCCUUAAAUCCCUCACAUACUUAAACACAUCAUAGGCACAUAAUAUAGCAUUAAUUUAUUGACUGAACAUCCUCCAUUAAGAUCAAUUAUAGCAUUUACAUAUAGUCAUACGUGUGUUUCACAUACUCAUAUUAUACCAAGUCUAAACGCAGCAUUUCACAUUCAUUUGACGACAUACUUAUCUAAGACAUUCUACACCAAUUUCAUAUUCAAAGCAUUAUUGGUUUUUUUCCCAUAUCACACUUUUACUCCAUAAUUAAGACCACUUCGAUUUGGUCAUAAGGCAUUUAUUUAUCAAGCAUACAUACUAAAACACUAUGUAGUUAUAGCAAGCAAGCAUAAUCACAUAACCACAUCACAGGGCAUUAACACAUAGCAUGGAUAAAUAGGCUUACAAGCCGUAACCAAUAUAAGCCACAUCUCAUGGCUAUACACAAUGAAUCAAUAUAAGCCAACAUCUUUGGCCAUAUCAUUAAAACCUCAUAUCAUAAUAACUAAGACUCUAUACAUGUCACUCACUCGAAAACACUUAAGGUUUAUCAAUACCGUAAAGGUGAUAGCUUGAUAGUGUGAUGUUGCAUCCGACGAUCUCCAACCCCGAGCCAACUUGACAACACUAAAGAAAUAGAAAUAAUUGGGGGUAAUCUUGAAAGCAUAGUAAGCUCGUAUUAAAAUAACAAGCAUAUAUUGUCAUUUCUUUACUUAAAUCAAUAAUGAACUCAUAACGUAGAAUAAAUCAUGAGCAUAUCAUAGGUAUUGUUACAUACUUUCUAUUCAAAACUCUUAUCACACAUUUACCUUCCCGUGUCAUAGAUUGUGAACUCAUAAUUUGCAUCAUACUUCAAGUUCUUUAUUCAUUCGAACAUAAUUCACCACAAGGUCAUCAAGUAUUUUAAACAUAAUGCAAUCAUAUCAUUACCAUCAUGCACAAUAAAGUCCUAUAAUCAUAAUUCAAUCAUUUGCAUCUAAACAAGGUUUAAUAAUCAUAACCUUCUCAAGUGCAACAUUACCACAUGUUCGUCAAAUAUUAAUCUCAUUGCUCAGGAGUUUCGAGUACAUACUUGUACCCUUUCAAUAUGAUCAUACCUUGUCAUUUCUUUGACAUAAUCUAUGGAUUACUCGUUGAACUUUUCUUUAGACUACCUGGUGAACACUCAGAAUACUAUCGGAUACAUCAGAAUCUCGCUCCAAAGUGCCUCAUAUGUAGCCAACGCUACCUCAUAUCACUUAUCACAUUUUGCUCGCUUUAGAGCUACUCACGACUCUGCUUAGAAAAGGCUAUUAGGUAUCUGCAAAACAUGCCGGACUAUCCAGCCACUGGUGGAAUAUAAGAGACCAGUACCCGGUCACCAAAACACGUGUCACAUACAUCAUGAAAUCAUACCAUAGCUCAAUGAGUUUAGAAGCCACAUAUAUCAUGAACUCAGACUACAACUCAAUGAGUUCAGAUCCCAUAGUUCCUAGUGACAUGUCACUUGUUUCCUAAACUAUUCCAAAGGUUCAAUCAAGAUUUUCCUUGCUAUCAUUUCUCUGUCGAGCUUGCUCAUAACAUCAUUCUCAAUGUCCAUAGUACCAAUCACUUACUCAUGAUAACAAUAAGGCAUUUAAAAUUUUCAUGAUAUUAAGCGAUAGAACAUGACUUAACAUCACAUAUAAACUUCCAUUUCAUUUUCAAUAUAUAUUCAAUCAUCACAUAACACAUUAUAAUCAUGUGGACUAUCGAAUAUUUCAUGGAUUUUGUCACUAUCAUGUACAUAGCAUCAGAAACAUUUAAUUUAACAUAAUCAAAUUAACAUACCAAUUUAGAUUCAAUCACAACAACGAUAACAUUAUCGUAGGUACUUAAUUUUCAAGUUCAUGUGGUGUACAUCCGUAUAACAAAUCAUUCAAUUUAUGAGAUAGUAAUAUCGCAUUACAAUUCAAGCAUGAUAUUGAAUUAUUUUUAUCACACGAACUUACCUCGAAUGCAAGUACAGCUUUUUAUUCCGAUUUAGUUCAUAAUCCAGUUCAUUCCCGAUCUAAGCCCGAAUCUCGUUUUCUUGAACUAACAUUUCAAAUAUAAUUUAUUUUUUACUCACAUUAUUCGAAUCGACCCAAAAAUUAUACUUUGGAAAAUUUACAAUUUUUCCCUUAAACUUUCACAUAUUUGCACUUUGGCCCCUAAGCUUUUAAAAUGAAAUGUGUUCAUUUCCUUUGCCCUUUAAGCCUAGACAAACCAUUGUUUACACUUAUAGCAGUCCACAUUUCUCUUUUAUUUCACAAAUCUAUGACCCAUUUUACAACUUUUACAAUUUGGUCCUUUUUUAGAAUUUUCAUGCAAAAGCACAUAGUAAAAUAUGUCAAACACACAUCAACCUUUCAUAUUAUUCCAUUAAACAUCAAAAUACUAACAUGUCAUGCAUGGGUCAAUUUUUAACCAUGAACCCUACUUUAAAAUAAGGGUAGAUAUGGGUAGAUCAUGAUACAAGGACUUAAAAAAUGCAAACAUUAAAAAGGGGGCUUGGGAGCACUUACUAUUGAGCUUGGAAGUGACAAAACCCUAGCCAUGGCGUCCAUGGUGAUUUUCGGCCAAGCAAGAAGAAGAUGGACAAGGUUUUUGCUUGAUUUUUCCCUUUUUAAUAUUUUAAUUACCGAAUGACAAAAAUGCCCUUUUAGUCAUUUUUUCAAGUUUUACCAAUCCAAGCCCAUUUAUGUCCAAGUUUUUUGAACUUGGUAAAAUUACUAUUUAAGGACCUCUAAUUAAUAAUCCAUAUCAAUUUCAUGCCAAAAGUUUCUAGAAUUCAAGUUUUAUAAAUUAUUCAAUUUAGUCCUUAAAGUCCAAUCGGGCGCUUUUCACAGAAAAUUUCUUCAUGAAAUUUUCACACAAGCAUACAAACAUGUCAUAGAACAUCAAAUCAUCAUAAUAUAAUUAUUUCUAUUGUAGAUUUGUGGUCUUGAAACCACUAUUCUGACUAGGCCAUAAUUCGGGAUGUUACAACAUAGUUUAGGAUAUAAGAACAAAAAAAAAUAGUGAAUGACUUAUUAUUUCAAAUAAAAUUGCACACUCACCUUUAGUCAAAUAAAUGAUUUUAAAGUUGUAGGGGAUAGUAAUAGUUGGCAGAAAAAGAAAAGGAUGAGAUUUCCUUUAUAUUUUUAUUAAGAAAUAUUACACAAAUUGGUAGUUGAUAAAGAAAAGGGAUAUUUAACAUGUCAAUUUUUUUAUCUAGUACUGCAUGUAUAAUUUUGGAAAGGAUGAAUAAUGUUAAAAGAGACUAGGGAAUUCUGUUAUGAGUUCAUCAUCUUAUUAACUAAAACUAUCUUAAAAAUGCUGAAAUAUUGUAUUUAUGGUUAAAUAUUUUACUAAAUACACAACUAUCAUGAAUCUAUAUAAAACCAAAACUUGUGAUUGGAAGAUAGUUUAAAGUUUUAAUUAAAUAAAGAAUUUAAUAUUUCAUGGAAGAAAAUGGGAGUGGAGAAGAGGAUCAUGGUGUUGUGGAUUUUUACAAUGGUGAUAAGCUCAAUGAUGAUGGAAGAGGGUGCAAAUGAGACACCAACUAGCUACCCAGGACUGGGAAAAAACUAUCAAGUUCCAUGCAAAAUUGGAGGCGGUAAUUGCCUCCCACCACCGUCCAAUGAUUAUGACAGAGGAUGUUCACCCUAAAAAGAUGUCAAAGUCAUCAUACAAUGCCCAUCCCUCAUUAACCACAACUAGAAAAUGCACUUCAUUAACUUCUCCUUUUUUUCAUAUGUUCAUUCAUUCCUUAUUAUUGUAACCCAUGAAUUCUAGAAAUAUAUACUUCAACAAUUUUUUAAGAAUUCUAAGCAAAGGUCUUAUUAAUAUUUUGUCUAAUUCAUAUACGUUGUCUUACAUUCUUAAAAAAGUAACAUAGAAAUAGUUUUAUUAGCACAAUUAAGAAAUACUUGAGUAAAGCAAUGCCAAUAGGGGAGGUCUUAUGAGGUUCAAUGAGUUUGUUGGAUAGAGGUGAUUUCAUCCUCUGGUUUCAUGCAUUUAGGGAAGUAGCUAGCAACUGAUGUGCACAUCUCAAACACUUCAUGUCAUUUUGGGGACAGUUGGCCUAAUAAUCGCCUCCAAAAAUGUGAACGUAUGGACUAAAAAUACUACAACUAAAAAGCUAAUUAAUAAAGUAGCAUGUCAACAAAGUAUACGAGUUAAAUUGUAAUAUGGAAUAAAGUUACAACCAAACACUUCGGGAAUGAGGAUCAUACCCAAGGCAGGUUGAAUUAAACCAAAACUAAUACUCUAUACUAGCCGAGCUAAAUAGUAGUAAUCGAAAAUCUUAUUAUGAAAUACCAAAAGGAAAGUAAUCAAAAUAAAAUAAAUUAACUAAAAUUAAAGGCAAUCAAUUCUAACAAUCAAAAUUCAAUUCAACUAAGCAGGAACAAGAUUAAUUCAUUUCAGUGUUCCGAAUGAAUUUCAGAACUCGAGUUUUAUCGAGUUAGCUAUUAAUUAACUAGCUAUUACCUCUCGUCCUCUAACUAAUUAACUAAUCGACCAAUACAUGCUUAUCUCUUGAAGUUAGUCGAUUUCGAGCGGAGGGUGUUCUGAAAUUGUGCUAUUUCAUCAAUUAAUUCAUGAGCAUUAUCGUCCCUUUAUUCUUCUAUUUAUAUUGCAUUCAAUAAUUUUAUUAAUUGAAUGUUUGUAUAAAUAUUGAAUAUAUUUUGUGCUUUAUCCUUAUUUUGAGUGAUUUUAUUAUUUCGUCAAUUGAUUGAUUAAGUAAAUAAUAACCUAAUAUUGAGUUUUUAUUCGAGAAUACUUAAUAUACAAGGAAGUGACACCGUAAUAAAAGAUCUAGACAGGUGAGAAUGAGAGGUAUCCUAUUGAGUAGAACUCGUACCAAGUGGUGGGACCGAGAGAGUAUCUCUAUGCCUAGGUGAGACCGAGAGGCCAUCUUAGGCAGUAAUUCUUGUUGAAGAUCAAACUGAGAGGGCAUUCUUAACUAAGGGUAGUAAAUAGUUAAUGGAAGGUUAUUGUUGACUUAAUUAAUAAUUUGGGGUAAAAUUAAUUCUUGUUGAAAGGACUCGUGUUGCGAAACUAGGAAUAGGAGAAACGGAUAGUUAACUUAGGGAUAGUUUUAGUUUUAGGUCAAAAUAAUUAUGUCAUUUUUCAAAAAAUUUAUAUUCUAAAUACAUAAUUUCCACAAGCAUAUGCAUAUGAUAGAACUUCUAAUAGUAAAUAAAAUAGAAGAAAUAAUAAAAAUUAAAUUUAGCAUAAAGGAAAUAAUAUUAGUAAACUUUUAAAACUAAAGCCCAAAUUUAACCCGGACAAAAUAGGAUUGCCACAUAUGUAACACCCCUUACCCAUGUCCAAGGCCGGGACAGGGUACGAGGCAUUACCGUCCUUAAACAUAUGAUCACAUGCAAAACCGGCCACUAAAUUUCUUUCAAAUUAGAAUUAUUCAUACACAUGCAUAAUAUCCCUUACACGUGCCUUCGAGGCCCCAAACACGCCUUGAAAGUAUUUAAGGACUAAACCGAGAAUUUUAAAAGGUUUGGGAAAACUUAGAAAAAUUUUCCAUGAAACAGGGUCACAAGCCCAUGAGCCCUCAACACAUCCGUGCACUCUGGCUGUGUAACUCUCUAUUUAUGACAUCAGCUAAACAAACUGAACCACACGGCCAAGCCACAUGCCCCUGUGCUAGGCCGUGUGACGAAUUAUAUUCUCGCCAAAAUACUACAGACUUCACAUGCUCUAGACACAUGGGCAUGUCUCCAGGCCAUGUCCUCCACACGACUGAGACACACAGCUGUGUCUCUGUCCAUGUAGUCACCGCUUAGGCUAUUUUCCAACCCUUUUGUUACCCUUAAUCCCUCAAAUACUUAAACACAUCAUAGGCACAUAAUAUAGCAUCAAUUUAAUGAUUAAGCAUCCUCCAAUAAGACUCAAUUAUAGCAUUUGCAUAUCAUCAUACGUGUGUUCCACUAACUCCUUCGUAAAGUCUAAACGCAUCAUUUCACAUUCAUUUGACGACAUACUUAUCUAAGACAUUCUACACCAAUUUCAUAUUCAAAGCAUUAUUGGUUUUUGGCCAUAUCACACUUUUACUCCAUAAUUAUGACCACUUCUAUUUUGUCAUAAGGCAUUUAUCAGGCAUACAAACUAAAACACUAUUCAGUUAUAGCAAGCAAGCAUAAUCACAUAACCACAUCACAGGGCAUUAACACAUAGCAUGGAUAAAUAGGCUUACAAGCUGUAACCAAUAUAAGCCACAUCUCAUGGCUAUACACAAUGAAUCAAUAUAAGCCAACAUCUUUGGCCAUAUCAUUAAAACCUCAUAUCAUAAUAACUAAGCCUCUAUACAUGCCACUCACUCGAAACCACUUAAGGUUUAUCAAUACCCUAAAGGUGAUAGCCUGAUAUUGUGAUGCUGCCUCUGACGAUCUCCAACCCCGAGCCAACUUGAUAACACUAAAGAAAUGAAAAGGAUGGGGGGUAAGCUUUAAAGCUUGUAAGCUCUUAUGAAAGUAACAAGCUUAUAUUGUCAUUUUUUUACUUAAAUUAACAAUGAACUCACAAUGUAGCCUAUAUCACGAGCAUAUCAUAGGUAUAGUUACAUACUUUCUAUUCAAAACUCUUAUCACACAUUUGCCUUCCUACGUCGUAGAUUGUGAACUCAUAAUUUGCAUCAUACUUCAAGUUCUUUAUUCAUUCAAACAUAAUUUACUACAACGUCAUCAGGUAUCUUAAACAUAAUGUAAUCAUAUCAUUAGAAUAGUGUACAAUAAAGUCCUAUAAUCAUAAUUCAUUCAUUUGUAUCUCAACAGGGUCUCAUAAUCAUAACCUUCUCAAGUGCAACAUUACCACAUGUUCGUCAAAUAUUAAGCUUAUUGCUCAGGAGUUUCGAGUACAUACCUCUACCCUUUCAAGAUGAUCAUACCUUGUCAUUUCUUUGACAUAAUCUAUGGAUUACACGUUGAAAUUUUCUUUGGUCUACCCGUUGAACACUAGGAGUACUAUCGGAUACAUCGGAAUCUCGCACCGAAGUGCCUCAUAUGUAGCCAACGCUACCUCAUAUCACAUAUCAUAUUUUCCUCGCUUUCGAGCUACUCACGGGUCUGCUCACAAAGGCUGUCAGGUAUCCGCAACACAUGCUGGACUACUCAGCCACUAGUAUAAUAUACGAGACCAGUACUUGGAUGCUAAAACAUGUGUCACAUAUAUCAUGAACUCAGACCACAACUCAAUGAGUUCAGAUCGCAUAGUUCCUAGUGACAUGUCACUUGUAUCCUAAACUAUUCCUAAGGUUCAAACGAGAUUUUCCGUGCUAUCAUUUCUCUGUCGAGCUUGCUCAUAAUAUCAUUCUGAAUGUCCAUAGUACCAAUCACUUACUCAUGAUAACAAAAAGCCAUUUAAAAUUUUCAUGAUAUUAAGCGAUAGAACAUGACAUAACAUCACAUAUAAACUUCCAUUUCAUUUUCAAUAUAUAUUCAAUCAUCAAAUAACACAUUAUCGACAUGUGGACUAUCGAAUAUUUCACGGAGUACGUUACUAUCACGUACAUAUCAUCAUAAAGAUUUAAGUUAACAUAAUCAAAUUAACAUACCAAUUCAGAUUCAAGCAUAGUAAUGAUAACAUUAUCGUAGGUACUUACUUGUUGAGUUCUCGUCGUGUACAUCCGUAUAACAAAUCAUUCAAUUUAUGAGAUAGUAAUAAAGCAUGAAAAUUCAAGCAUGAUAUGCAUUAUUUUUAUCACGCAAACUUCCCUCGAAUGCAAUUACGGUUGUUUAUUCCGAUUUAGUCCAUAAUCCCGUUCAUUCCCGAUCCAAGCCCAAAUCUUGAUUUCCUGAUCUAGCAUUUGAAAUAUAACUUAUUCUUUACUCACAUUAUUCAAAUCGACCCAAAAUUUGUUCUUUAGAAAAUUUAUAAUUUUGCCCCUAAAAUUUCACAUAUUUGCACUUUGGCCCCUAGGCUCGUAAAAUGAAAUGUGUUCAUUUCCUUUUCACUUUAAGCCUAGCCAAACCAUGUUUUACACUUAUAGCAGUCGACAUUUCUCUUAUAUUUCACAAAUCUACUACCCAUUUUAUAAAUUUUACAAUUUAGACCUUUUUGAGCAUUUUUAUGCAAAAUGACAUAGCAAAAUAUGUUAAACACACAUCAAUCAUUCAUAUUAUUCCAUUAAACAUCAAAAUACUAACAUGUCAUGCAUGGGUCAAUUUUUAAACAUGAACCAUACUUGAAAAUAAGGGUAGAUAUGGGUACAUCAUACUACGAUGAUUUCAAAAAUGCAAAGAACAUUAAAAACGGGGCUUGGGAGCACUUACUAUUGAGCUUGGAAGUGACAAAACCCCAGCCAUGGUGUCCAUGGCCAUUUUCGAUCAAGCAAGAAGAAGAUGGACAAGGUUUUUGCUUGAUUUUUCCCUUUUUAAUCUUUUAAUUACCAAAUGAUAAAAAUGCCCUUUUAGUCAUUCUUUCAAAAUUUACCAAUCCAAGCCCAUUUUUGUCCAAAUUUUUUGAACUUGGUGAAAUUACUGUUUAAGGACCUCUAAUUAAUAAUCCAUAUCAAUUUCAUGCAAAAAUUUUCUCGAUUCAAGUUUCAUAAAUUAUUCAACUUAUAUCUUAAAGUCUAAUUGGGCGCUUUUUACAUAAAAUUUCUUCAUGAAAUUUUCACACAAGCAUACAAACAUAUAAUAGACCAUCAAACCAUCAUAAUAUAAUUAUUUCUAUUUUUGAUUUAUGGUCUCGAAACCACUAUUCUGACUAGGCCCUAAUUCGGGAUGUUACAACAUGCUUUAGGAAAUAAGAACAAAAAAUAGUGAAUGACUUUUAUUUCAAAUAAAAUUCCACACUCACCAUUAGUAAAAUAAAUGAUUUCAAAGUUGUAGGGAUAGUAAUAGUUGGCAGAAAAAGCAAGGGAUGAGAUUUGCUUUAUAUUUUCAUUAAGAAAUAUUACACAAAUUGGUAGUUGAUAAAGAAAAGGGAUAUUUAACAUGUCAUUUUUUUAUCUAGUACAGCAUGUAUAAUUUUGGAAAGGAUGAAUAGCGUUAAAAGAGACUAGGGAAAUCUAUUAUGAGUUCAUCAUCUUAUUUACUAAAAAUGUCUUAAAAAUGCUGAAAUAUUGUAUUUAUGGAUAAACAUUUUACUAAAUACACAACUAUCAUGAAUCUAUAUAAAACCCAAACUUGUGAUUAAGAGAUAGUGUGAAGUUUUAAUUAAAUAAAGAAUUGUAUAUUUCUUGGAAGAAAAUGGGAAUGGAGAAGAGGAUCAUGGUGUUAUGGAUUUGUACAAUGGUGAUAAGCUCAAUGGUGAUGAAGAGGCUGCAAAUGCGACACCAAUUAGCUACCCAGGACUGGGAAACAACCGUCAAGUUCCAUGCAAAAUUGGAGGCGAUAAUUGUCUCCCACCACCAUCCAACGAUUAUGACAGAGGAUGUUCACCCCUAAAAGGAUGUCGAAGUCAUCAUACAAUGCCCAUCCUUCAUUGACCACAACUAGAAAAUGAGCUUCAUUAACUUCUCCCUUUUUUUUCUAUCAAAUUAUAUGAAAAAAAAGAACAAUUAAUCAUUUCAUAUGUUUAUUCAUUCCUUAUUAUUGUAACCCAGGAAUUCCAGAAAUAUAUACUUCAACAAUUUUUUAAGAAUUCUAAGCAAAGGUCUUAUUAAUAUUUUCUCUAAUUCAUAUACGUUGUCUUACUUUCUUAAAAAAGUAAGAUAGAAAUAGUUUUAUUGGCACAAUGAAGAAAUGCUUAAGGAAAGCAAUGCGAAUAGGGGAGGCCUUAUGAGGUUUAAUGAGCUUGUUGGAUAAAGGUGUUUUCAUCGUUUGGUUUCAUGCGUUGAGUGAAGGAGCUAGCACCAAGUGGUGGGACCGAGAGAGUAUCUCUAUGCCUAGGUGAAACCGAGAGGGCAUCUUAGGCGGUAAUUUUUGGUGAAGAUGAAACCGAGAGGGUAUUCUUAACUAAGGGUAGUAAAUAGUUAAUGGAAGGUUGUUGUUGACUUAAUUAGUAAUUUGGGCUAAAAUAGAUUCUUGGCUAAAAGGACUCGCGUUGUGAAACUAGGAAUAGGAGAAACGAAUAGUUAACUGAGGGAUAGUUUUUAUUUUAGGUUAAAAUAAAUUUGUUAUUUUUUAUAAAAUUAUAUUCUAAAUACAUAAUUUCUACAAGCAUACGUAUAUGAUAGAUCUUCUAAUAAUAAAUAAAAUAGAAGAAAUAAUAAACAUUAAAUUUAGCAUUAAGGAAAUAAUAAUAGUAAACUCUUAAAACUAAAACCCAAAUUUAACCUGGACAAAAUAGGAUUGCCACAUAUGUAACACCUCUUACACGUAUCCAAGGCUGGGACAGGGUACGAGGUGUUACCGUACUUAAACAUAUCCUCACAUGGAAAACCAGCCACUAAAUUUCUUUCAAUUUAAAAUUAUUCGUACACAUGGAUAAUGUCCCUUACACGGGCCUUCGAAGCCUCAAACAUGCUUUGAAAGUAGUUAAGAACUAAACCGAGAACUUUAGAAGAUUUUGGGAAAACUUAUAAAAUUUUUGCAUGAAAUAGGGUCUCACGCUCAUGAUCCCUCGACAUGCCUGUGCACUAAGGCUGUGUAACGCUCUGUUUAUGACGUCAGUAAAACAAAUUGAACCAUACGGCCAAACUACACGCCCGUGUGCUAGGCCGUGUGAUGAAUUAUAUUCUUACAAAAUUGCUAUAGACUUCACACGUCCUAGACACAUGCCCAUAUCUCCAGGCCAUGUCCUCCACACGGUUGAGACACAAAGACGUGUCUCUGCUUUUGUGGUCAUCGCUUAGGCUAUUUUCCAAGCCUUUUUUACCCUUAAUCCCUCACAUACUUAACACAUCAUAGGCACAUAAUAUAGCAUCAAUUUAAUGAUUAAACAUCCUUUAUUGAGACUCAAUUAUAGCAUUUGCAUAUCGUCGUACGCGUGUUUCAUAUACUCAUAUUAUACCAAGUCUAAACGCAUCAUUUCACAUUCAUUUGACGACAUACUUAUCUAAGACAUUCUACACCAAUUUCAUAUUCAAAGCAUUAUUGGUUUUUUGCCAUAUCACAAUAUUACUAGUUUGGACAAAAAUACCUGAAGGAAGAUAAAACAUCACAAUUUUUAAUUAAAGGCAUUUUGGUCAUUUAGUUAUUAAAAUGAAUUAAACACAAAAUUAAAAGCCAAUUUUUGUCCAUCUUCAACCCCUUGGCCGAAUUUCACAUGGGGAAGACAUAGAGAGGGUUUUUCAAGCUUCCAAGCUUGAUUUUAAGCCCAUUUUAGCCCUGUUUUUAAUGUUCUUCACGUUUUUAGAGUCAUGGUAACUUGAUUAAGCUUAUUCUAGCAAUAAUUUAACCUAGGGUUUAUAUUUGGAAAAAUAUCCAUAGGUGAAAUGUGUUUAUUUUGAUGUUUUAUGGUAGAAUAUGAAACUUUAAAUUGUGUUAAACAACUUUUUCUAAGCGAUUUUACGUGAAAAUGAGUAAAAUGACAUAAUCGGUAAAAAUACCUAAUGUUCAUAAGUACAUGUUAGAGUGAGAAUUUGAUGUUGCCAUAGAAGGUAAAAAUGAUCAGCAUGUCAUAAAACAUUAGAAAAUAGGAUGAAGUUUAAUUUUCGAGCCUUGGGGAAAAAGUGUAAAUAUGUAAAAGUUUAGGAGAAAAAAUAUAAUUUUGCCAAAGUUUGAGUCAAUGACUGUUUUAAUAAAUGUUAGUAUUAAAUAAGCUAAAUUUGUUAUUUUAGAUCAAGAGAAAUAAGAUUCGAGUCGUGAUCGAGGGAAAAAUAAAUUUUACGAGGAAUAGGCUCGAUUUCUAACAUUUUGUAUAGAGUUUUGACAAGCCAGCUCAGAAAUUGGGAACGGUCGGAGGCUCGCUCACACUAUUCGUGGAUCAUUUUGGUAUAGUGGCUUGUGUAUUUUGAGUAUGGAAUGUAUAACAUUGUAAUCAUUUUGUGUAUAUGAUCUUAUGAUAUGACUAUUGGGUGGUAAGGAAAUGUUUGGUUAUGAUUAGCCAUUGGAAUGGCUAAUCAAGAUCAUAUUUGGUGUUAUGUAUAAUUAAUGUGCUAUCUAAUCCAUGGAAAUUCAUAAAAAGGUGAAAUUUGCUAUAAAACAGUAUCAUGCAGUAGAAAUGAAGUGAGUUUGAAAACUCACUAAAAAUAGUAUAUAUAGAAUUAAAUGAUGAAUAAAAUAUAAAAUUGAAGCUUAUUGAGUCUAUUUUCAUAUGGAAGAAACAAAACAGGUAAAUGAGUUGUAUUUUAUGAGAAUUUUGAGUUUUGGUGGAAUAGGGUCAGAGUAAUUUAUGAAUCCCCUGUUACGACUUCAAAAAUUCACUUAAAAUUGUAAAAAAAUAAUUAGUAGUAAUAAUUUACAUGUAUAGAUUUUUUAAUGAAUCUAAUUUUAAGAGAAAUAAAUGACAUAGUUAUUUGAAUUCUGUACAGAGAGAAAAGUGAUUUGUAGUGAACAGAGGUCAGAGUAGUCAAACACUAAAAUAGGGGAAACUUUAACUAAUAAAAUGUACUAAUUGCCCCAACCAAAAAUUAUGAAAACAAAUUACCAAAUAGAUAUAUGAGUAUAAUUUCAGGGAAAAUUUACGGAUUUUAAUUUUUAUUUUCGUAACUCAAGAUAUGAUUUUUUUAGUGACUGUGACGCAGAUAGGUUGUUUAUUACGAAAGGUGAAAUAAAUUUUUGAAAUUGUUUAAGUGAUAAUUUAAGUCUGUUAACGCCUCGUGCUCGACUCCGGUGAUGGUCUCGGGUAAGGGGGUGUUACACAGCCAUCAGUAGAAUAUACGAGACCAGUACUUGGAUGCCAAAACAUGUGUCACAUAUAUCAUGAACUCAGACCUCAACUCAGUGAGUUCAGAUGCCACAUAUAUCAUGAACUCAGACCACAACUCAAUGAGUUCAGAUCGCAUAGUUCCUAGUGACAUGUCACUUGUAUCCUAAACUAUUCCUAAGGUUCAAAUGGGAUUUUCAUUGCUAUCGUUUCUCUGUCGAGCUUGCUCAUAAUAUCAUUCUCAUUGUCCAUAGUACCAAUCACUUACUCAUGAUAACAAUAAGGCAUUUAAAAUUUUCAUGAUAUUAAGCGAUAGAACAUGACAUAACAUCACAUAUAAACUUCCAUUUCAUUUUCAAUAUAUAUUCAGUCAUCACAUAACACAUUAUCGACAUGUGGACUAUCGAAUAUUUCAUGGAUUAUGUUACUAUCUACAUAGCAUCAUAAACAUUUAAUUUAACAUAAUCAAAUUAACAUACCAAUUUAGAUGUAAUCACAACAACGAUAAUAUUAUCGUAGGUACUUACUUGUCGAGUUCUCACCAUGUACAUCCGUAUAACAAAUCAUUCCACUUAUGAGAUAAUAAUAUAGCAUUACAAUUCAAGCAUGAUAUUGCAUUAUUUUUAUCACGCGAACUUACCUCGAAUGCAAGUACAACUAUUUAUUCUGAUUUAGUCCAUAAUCUCGUUCAUUCCCGAUCUAAGCCUGAAUCUUGUUUUCUUGAUCUAAAAUUUCAACAUAACUUAUUUAUUAUUCACAUUUUUGAAAUCGACCUAAAAUUUAUACUUAGGAAAAUUUACAAUUUUGCCCCUAAACUUUCACAUAUUUGCACUCUGGCCCCUAGGCUCGUAAAAUGAAAUGUGUUCAUUUCCUUUGCACUUUAAGCCUAGCCGAACCAUUUUUUACACUUAUAGCAGUCCACAUUUCUCUUUUAUUUCACAAAUCUACUACCCAUUUUACAUCUUUUACAAUUUGGUCCUUUUUGAGCAUUUUCAUGCAAAAUCACAUAGUAAAAUAUGUUAAACACACAUCAAUCUUUCAUAUUAUUCCAUUAAACAUCAAAAUACUAACAUGUCAUGCAUGGGUCAAUUUUUAAACAUGAACUAUAAUAGUCUGGUUUGGCCUUAGUCGAAAUAAUCGUAUCGAGACCACAAAUCUGAGUCUAAAAAAUAUUUUAAUAUUAUUUUUUGUGUCUGUGAUAUGUGAAUUUAUAUCUACCAAAUUUCUAUGAUUUAAUUUGUCUGUUUCUAUGCUUAAUUAUGAAAAAGGACUUAACUGCAGUGAAUGCAAAAGUAGCUUUUUAUUUGCUUAAGUGCCUAAUUGAUUUGUCUUGUUAAAUAUGAGGUCUUUAAGAUGGAAUUAGACCAUUUUUAUAUGGAAUGGACAAUUAUGGACAUUAGUGGAUGGAAAUUAAUGUUUUAUUAACAAGGCUAAAAUGGUAAAAAAUGUAGAAAUGAUAUAUUGAAUAAAAAUAAACAUGAAAUGUGUCCAUAAUAGGUUGUUCUUACCGAAAAUCAAAGGAAAAAGAAAGAUAUAAGCUUAUUUAGGGUUCGGCCCUUGUUCAUCUUGAUUAAAGUAUGAUUUUUUUACCGUUUUUGAUAAUUUCUACGUUUCUAUGAUCGUUGUUUCGUGUUCUUCAAAGCCCAUGUCUGAAUUUUUGUUUCUGUUAAAGAUUGCAUGAAAUGUCAUUGUUGAUAUCAUGAGUUUUGUGAUGUUUUUGAAUGAAUCAUAAAGGCUUGGUAGAUGAUUUAUAAGUUUUGUCUUUGAAUUUUGAUGAAACAGAGCUAUUUGGGUUAAUUUGUGAAAACGAGGUUUUGAAGGACUAAAUCAUGAAUUAAAUAUGUUGUAUGGGCUUAUAUAGAAGCCAUGAAAAUUCGGCUAGCCAUUUUUGCAAAGAAAUUUUGCAUAUUGUUGAUUUUGUGAAAAAUGGACUAAAUUGUCAAAGUGUGAAAAUGUAAGGGCUAAAAUGUAAAGUGCCCUAAAUAUGUGUAUAUGGGUUAAAUUGAAUGAAAUGAAUGAUUGAAUGGUUGAAUUUGUAUUGUAAUAGAUCAAGAACAAAGAAAAUCGGACUUAGAUCGGGGGAAGUCCAAAAUAGUUGAAUAGACGACUCGUUUUAUCCGAAAUCCGUCCGAGGUAAGUCAAAUUACAAUUACGUGUUAAUUGAAACAAAUUCUGCACAUAUAAACUGUAAUCUAUAUUGGAUGGCCUUGAGUGCCGAAUGAAUAUAUUUGGAGUAAAGUAUGAUAAUAUGUUAGUAUCUGAAAAGCUUUGUAUGUUUCUAAGAAAAGUUGACAUCUGUCUAAGACAUCGUGUAAGACCAUGUCUGAGACACAGGCCUCGAUUGAGAUUUACGUAUAAGACCAUGUCUGGGACAUCGACAUUGUAUCUGAUUUCGUGUAAGAUCCUGUCUAGGAUAGAGGCAUUGAUAUUGAAUUACAUGUAAGACCACGUCCGGGACGUCGGCAUUGUACUUGUUUAUGAGCAUCUGUAUCAUUUUUGACCUGUCUGAUGAUAGCGUAUGAAAUAUGAGGUUAAGUAUAUGAAUUGUAUAAGCUAUGCAGGUACGUUUGUAUCGUACUAAAUUUCUGAAUAUGAAAAACUCUGUCUCUGCGAAAUAUGUAUGGAAAUGAAGCAUGUCAUAUACGCAAACAAAUGAGCAUGGUUAAGUUUAUGAAUUAUUCUAUGAAAUGGUUAUGAAUCUAUAUGGUUGAAUUGUGCUUAUAUGCUUUAGUAGUUAGACCAAUUGUAUUUGGCUUACUAAGCUCUUUGUAGCUUACUCUAUGUGUUUACUGUCUGUUUUAUAGUUAUCGUAGCUACUGAAGGCUCAAGGAUAGUCGAGGAUCGUCACCACACUAUCAAUCUCAUUUUGGUACUUUAGAAAGUGUACAUAUUUUAAAGUAUGGCAUGUAUAGGCUAGAAGGUCUAUGUAUAUAAGUUUUGAUGUGUAUAUAUUAUGCCAUGGGAGUUUGGCUAGCAAAUGAAAUGUUGUAUAUAGUUUUGGUAUUCAGUUGAUAGUGCCAAAUGAUGUAUGGUUGUAGUGUUUUACGAGCUAAUAUGUUUUUGUUAUAAUGAAACAUGUUUUGAGCAUGGAAUUGGUUGGAAAUUUUGGUAUGAAUGUUGUAUAUUAUUGAUUGUAUGAUUGGACCCAAAAAGGGGCGGCAAAUUUGACUUAAACCAAGCCUGCUUGGUGCCAGAUGGUCAGGGGACACGGGCGUGCCUUGUGGUCAUGUAAGAAAAGUAGUAUUCUCCUAAGAACUACAUGGUCUUGACACACGGGCAUGUCAUAUGGUUGUGGGCUACUGUCAGUAGCUAGUUAAGUAUCACACGGCUAUAGCACACGGGCGUGCCAAUUGGCCGUGUGAAAAAGUCAGUAUUAGACCUAUUUUUGGCACAGCUGGUUCACAUGGGCGUGUCUAGUGCCUGUGUGUGACACACGACCUAGUCGCACGGGCGUGUGACUUUAACAGUUUGAAAGAAUUGAUAGAUCUGAAAAUUAUGAAUAGGUUCAGUUUAAUUCUAACCUUUCCUUUAAUGUAUGUUUUAGGUCUCGUAGACUAUACUUAGAGAUGAUUGCUUAUGAAAUGAUGUUAAAUAAUAUCUGUGAUUCUGAAAUGCUCUAAAAUAUUAUGUCUGUCUGGUAAUUCCUCGUAACCCUAAUCCGAUGUCAGUUACGGGUUAGGGGUGUUACAUGAACCCUAGUUAAAAAUAAGGGUAGAUAUGGGUAGAUCAUGCUACGGGGAAAUCAAAAAUGCAAAGAACAUUAAAAACGGGGCUUGGGAGCACUUACUAUUGAGCUUGGAAGUGACAAAACCCUAGCCAUGGUGUCCAUGGUGAUUUUCGACCAAGAAAGAAGAUGAUGGACAAGGUUUUUGCUUUAUUUUUCCCUUUUUAAUCUUUUAAUUACCAAAAAACCAAAAUGCCCUUUAGUCAUUCUUUCAAAUUUUACCAUUCCAAGCCCAUUUUUGUCCAAUUUUUUAGAACUUGGUCAAAUUACUAUUUAAGGACCUCUAAUUAAUAAUCCAUAUCAAUAUCAUGCCAAAUGUUUCUCGAUUCAAGUUUUAUAAAUUAUUCAAUUUAGUUCUUAAAGUCCAAUCGGGCGCUUUUCACAUAAAAUUUCUUCAUGAAAUUUUCACACAAGCAUACAAACAUAUCAUAGACCAUCAUAAUAUAAUUAUUUGUAUUUUUGAUUUGUGGUCUCGAAACCACUGUUCUGACUAGGCCAUAAUUCGGGAUGUUAGAACAUACUUUAGGAAAUAAGAACAAAAACAAUAGUGAAUGACUUUUAUUUCAAAUAAAAGUGCACACUCACCUUUAGUAAAAUAAAUGAUUUUAAAGUUUUAGGGAUAGUAAUAGUUGGCAGAAAAAGAAAGGGAUGAGAUUUUGUAAAACCACUAGCCCAUGUCCAAUCGCCGGUAUAGGCUAUGAGGUAUUACCAAGCUAAACAUUUAAUUUCAAACACAUAAUCUACCCACACAAGUAUAAAUCAAACUGAAUACAUACAAUUUUAUAAUUCAUAUACGUUGUCUAAUUAAUAUUUUCUCUAAUUCAUAUACGUUGUCUUACUUUCAUAAAAAAGUAAGAUAGAAAUAGUUUUAUUGGCACAAUAAAGAAAUACUUGAGUAAAGCAAUGCAAAUAGGGAGGUCUUAUGAGGUUCAAUGAGUUUGUUGGAUAGAGGUGUUUUCAUCCUCUGGUUUCAUGCGUUGAGUGAAGGAGCUAGCAACUAAUGUGCAUAUCUCAAACCCUUCAUGUCAUAUGGGGGACAGUUGGCCCAAUAACCAGCUCCAGAAGUGCAAACGUCUGGACUAAAAAUACUACAACUAAUGAGCUAAUUAAUAAAGUAGCAUGUCAACAAGUAUACGAGUUAAAUUGUAAUAUAGAAUAAUGUUACAACCAAACACUUCGGGAAUGAGGAUAGUGCCCAAAAGAGGUUGAAUUCAACUAAGACUAAUACUCUAUACUAGCCAAGCUAGUAGUAAUCGAAAAUUUUAUUAUGAAACUCCAAAUUAAUGGCAAUUAAUCAAAAUAAAAUAAAUUAACUAAAAUUAAAAACAAUAUAUUUUUAACAAUCAAAAUUGAAUUGAAUUAAGCAGGAACAAUAUUAAUUCAUUUCAGUGUUCCAAAUGAACUUCAGAACUCGAGUUUUAUCGAGUUAGCUAUUAAUUAACUAGCUAUUACCUCUCAUCCUCUAACUAAUUAACUAAUCGACCAAUACAUUCUUAUCUCUUGAUGUUAGUCGGUUUCGAGCAGAAGAUGUCUUGAAAUCAUGCUAUUUCAUCAAUUAACUCUUGAGCAUUCUCGUCCCUUUAUUCCUCUAUUUAUAUUGCGUUCAAUAAUUUUAUUAAUUGAAUUUUUGUGUAAAUAUUGGAAUAUAUUUUGUGCUUUAUCCUUAUUUUGAAUGAUUUUAUUGUGUCGUCAAUUAAUUGAUUAAGUAAAUAAUAACCUAAUAUUGAGCUUUUAUUCGAGAAUACUUAAUAUACAAGAAAGUGACACCCUAGUAGAAGAUUUGGAUAGGUGAGACUGAGAGAGUAUCCUGUUGAGUAGAACUAGUACCAAGCGGUGGGACCGAGAGAGUAUCUCUAUGCUAGGUGAACCCGAGAGGGCAUCUUAGGUGGUAAUUCUUGGUGAAGAUGAAACCGAGAGGGUAUUCUUAACUAAGGGUAGUAAAUAGUUAAUGGAAGGUUAUUGUUGACUUAAUUAAUAAUUUGGGAUAAAAUUGAUUCUUGGCUGAAAGGACUCACGUUGCGAAACAAGGAAUAGGAGAAACGAAUAGUUAACGUAAGGAUAGUUUUAGUUUUAGGAUAAAAUAAUUAUGUUAUGAACGAGAUAAUAAAUAAAAUAGAAGAAAUAAAAUAGAAGAAACAAGCAUACACAUAUGAUAGAACUACUAAUAAUAAAUAAAAUAGAAGAAAUAAUAAAAAUUAAAUUUAGCAUUAAGGAAAUAAUAAUAGUAAACUCUUAAAACUAAAACCUAAAUUUAACCCGGACAAAAUAGGAUUGCCACAUAUGUAACACCCCUUACACGUAUCCAAGGUCAGGAGAGGGUACGAGGCAUUACCAAACUUAAACAUAUGCUCACAUGGAAAACCAACCACUAAAUUACUUUCAAUUUAAAAUUAUUCAUACACUUGCACAGUGUCCCUUACACGGGCCUUCGAGGCCCCAAAAAUGCAUUGAAAGUAGUUAAGGACUAAACUGAGAACUUUAGAAGGUCUUGGGAAAACUUAGAAAAUUUUCCCAUGAAACAGGGUCUCACGCUCGUGAGGCCUCGACACAUCCAUGCACUAAGGCCGUGUAACUCUCUGUUUAUGACGUCAGUAAAACAAAUUGAACCAUAUGGAAAAACCACAUGCCCGUGUUCUAGGUCGUGUGUGGAAUUAUAUUCUUGCAAAAAUGCUACAAACUUCACACGCCCUACACACAUGCCCAUGUCUCCAGGCCAUGUCCUCCACACGGUUGAGAAAUAAAAACGUGUCUCUGCCCAUGUGGUCAUUGCUUAGGCUAUUUUCCAAGCCUCUUUUUACCCUUAAUCCCUCACAUACUUAAACACAUCAUAGGCACAUAAUAUAGCAUCAAUUUAAUGAUUAAACAUCCUUUAUUAAGACUCAAUUAUAGCAUUUGCAUAUCGUUAUACAUGUGUAUCACAUACUCAUAUUAUACCAAGUCUAAACACAUCAUUUCAUAUUCAUUUGACGACAUACUUAUCUAAGACAUUCUACAGCAAUUUCAUAUUCAAAGAAUUAUUGGUUUUUUCCAUAUCACAAUUUUACUCCAUAAUGAUGACCAUUUCGAUUUGGUCAUAAGGCAUUUAUGAUGCAUACAUACUAAAACACUAUCCAAUUAUAGCAAGCAAGCUUAAUCACAUAACUACAUCACAUGGCAUUAGCACAUAGCAUGGAUAAAUAGGCUUCCAAGCCAUAACUAAGAUAAGCCACAUCUCAUGGCUAUACACAAUGAAUCGAUAUAAGCCAACAUCUUUGGGCAAAUCAUGAAAACUCAUAUCAUAAUAACUAAGCCUCUAUACAUGCCACUCACUCAAAAACACUUAAGGUUUCUCAAUACCUUAAAGGUGAUAGCUUGAUAGUGUGAUGUUGCCUCCGACAAUCUCCAACCUCGAGCCAACAUGACAACACUAAAGAGAUGGAAAUGAGGGGAUAAGCUUUAAAGCUUAGUAAGCUCGUAUGAAAAUAACAAGCAUAUAUUUUCAUUUAUUUACUUAAAUGAAUAAUAUACUCACAACGUAGCAUAUAUCACGAGCAUAUCAUAGGUAUAGUUACAUACUUUCUAUUCAAAACUCUUAUCACACAUUUGGGUUCCCAAGUCAUAGAUUGUGAACUCAUAAUUUGCAUCAUACUUCAAGUUCUUUAUUUAUUCAAACAUAAUUCACCACAAGGACAUCAUGUAUCAUAAACAUAAUGUAAUCAUAUCAUUAGCAUAGUGUACAAUAAAGUCCUAUAAUCAUAAUUCAUUCAUUUGCAUCUGAACAUUACCAUAUGUCCGUCAAAUAUUAAGCUCAUUGCUCAGGAGUUUCGAGUACAUACCUGUACCCUUUCAACAUCAUCAUACCUUGUCAUUUCUUUCACAUAAUCUUUGGAUUACUUGUUGAACUUUUCUUUGGACUACCCGUUGAACACUCGAAAUACUAUCGGAUACAUUAGAAUCUUACACUAAAGUGCCUCAUAUGUAGCCAACGCUACCUCAUAUCACAUAUCACAUGUUGCUUACUUUCGAGCUACUCACGAGUCUACUCAAAAAGGUUGUCAGGUACCUGCAACACAUGCUGGACUAUCCAACCAUCGAUAGAAUAUACGAGAUCUGUUCUUGGAUGCUAAAACAUGUGUCACAUAUAUCAUGAACUCAGACCACAACUCAAUGAGUUCAGAUGCCACAUAUAUCAUGAACUCAGACCACAACUUAAUGAGUUCAGAUCGCAUAGUUCCUAGUGACAUGUCACUUGCAUCCUAAAAUAUUCCUAAGGUUCAAACGGGAUUUUCAUUGCUAUUGUUUCUCUGUCGAGCUUGCUCAUAAUAUCAUUCUGAAUGUCCAUAGUACUAAUCAUUUACUCAUGAUAACAAUAAGGCAUUUAAAAUUUCCAUGAUAUUAAGCGAUAGAACAUGACAUAACAUCACAUAUAAACUUCCAUUUCAUUUUCAAUAUAUAUUCAAUCAUCACAUAACACAUUAUCGACAUGUGGAAUAUCGAAUAUUUCAUGAAAUACGUUACUAUCUACAUAGCAUCAUAAACAUUUAAUUUAACAUAAUCAAAUUAAGAUACCAAUUUAGAUUCAAUCACAACAACGAUAAUAUUAUCGUAGGUACUUACUUGUUGAGUUCUCGUUGUGUACAUCCGUAUAACAAAUCAUUCCAUUUAUGAGAUAAUAGUAUAGCAUUACAAUUCAAGCAUGAUAUUGCAUUAUUUUUAUCACGCGAACUUACCUCGAAUGCAAGUACGACUAUUUAUUCCGAUUUAGUCCAUAAUAUCGUCCAUUCUCGAUCUAAGCCCGAAUCUUGUUUUCUUGAUCUAAAAUUUCAAAUAUAACUUAUUUAUUACUCACAUUUUUGAAAUCGACCCAAAAUUUAUACUUUGGAAAAUUUACCCUAAACUUUCACAUAUUUGCACUUUGGCUCCUAGGCUCAUAAAAUGAAAUGUGUUCAUUUUCUUUGCACUUUAAGCCUAGGCGAACAAUUUUUUACACUUAUAGCAGUCCACAUUUCUCUUUUAUUUCACAAAUCUACUACCCAUUUUAAAAAUUUUACAAUUUGGUCCUUUUUGAGCAUUUUCAUGCAAAAUCACAUAGUAAAAUAUGUUAAACACACAUCAAUCUUUCAUAUUAUUCCAUUAAACAUCAAAAUACUAACAUGUCAUGCAUUGGUCGAUUUUUAAACAUGAACCCUACUUAAAAAAAAAGGGUAGAUAUAGGUAGAUCAUGCUACGUGGACAUAAAAAAUGCAAAGAACAUUAAAAAUGGGGCUUGGGAGAACUUACUAUUGAGCUUGGAAGUGACAAAACCCUAUCCGUGAUGUCCAUGGUGAUUUUUGGCCAAGAAAGAAGAUGAUGGACAAGGUUUUUGCUUGAUUUUUCCCUUUUUAAUCGUUUAAUUUCCAAAUGACCAAAAUGUCCUUUUAGUCUUAUUACGAUUUAAGAACUAGAGCUUUGUCAAAUUUUUAGAACUUUAUCAAAUUACAAUUUAACACCAAAAUGUCCUUUUAAUUUGCCCUUUUUGUCCAAAUUUUUAGAACUUUGUCAAAUUGCGAUUUAAGGACCUAUAAUUAAUAAUCCAUAUCAAUAUCAUGCCAAAAUUUUCUCGAUUUAAGUUUUAUAAAUUAUUCAAUUUAGUUCAUAAAGUCCAAUCGGACGCUUUUCACAUAAAAUUUCUUCAUGAAAUUUUCACACAAACUUACAAACAAAUCAUAGACCAUCAAACCAUCAUAAUAUAAUUAUUUGUAUUUUUGAUUUGUGGUCUCGAAACCACUGUUCUGACUAGGCCAUAAUUCGGGAUGUUAAAACAUACCUUAGGAAAUAAGAACAAAAACAAUACUGAAUGACUUUUAUUAAAAAUAAAAUUGCACACUCACCUUUAGUAAAAUAAAUUGGUAGUUGAUAAAGAAAAGGGAUAUUUAACAUGUCAUUUUUUUUUAUCUAGUACUGCAUGUAUAAUUUUGGAAAUGGUGAAUAGCGUUAAAAGAGACCAGGGAAUUCUAUUAUGAGCUCACCAUCUUAUUUACUAAAAAUGUUUUAAAAAUGCUGAAAUAUUGUAUUUAUGGUUAAACAUUUUACUAAAUACACAACUAUGAUGAAUCUAUAUAAAACCCAAGCUUGUGAUUGGAAGAUAGUGUAAAGUUAUAAUUAAAUAAAGAAUUGUAUAUUUCUUGGAAGAAAAUGGGAAUGGAGAAGAGGAUCAUGGUGUUGUGGAUUUGUGAAAUGGUGAUAAGCUCAAUGGUGACGGAAGAGGGUGCAAAUACGACACCAAUUAGCUACCCAGGACUGGGAAAAAACCGUCAAGUUCCAUGCAAAAUUGGAGGCGGUAAUUGCCUCCCACCACCAUCCAACGAUUAUGACAGAGGAUGUUCACCCUUAAAAAGAUGUCGAAGUCAUCAUACAAUGCCCAUCUUUCAUUGACCACAACUAGAAAAUGCACUUCAUUAACUUCUCCCUUUUUUUUCUAUCAAAUUAUAUGAAAAAAAGAACAAUUAAUCAUUUCAUGUGUUUAUUCAUUCCUUAUUAUUGUAACCCAUGUAUUCCAGAAAUAUAUACUAUAACAAUGUUUUAAGAAUUCUAAGCAAAGGUCUUAUUAAUAUUUUCUUUAAUUCAUAUACGUUGUCUUACUUUCUUAUGAGGUUCAAUGAGUAUGUUUGAUUGAGGUAUCUUCAUCCUCUGGUUUUAUGCGUUGAGCGAAGGAGCUAGCAACUGAUGUGCAAAUCUCAAACCUUUCAUGUCAUAUUGGGGGCAGUUGGCUCAAUAACCGGCUCCAGAAGUGCGAACGUCUAGACUAAAAAUACUACAACUAAAGAGCUAAUUAAUAAAGUAGCAUGUCAACAAGUAUACGAGUUAAAUUGUAAUAUGGAAUAAUGUUACAACCAAACACUUCGGGAAUGAGGAUUGUAUCCAAGGGAGGUUGAAUUCAACCAAGACUAAUACUCUAUACUAGCCAGGCUAAAUAGUAGUAAUCGAAAAUUUUAUUAUGAGAAUCCAAAUUAAUGGUAAUUAUUCAAAAUAAAAUAAAUUAACUAAAAUUAAAGACAACCACUUUUUAACAAUCGAAGUUCAAUUCAAUUAAGCAAGAGCAAGAUAAAUUCAUUUCAAUGUUUCAAAUGAACUUCAGAACUCGAGUUUUAUUGAGUUAGCUAUUAAUUAACUAACUAUUACCUCUCAUCCUCUAACUAAUUAACUAAUCGACCAAUACAUGCUUAUCUCUCGAAGUUAGUCGAUUUUGAGCGGAGGAUGUCCUGAAAUCAUGCUAUUUCAUCAAUUAAUUCAUGAGCAUUCUCGUCCCUUUAUUCUUCUAUUUAUAUUGCGUUCAAUAAUUUUACUAAUUGAAUGUUUGUGUAAGUAUUGGAAUAUAUUUUGUGCUUUAUCCUUAUUUUGAAUGAUUUUAUUGUUUCGUCAAUUAAUUGAUUAAGUUAAUAAUUACCUAAUAUUAUGCUUUUCUUCGAGAAUACUUUAUAUACAAGGAAGUAACACCCUAGUCGAAGAUCAGGACAGGCUAGACCGAGAGGGUAUCCUAUUGAGUAGAACUCGUACCAAGUGGUGGGACCGAGAGAGUAUCUCUAUGCCCCGAUGAAACCGAGAGGGCAUCUUAGGCGGUAAUUCUUGGUGAAGAUGAAACUGAGAGGGUAUUCUUAACUAAGGGUAGUAAAUAGUUAAUGGAAGGUUGUUGUUGACUUAAUUAAUAAUUUGGGCUAAAAUUGAUUCGUGGCUGAAAGGACAAACGUUGUGAAACUAGGAAUAGGAGAAACGAAUAGUUAACUUAGGGAUAAUAUAAUUUUGUUAUUUUGUAAAAUUUUAUAUUCUAAAUACAUAAUUUCUACAAGCAUAGGCAUAUGAUAGAACUUCUAAUAAUAAAUAAAAUAUAAGAAAUAAUAAAAAUUAAAUUUAGCAAUAAGGAAAUAAUAAUAGUAAAUUUUUAAAACUAAAACCCAAAUUUAACCCAGACAAAAUAGGAUUGCCACAUAUGUAACACCCCUUACACGUAUCCAAGGUCGAGACAAGGUACGAGGCGUUACCGAACUUAAACAUAUUCUCACAUGCAAAACCAACCACUAAAUUUCUUUCAAUUUAAAAUUAUUCAUACACUUUCAUAAUGUCCCUUACAUGGGCCUUCGAGGCCCCAAACAUGCAUUUAAAGUAGUUAAGGACUAAACCGAGAACUUUAGAAGGUUUUGGGAAAACUUAGAAAUUUUUUUCCAUGAAAUAAGGUCUCACGCUCGUGAGGCCUCGACACGCCCGUGCACUAAGGUCGUGUAACUCUCUGUUUAUGACAUCAACAAAACAAAUUGAACCAUACGACCAAACCACAUGCACGUGUGCUAGGCCGUGUGACGAAUUAUAUUCUUGCAAAAAUGCUACAGACUUCACACGCCCUACAGACAUGCCCAUGUCUCCAGGCCAUGUCCUCCACACUGUUGAGGCAAAAAAAUUUUGUCUCUGCCCAUGUGGUCAUCGAUUAGGCUAUUUUUCAAGCCUUUUUUUACCCUUAAUCCCUCACAUACUUAAACCCAUCAUAGGCACAUAAUAUAGCAUCAAUAUAAUUAUUAAACAUCCUUUAUUAAGACUCAAUUACAGCAUUUGCAUAUUAUCAUACAUGUGUUUCACAUACUCAUAUUAUACAAGUCUAAACGCAUCAUUUCACAUUCAUUUGACGACAUACUUAUCUAAGACAUUCUACACCAAUUUCAUAUUCAAAGCAUUAUUGGUUUUUUUCCAUAUCACAAUUUUACUCCAUAAUUAUGACUAUUUCGAUUUGGUCAUAAGGCAUUUAUCACACAUACAUACUAAAACACUAUCCAAUUAUAGCAAGCAAGCUUAAUCACAUAACCACAUCACAGGGCAUUAACACAUAGCAUGGAUAAAUAGGCUUCCAAGCCAUAAAUAAUAUAAGCCACAUCUCAUGUCCAUACACAAUGAAUCAAUAUAAGCCAACAUCUUUGGGCAAAUCAUAAAACUUAUAUCAUAAUAACUAAGCCUCUAUACAUGCCACUCACUCGAAAACACUUAAGGUUUCUCAAUACCUUAAAGGUGAUAGCUUGAUAGUGUGAUGCUGCCUCCGACAAUCUCCAAACCGGAUCCAACAUGACAACACUAAAGAAAUAGAAAAGAGGGGAUAAGCUUUAAAGCUUAGUAAGCUCGUAUGAAAAUAACAAGCAUAUAUUUCAUUUCUUUACUUAAAUGAAUAAUAUACUCACAAUGUAGCAUAUAUCACGAGUAUAUCAUAGGUAUAGUUACAUACUUUCUAUUCAAAACUCUUAUCACACAUUUACAUUCCCAAGUCAUAGAUUUUGAACUCAUAAUUUGCAUCACACUUUAAGUUCUUUAUUCAUUCAAACAUAAUUCACCACAAGGUCAUCAUGUAUCUUUGAUGGGCGUCGAAUCCACCAAAAAUAAUUCUUACAAAAGAGCUCUAAUUAGUAGUAGAGUGGUAGUAGGGUUGGGUCCACAGGGAUAGGUACUCUAAUCAACUUUCAAGUUUGGCUUAUAAACAAAAUGUCGUGUCAAGUGUCGUGGCUAGAGUCGUGCCCAUGACUCAAAACGUACCAGCUGAAAAAUAAGAAAAUAAAUAAGUAAAGCUGGGGAUUUUGAAAUUGAUUAGAAAUUAAAUAAUCAAAACUACUAAGAUAAAUAAUUAAAUAACUCAGAAAUUAAAUUGGGAUUUGCAAUCAAAUGUAAUUAGCCUUAGCCUUAGACUCGAUAAAUUUCGUGUUGAGAAUCGAUCCUUGAAAAUUGAUCUUCUCCUUCAAACGAUAAGCUGGUUAUAGUGGUUGAGAACAUCCUAACCACUAAUUCUUCCUCUUGUAGCUGGUCCCGGUAUGACCUGCAAACCAACCCUUACCGAUUAUCUAACCGAGAUACACGUGUUCCUGAUUCAAGAUUCCGGCAGCCUUGUGUUCUGAUAAACCCAACUCGAAUUAACUGUCUCAACUGCGUGGGUCGUUUAAACCCGAUCACCUCUUCCUCGAUUUGUUCUCGAAAAUCCAAAUAUAGUACGGUCGAUUUGUUUCUCCAACUGUCAAAAAACACGACUCCAACCCAACGAGCUCUUUUUGACUUGAAAUCGAAUUAUCCUUAAGGGAUGAGUUGUCAAUCCCGAUACUUAGGAAAAAGGUGAAUACCGAUUGGAAGGAUUUUAGGCGCGAGUAUGAAUCUCAUGAUUCUUGACCGGAAAGAACACCGGCCUAAAGCUAAGAUGGAAUUUAGUUAAGCAUGAAAUUGUUCAUGCUUUUGAGUUUGGAAAGAAGAUUUAUGAUUAUGGUGAUGGAAAUUGGAAAGGAAAAACACUUGAAAGGCAAUUAGCCCAAUUUUUUUUAAAAAAAAAACCAAGUGAAAAAGUGGCAGAAUGCUAAACUCCAAUUUGAAAAGGGAAAAAGAGAGUAUUUCUAUUCCAAAUAGAAGUAGGAAUACAAAGACAAUAGAUGAUUUUCUAAGAACAAAAAGCCGCUAUUUAUAUACAUAGGGUUUAUGUAACACCCCGAACCCGAGACCGUCACCGGAGUCGAACACGAGGUGUUAACAGACUUUAAAAAUUUUCCAGACACUGCCAAUCUGCGUAAUAGUCGCUUUAAAAAUCAUAUCUUGAGUUCAGAAACUCGGAAUCCAGUUCUGUAAAUUUUCCCUGAAACUAGACUCAUAUGCCCACCUACAUAUUUUUUUCUAGAAUUUUUGGUUGGGCCAAUUAGUACAGUUUAUUAGUCAAAGUCUCCCAUGUUACAGGGAUCGACUACCCUGACCUUUGCGCAUUACGACUUGGAUAUCUCCUUGUACAGGGCUCCAAUACUGAUGCCGUUUGUUUCUAGAGAAAAUAGACUCAGACGGGAAUCUAUAAAUAUAUGGCUUGACUCCUAAUUGUCUCUGGUUAAUUUGAAAUGAAUUUCCAAAGUCGGAACAAGAAAUCCAGAAACCGUUCUGACCCUGUCUCACGAGAACCUGAAUAUCUCUUAACAUACUGUCCAUAUGAUUGUUUCGUUACUUUCCUAUGAAAAUAGAUUCAUCAAGGUUCGUUUACAUAAUUUAUUCACUAUUUAAUUCCAUUCCUACUAUUUUUAGUGAUUUUCCAAAUCUACCUCACUGCUGCUGUCAGCAUCUGCCUUUAAGGUAGACUUUACCUAUUUCAUGGUUUCCAUGAUUCAACUAGCCCUUUUUGCAUAAAUAGCACAAUUUAUGAAAGUGAUUAACCAUUCCCAUGGCCAAUCCUUGUCAAGCAUAUCCACACCAAAUGAUUAUAACAUUAUACUCAAACACAUAUAAGCCAUUUUCGCAUGGCUAUCCAAAAUUAUACAAGUCCAAAGGGUCCACGACCCACAACAAACGGGUAGUCCUAUACAUGCCAUUUCGAAGUUCAACCAAAAUUGUACCAAAAAGGGGGCUUUGAUAGUGUGGGCGACUUUGACUUCAAGAUCCCGAGUCCGAUAGCUGGAGAACCAAUCUAUAAAACAGAGGAGCAAUGAAACGGAGUAAGCAAUUUAUGCUUAGUAAGUUUUGAGCAAGGAAUUCCAGCACAACAAAAGUAUAGCAUUCAUAUAUCUAAACGGAUAAUUUCAUAUGCACAAAUUUUCGAUAUCAUACUUGCUUCACAUUACCAACCCUUAUGUACAUACACAAAAGAUCAACUCAGCCAAAGGCCGGUAGCUCGUUUAUCAACUGAGCGAAUACUUAUUUGUAAGGGCUCAACUAAAUUCAAGCACAUAUGAAACAUACCUCAAUGUUGGGAUGUUUCUAGAGCAUUAACUGAAAUUUUUACAGCAAGAUCAUUCAUUCCCAAAUCACGUACCUUCGGAAUUUAACUGGAUAUAGCUCCUCGUUCAAAUGCCUUCGGGACAUAGCUCGAUUAUAGUAACUCGCACAAAUGCCUUCGGGACUUAACCCGGAUUUAGUAACUCGCACCAAUGCCUUCGGGCUUAGCCCGGAAUUAGUAUCUCGCACAAAUGCCUUCGGAUCUUAGUUCGGAUAUGGUCACUUAGCACAAAGCCUUCGGGACUUAGCCCGGACAUCAUUCAAAUAACCAUGCACAUUUAACAAUAAAUCAUGGCACAUUCGUAUUUCAUUUUCGUUAGCAAAACUCAAACACAAGACACUUAUCAUUCUUGUAAUUUCGGUUCAAUAGCCACACACAAAGAGCAUGAUUUUGAUUUGCUUAAAACAUGAUCUAAUCAAAUCAUAAUUUAAGCUCUCUUACUCAAGAACUUACCCCGGGUGUUGUCGAACGAUUCCGAUAGCUAUUCGACCACUUUUUCCUUCCCUUUAUCGGAUUUAUUUCCCCUUUGCUCUUGAGCUUAAUUAAACAAAUAAAUUGAUUUAAUCAUUUGAGCAUCGAAAAGAGGAACACAAGGCACUUAGCCCAUAUUUAUACAUUAGACAUUAAAGUCACAUAUGUACGGAAUCAUGAAUCAAACUCAACAUUUUAGCUAAUUUUUCCCCCUUGGCCGAAUAUGCAUGUCUAUUUUGGGGCCGAUUUCAACACUUAAUACAUUCUACAUGUAUGGUCACUUGUAUUGACUAAACACCCUUUUGUCUCAAGUUCAAAACUUGGCUAAUACACACAUAUAUACACUAGUAAAGCAUCCUCCCCCUUUCCAUCAAUUUAACACAUGCAUUACUCAUUAAUAUACAAAAAUUAUAUUCGGCCUUAGCACACAACUUGCUAGCCGAUUCUUCUCCAUUUAGCAACCAAUGCACAUAUGUGCUCACUCAAAAAUGCUAAAAAGAAGAUUCAAGAAUCAUCAAUCCACCAUCACAUGUAUCAUUACAAAGCUUUACACUUAGCAUGCAAAUGACAUCAACACAAAUCCACCUUAGCCGAAACUUAACUCAUCUUCAUGCCUCAUCACCACAACAUCAAACAUCAACCAAGAAUGAUGCAUCCAUGGCCGAGUGUUAUUUCCAUCACAUAGCAAGAUUUAGACCAUGGGCUAGGUAGAACUCAAGCUAACAACUAAAAUAUGCAUGCAUCUCAUGGAACAUCACCAAACAUACCUUAGCCUAGUCACAUGCAUGGCCGAACCUCUUCAACCUUUCUUCUUCCUUCCUCCUUAAAAUUUUUGGCCAAAGAUGAACCAAAGGAUGAGCACUUUUUUUUGUUUUUCUUUCUAGUUUCGGCUAAAUGGGGGGACAACCACACACUUUUUUUUGUUUUCAUCACAUUUCCUUUCAUUAUUAUGCCCAUGCUCCUUAUUUUAUUUUUUUUUCCACCCAUGAUGCACCAACAAGACAUGUCUAUGACAUGUCUUGCCCAUCACACUUGGUCUACCAUGCUUGUCAUGGCCGGCCACUACUAAUAGGGGGGAAUUUGACAUGAAAGUCCCCCCUUUUUCCACAUGCACUAAUAGGUCCUUACGCAUUGACCUAUCACAUUUUAAAAUUUUCUCACAUAAGUCCUAUUUGAUGAAAUUCACUUACAAUUAACAAAAUUCAAACACGAAAUUUUCACACAUGCACAUGUACAUAUAAUGAGCAUCAAUUAUGACGGUUAAUUAUUUUUACGACUCGGUUUAGCGGUCCCGAAACCACUUCCCGACUAGGGUCAAUUUUGGGCUGUCACAACUCUCCCCCACUUAAGAAAUUUUCGUCCCCGAAAAACUUACCGGUAAAUAGGUUUGGGUAUCGUUCUUUCAUCGAGCUCUCGGUUUCCCAAGUAGUUUCCUCGAUCCCGUGUUUGAGCCAUAACACCUUCACUAACGGAACCCUUUUGUUUCGCAACUCCUUUACUUCACGAGCUAGGAUACGCAUCGGUUCUUCUUCAUAACUCAUAUCGGCUUGAAUUUCAACCUCUGAUGGGCUAAUUAUGUGCGAUGGAUCAGAUCGAUAGCGUCAAAGCAUCGAAACAUGAAAGACAUCGUGAAUCUUUUCAAGCUCAGGGGGCAAAAUCAAUCUAUACGCAACUGGACCAACUCGUUCGGAGAUUUCGUACGGCCCAAUGAAUCUCGGGCUCAACUUGCCCUUACUGCCAAACCUGAGUACCUUUUUCCAAGGCGAAACUUUAAGGAACACUUUAUCUCCCACCUGAUAUUCAAUGUCCUUUCGUUUCAAAUCCGCAUACGAUUUCUGACGAUCUGUGGCUACCUUCAGACUUUCACGGAUUACCUUUACUUUCUGUUCGGCAUCUUUAAUCAAAUCAACUCCGAAAAUUUUGCUUUCACCGAGCUCGGUCCAAAACAAUGGUGUACGGCAUUUACAACCGUACAAAGCCUCGUAAGGUGCCAUCUUAAUACUUGAUUGAAAACUAUUGUUGUAAGCGAAUUCAAUCAAAGGUAAAUACCGUUCCCAUGAACUACUGAACUCGAGGAUGCAACAUCUCAACAUAUCCUCAAGUAUCUGAAUUAUCCGCUCAGAUUGACCAUUGGUUUGGGGAUGAAAAGCAGUGCUAAAAUGCAGCUUGGUACCCAAAGCUUCUUGCAAUUUCCUCCAAAAUCGCGAGGUGAAUCUCGGAUCUCUAUCCGACACGAUAGAAAUAGGUACCCCGUGUAAUCUCACAAUCUGAGAAACAUACAAUUCGGCUAGUUUAUCCAAUGAAAAAUCUGUACGCACGGGGAUAAUGUGAGCCGACUUAGUCAGUCUAUCAACAACAACCCAAAUCGCAUCCUUCUUACUUGUUGACAAUGGCAGUCCGGACACAAAGUCCAUUGUGACUCGAUCCCAUUUCCACUCGGGUAUCAUGAUCGGCUGAAGUAAUCCUGAAGGCACUUGAUGUUCCGCUUUCACUUGUUGACAUAUUAAACAUCUCGAAACAAAGUCGGAGAUGUCUCGUUUCAUACCAUGCCACCAAAACCAACGUUUCAAAUCGUUGUACAUUUUCGUACUCCCCGGGUGAAUUGACAUUCGGCUACAAUGGGCUUCGUUCAGAAUCAUCGAAAUGAGUUCCGAAUUCCUUGGAACACACAAACGACUUCUGAACCUCAAACAAUCAUCAUCAUCAAUUUGAAACUCCGAUUCCUUGUUCGGAACACACUCAGCCCGUUUUGCAACCAAUUCAUCAUCAACUUUAUGAGCUUCACGAAUUUGAUGAAUCAAUAAUGGUUUGGCUUUUAAUUCAGCUACUAACACAUUGUCGGGUAGAACAGACAAGUGCACAUUCAUCGCUCCUAAAGCAAACAAUGAUUUCCGGCUUAAGGCGUCCGCAACCACAUUAGCCUUUCCCGGGUGGUAAUCAAUGACAAGCUCGUAAUCUUUCAACAACUCAAGCCAACGUCUUUGUCAAAGAUUCAAGUCUCGCUGAGUCAUCAAAUAUUUGAGACUUUUGUGAUCCGAAAAUACAUGGCACUUCUCACCAAACAGAUAAUGUCGCCAUAUUUUCAAAGCAAAUACGAUGGCAGCUAGUUCAAGAUCAUGGGUCGGAUAAUUUUUCUCAUGUGGCUUUAAUUGUCUCGACGCAUAGGCCACCACUCGACCUUCUUGCAUCAAUACGCAACCCAACCCAAGUAGGGAUGCGUCACUAUAAAUGACAAACUCUUUGCCUGAUUCGGGUUGCACUAAAAUUGGAGCUUCAGUCAAAUAAGUUUUCAGUUGAUCGAAACUUUUCUGACAUUUCUCCGUCCAUUCGAACUUAACAUCCUUUUGAAGUAGCUUCAUCAUUGGUGUGGCUAUCAUCGAGAAACCUUUUACAAAUCGUCGGUAAUAACUGGCGAGCCCCAAGAAGCUCUGAACUUCGGUAAUAUUUCUUGGAGGCUUCCAGUUAAGUAUGGCUGAAAUUUUGCUCGGGUCAACUCGAAUACCCGAUGCGGAUACCACAUGACCCAAGAAGCUAACCUCUCUUAACCAGAACUCACACUUACUGAACUUAGCAUAUAACUGCUUCUCCCGCAAAAUUUGCAACACUAGUCUCAGGUGCUCAGCAUGUUCGGUCUCAUCUCUUGAAUAGACCAAGAUGUCAUCAAUGAACACAACUACGAGCCGAUCCAAAUAUGGUCUGAAGAUCCGAUUCAUCAAAUCCAUAAAUACCGCAGGGGCAUUAGUGAGCCCAAACGGCAUCACUAAGAACUUGUAGUGACCAUAUCUCGUUCUGAAGGCAGUUUUGGGUAUGUCCGAAUCUCGAAUUCGCAACUGAUAAUAGCCCGAUCUCAAAUCUAUUUUUGAGAACACUGAGGCUCCCUUCAGUUGGUCGAACAAAUCAUCGAUACGCGGUAACGGAUAUUUGUUCUUUAUCGUCACUUUAUUCAGUUGACGAUAGUCAAUGCACAACCUCAUGGUUCCGUCCUUCUUUUUCACGAACAAUACUGGUGCACCCCAAGGUGAGAAACUUGGUCGAGCAAAACCUCUAUCCGUCAAUUCUUGCAACUGAGCUUUCAACUUUUUUAACUCGGUUGGUGCCAUACGAUACGGAGCCAUCGAAAUCAGCGUAGUCCCAGGUACAAGCUCAAUACCAAACUCUAUCUCCCGAACAGGUGGUAAACCCGGUAAUUCUUCAGGAAAAACAUUCGGGUAUUCACAAACCACCGGCACAGAUUCAGGUUUCUUUUCUAAUUCUUUGUCAUCAAGUACAUACGCAAGGUAUGCUUCGCACCCUUUUCUUACAUAUUUCUGGGCCAACAUUGAGGAUAUUACAGCUGGCAACCCAUCCAAGUCCGUAGACUCAACUCGGAUUACUUCGUUAUUUGCGCACCUCAAAUCAAUAGUCUUGCUUUUGCAGUUCACAACUGCAUCAUGCGCGGUCAGCCAAUCCAAACCAAGAAUAACAUCAAAUUCAUCAAAUGGCAAAAGCAUCAAGUCCGCCGGAAAACAGGAACCUCGAAUUAUUAGGGGACAUUCCUUACACACUUUGUCGACAAGCACGUAACGACCCAAGGGGUUUGACACCCGAAUUACGAACUCAGUAGACUCAAUAAGUAAAGUCUUACUGGAUGCUAAGGUUUCACAUAUGUAAGAAUGAGUAGAACCGGGGUCAAUCAAAGCAAUUACAUUAGUAUCAAAGAGAGUAAAAGUACCGGUAAUAACAUCAGGCGAAGAAGCAUCCUCGCGGGCACGUAUAGCAUAAGCUCUAGCAAGUGCACGAGCCUCGGAGCUGGUCGUAGCAUCUCUAGAUCCUCUCUGACCACCACCAGCAUUGCCCGUAUUUCCAGAUGGUCUACCUCGAGCAGUGGUAGCACCCGGUUUCCCACUCUGAUUUACAUUCUGUUCAGACAACCUCGGGCAAUCUUUAAUGAAGUGGUCAACUGAUCCGCACUUGUAACAGGAGCGGUCAGGGAAUCUACAACUCCCCGAAUUCCAUUUACCGCAAUAUCGACAUUUCGUUCUGUCUCGACGUUCAUUCCCAACACUGGCGACCGAAGUGCCUCGUGUACCCACAGGGGGUCGAUCACGAUCUCGUUUAAAAAGGCCCGAAGUGCCUCUAAACUGGCCCGCAUCAUCUCAAAAUUUCUUCGAUGCCUGUUGAAGAGACUUUCCCGAGGAUCUUUUACGAAAAUCUCCAGUUCCCUCAUCAACUUUUUGUUUUUCUUUUCUAAGCUCUUCGGCUUUACAAGCUCGCUCGACAAGUACUACGAACUCUCGUAUUUCAAGAACGCCAACGAACAUUUUUAUAUCUUCAUUCAGCCCAUCCUCGAAGCGUUUACACAUAAUAGCCUCGAACGAAACACAUUCCCGAGCAUAUCUACUAAGUCUAACAAAUUUUCGCUCGUAAUCAGUAAUUGACAUGGAACCUUGCUUAAGCUCAAGAAAUUCCUUCCGUUUUUGAUCAACAAAUCUCUGACUGAUAUACUUUUUCCGAAACUCAGUUUGGAAAAACUCCCAAGUUACUUACUCUCGGGGCACAACAGAAGUCAGAGUACUCCACCAAUAGUAGGCAGAAUCGCGUAGCAAGGAGAUAGUACACUUUAGGCAUUCAUCGGGUGUACAAGAUAGCUCAUCGAGUACCCGGAUAGUGUUGUCGAACCAAAAUUCAGCUUGCUCGGCAUCGUCGCUAUCCGUAGCCUUAAAUUCAGUAGCCCCAUGUUUUCGGAUUCUGUCAACUGGGGGCUUAUUUGACCUUAUUUGGUCAGUUAUCGGAGGUAUUGUAGGUGCGGGGGUGGUAUUAGUCGGGAAUGGAGGUUGUGGAACAGCCGUAUUAGUUCGAAUGUAUUGGUUGAACCAAUCAUUCAUCACGCUAUAGAAAGCUUGUCUAGCUUCAUCAUUCGGGUUACUAGCAUUAGGUUGAGAGUCCGCCGGCGCUGUCCCUUGUGUGGUAGCAGGCGCUACACUCUCAAGAUCAUCAGCUACCUCUCGGUCGGGAUCGGGAUCCAUUACUAUAAAUAAACACAUUUGCAAAUGUCAGAAAUCACCACACUAUCAAAUAAUCACAUAAAAUGGCAUGUAUAGCUAGACACAACGCAUUACGGUAGUCCUAGAAUCGACUAAACCGUAGCUCUGAUACCAAUCAAAUGUAACACCCCGAACCCGAGACCGUCACCGGAGUCGAACACGAGGUGUUAACAGACUUUAAAAAUUUUCCAGACACUGCCAAUCUGCAUAAUUGUCGCUUUAAAAAUCAUAUCUUGAGUUCAGAAACUCGGAAUCCAGUUCCGUAAAUUUUCCCUGAAACUAGACUCAUAUGCCCAUCUACAUAUUUUUUUUCUAGAAUUUUUGGUUGGGCCAAUUAGUACAGUUUAUUAGUCAAAGUCUCCCAUGUUACAGGGAUCGACUACCCUGACCUUUGAGCAUUACGACUUGGAUAUCUCCUUGUACAGGGCUCCAAUACUGAUGUCGUUUGUUUCUAGAGAAACUAGACUCAGAGGGGAAUCUAUACAUAUAUGGCUUGACUCCUAAUUGUCUCUGGUUAAUUUGAAAUGAAUUUCCAAAGCCGGAACAGGAAAUCCAGAAACCGUUCUGGCCCUGUCUCACGAGAACCUGAAUAUCUCUUAACAUACUGUCCGUAUGAUUGUUUCGUUACUUUCCUAUGAAAAUAGAUUCAUCAAGGUUCGUUUACAUAAUUUAUUCACUAUUUAAUUCCAUUCCUACUAUUUUUAGUGAUUUUCCAAAUCUACCUCACUGCUGCUGUCAGCAUCUGCCUUUAAGGUAGACUUUACCUAUUUCAUGGUUUCCAUGAUUCAACUAGCCCUUUUUGCAUAAAUAGCACAAUUUAUGAAAGUGAUUAACCAUUCCCAUGGCCAAUCCUUGUCAAGCAUAUCCACACCAAAUGAUUAUAACAUUAUACUCAAACACAUAUAAGCCAUUUUCGCAUGGCUAUCCAAAAUUAUACAAGUCCAAAGGGUCCACGACCCACAACAAACGGGUAGUCCUAUACAUGCCAUUUCGAAGUUCAACCAAAAUUGUACCAAAAAGGGGGCUUUGAUAGUGUGGGCGACUUUGACUUCAAGAUCCCGAGUCCGAUAGCUGGAGAACCAAUCUAUAAAACAGAGGAGCAAUGAAACGGAGUAAGCAAUUUAUGCUUAGUAAGUUUUGAGCAAGGAAUUCCAGCACAACAAAAGUAUAGCAUUCAUAUAGCUAAACGGAUAAUUUCAUAUGCAAAAAUUUUCGAUAUCAUACUUGCUUCACAUUACCAACCCUUAUGUACAUACACAAAAGAUCAACUCAGCCAAAGGCCGGUAGCUCGUUUAUCAACUGAGCGAAUACUUAUUUGUAAGGGCUCAACUAAAUUCAAGCACAUAUGAAACAUACCUCAAUGUUGGGAUGUUUCUAGAGCAUUAACUGAAAUUUUUACAGCAAGAUCAUUCAUUCCCAAAUCACGUACCUUCGGAAUUCAACCGGAUAUAGCUCCUCGUUCAAAUGCCUUCGGGACAUAGCCCGAUUAUAGUAACUCGCACAAAUGCCUUCGGGACUUAACCCGGAUUUAGUAACUCGCACCAAUGCCUUCGGGCUUAGCCCGGAAUUAGUAUCUCGCACAAAUGCCUUCGGAUCUUAGUCCGGAUAUGGUCACUUAGCACAAAGCCUUCGGGACUUAGCCCGGACAUCAUUCAAAUAACCAUGCACAUUUAACAAUAAAUCAUGGCACAUUCGUAUUUCAUUUUCGUUAGCAAAACUCAAACACAAGACACUUAUCAUUCUUGUAAUUUCGGCUCAAUAGCCACACACAAAGAGCAUGAUUUUGAUUUGCUUAAAACAUGAUCUAAUCAAAUCAUAAUUUAAGCUCUCUUACUCAAGAACUUACCUCGGGUGUUGUCGAACGAUUCCGAUAGCUAUUCGACCACUUUUUCCUUCCCUUUAUCGGAUUUAUUUCCCCUUUGCUCUUGAGCUUAAUUAAACAAAUAAAUUGAUUUAAUCAUUUGAGCAUCGAAAAGAGGAACACAAGGCACUUAGCCCAUAUUUAUACAUUAGACAUUAAAGUCACAUAUGUACGGAAUCAUGAAUCAAACUCAACAUUUUAGCUAAUUUUUCCCCCUUGGCCGAAUAUGCAUGUCUAUUUUGGGGCCGAUUUCAACACUUAAUACAUUCUACAAGUAUGGUCACUUGUAUUGACUAAACACCCUUUUGUCUCAAGUUCAAAACUUGGCUAAUACACACAUAUAUACACUAGUAAAGCAUCCUCCCCCUUUCCAUCAAUUUAACACAUGCAUUACUCAUUAAUAUACAAAAAUUAUAUUCGGCCUUAGCACACAACUUGCUAGCUUAUUCUUCUCCAUUUAGCAACCAAUGCACAUAUGUGCUCACUCAAAAAUGCUAAAAAGAAGAUUCAAGAAUCAUCAAUCCACCAUCACAUGUAUCAUUACAAAGCUUUACACUUAGCAUGCAAAUGACAUCAACACAAAUCCACCUUAGCCGAAACUUAACUCAUCUUCAUGCCUCAUCACCACAACAUCAAACAUCAACCAAGAAUGAUGCAUCCAUGGCCGAGUGUUAUUUCCAUCACAUAGCAAGAUUUAGACCAUGGGCUAGGUAGAACUCAAGCUAACAACUAAAAUAUGCAUGCAUCUCAUGGAACAUCACCAAACAUACCUUAGCCUAGUCACAUGCAUGGCCGAACCUCUUCAACCUUUCUUCUUCCUUCCUCCUUAAAAUUUUUGGCCAAAGAUGAACCAAAGGAUGAGCACUUUUUUUUUUGUUUUUCUUUCUAGUUUCGGCUAAAUGGGGGGACAACCACACACUUUUUUUUGUUUUCAUCACAUUUCCUUUCAUUAUUAUGCCCAUGCUCCUUAUUUUAUUUUUUUUUCCACCCAUGAUGCACCAACAAGACAUGUCUAUGACAUGUCUUGCCCAUCACACUUGGUCUACCAUGCUUGUCAUGGCCGACCACUACUAAUAGGGGGGGAAUUUGACAUGCAAGUCCCCCCUUUUUCCACAUGCACUAAUAGGUCCUUACGCAUUGACCUAUCACAUUUUAAAAUUUUCUCACAUAAGUCCUAUUUGAUGAAAUUCACUUACAAUUAACAAAAUUCAAACACGAAAUUUUCACACAUGCACAUGUACAUAUAAUGAGCAUCAAUUAUGACGGUUAAUUAUUUUUACGACUCGGUUUAGCGGUCCCGAAACCACUUCCCGACUAGGGUCAAUUUUGGGCUGUCACAGUUUACUAAAAAUAGGCUAAAGCAAAAAAAAAAAAUAAUAUCUUCUAUUUUUAGGUUUUUAAAAAGUCAAAAUUGAUGUUAAAUCCUUGGCUUUCCCAUCUUUAUGAUUUGACCUCAACUCAACAAUCUGUCUUUCAAUUUGACCCAUUUUUGCUCGUCUUUGACCAAUUGCAUCCCUGACAAGAUUAAUCCAUAACAAUACCAAUUAAGCAGGGAUUAAUUCAAAAAUAAGCCAAAUUAAACACAAGAAUCAUGUAAAUUAACAUAUUUAUCAAUCUUAAACAUAAUGUAGUCAUAUCAUUAGCAUAGUGUACAAUAAAGUCCUAUAAUCAUAAUUCAUUCAUUUGCAUCUCAGAGUUACCAUAUGUCCGUCAAAUAAUAAGCUCAUUGCUCAAGAGUUUCAAGUACAUACCUGUACCCUUUCAACAUGAUCAUACCUUGUCAUUUCUUUCACAUAAUCUUUGGAUUACUUGUUGAACUUUUCUUUGGACUACCCGUUGAACACUCGGAAUACUAUCUGAUACAUUAGAAUCUUGAACUGGAGUGCCUUAUAUGUAGCCAACGCUACCUCAUAUCACAUAUCACGUAUCACAUGUUGCUUGCUUUCGAGCUACUUACGGGUCUACUCACAAAGGCUGUCAGGUACCCGCAACAAUUGUCGGACUACCCAGCCUAGCCAUCGGUAGAAUAUACGAGACCAGUACUCGGAUGCCAAAACAUGUGUCACAUAUAUCAUGAACUCAGACCAUGACUCAAUGAGUUCAGAUGCCACAUAUAUCAUGAACUCAGACCACAACUUAAUGAGUUCAGAUCGCAUAAUUCCUAGUGACAUGUCACUUGUAUCCUAAAUUAUCCUUAAGGUUCAAACGGGAUAUUCGUUGCUAUCGUUUCUCUGUCAAACUUGCUCAUAAUAUCAUUCUCAAUGUCCAUAGUACUAAUCACUACUCAUGAUAACAAUAAGGCAUUUAAAAUUUUCAUGAUAUUAAGCGAUAGAACAUGACAUAACAUCACAUAUAAACUUCCAUUUCAUUUUCAAUAUAUAUUCAAUCAUCACAUAACACAUUAUCAACAUGUGGACUAUCAAAUAUUUCAUGGAUUACGCUACUAUCAACAUAGCAUCAUAAACAUUUAAUUUAACAUAAUCAAAUUAACAUACCAAUUUAGAUUCAAUCACAACAACGAUAAUAUUGUUGCAGGUACUUAUUUGUCGAGUUCUCGUCGUGUACAUCCAUAUAACAAAUCAUUCCAUUUAUGAAAUAAUAAUAUAGCUUUACAAUUCAAGCAUGAUAUUGCAUUAUUUUUUCAUGGGAACUUACCUCGAAUCCCAGUACGGCUAUAAAUUCCAAUUUAGUCCAUAAUCUCGUUCAUUCCCGAUCUAAGCCCGAAUCUUGUUUUCUUGAUCUAAAAUUUCAAAUAUAACUUAUUUAUUACUCACAUUUUUUAAAUCAACCCAAAAUUUAUACCUUGGAAAAUUUACAAUUUUGCCCCUAAGCUUUCACAUAUUUUCACUUUGGCCCCUCGGCUCGUAAAAUGAAAUGUGUUCAUUUCCUUUGCACUUUAAGCCUAGCCGAACCAUUUUUUCCACUUAUAGUAGUCCAAAUUUCUCUUUUAUUUCACAAAUCUACUACCCAUUUUAUAACUUUUGCAAUUUGGUCCUUUUUGAGCAUUUUCAUGCAAAAUCACAUAGUAAAAUAUGUUAAACACGCAUCAAUCUUUCAUGUUAUUCCAUUAAAAUCAAAAUACUAACAUGUCAUGCGUGGGUCAAUUGUUAAACAUGAACCUUACUAAAAAAUAAGGGUAGAUAUGGCUAGAUCAUGCUACGAGGACAUCAAAAAUGCAAAGAACAUUAAAAACGGGGCUUGGGAGCACUUACUAUUGAGCUUGGAAGUGACAAAACCUUAGCUAUGGUGUCCAUGGUGAUUUUCGGCCAAGCAAGAAGAAGAUGGACAUUUUGCUUGAUUUUUCCAUUUUUAAUAUUUUAAUUACCAAAUGACCAAAAUGUCUUUUUAGUCAUUCUUUCAAAUUUUACCAUUCCAAGUCCAUUUUUGUCCAAAUUUUUAGAACUUGGUCAAAUUACUAUUUAAGGACCUAUAAUUAAUAAUCCUUAUCAAUAUCUUGCCAAAAUUUUCUCGGUUCAAGUUUUAUAAAUUAUUCAAUUUAGUUUUUAAAGUCCAAUCGGGUGCUUUUCACAUAAAAUUUCUUCAUGAAAUUUUCGUUCAAGCAUACAAACAUAUCAUAGACCAUCAAACCAUCAUAAUAUAAUUAUUUGUAUUUUGGAUUUGUGGUCUCAAAACCACUGUUCUGACUAGGCCAUAUUUCGAGAUGUUAGAACAUACUUUAGGAAAUAAGAACAAAAACAAUAGUGAAUGACUUUUAUUUCAAAUAAAAUUGCACAGUCACCUUUAGUAAAAUAAAUGAUUUUAAAGUUUUAGGGGAUAGCAAUAGUUGGCAAAAAAAGAAAGGGAUGAGAUUUCCUUUAUAUUUUCAUUUAGAAAUAUUACACAAAUUGGUAGUUGAUAAAGAAAAGGGAGAUUUAGCACGUCAUUUUUUUUAUCUCGUACUGCAUGUAUAAUUUUGGAAAUGACGAAUAGCGUUAAAAGAGACUAGGGAAUUCUGUUAUGAGCUCAUCAUCUUAUUUACUAAAAAUGUUUUAAAAAUGCUGAAAUAUUGUAUUUAUCGUUAAACAUUUUACUAAAUACACAACUAUCAUGAAUCUAUAUAAAACCCAAACUUGUGAUUGGAAGAUAGUGCAAAGUUUUAAUUAAAUAAAGAAUUGUAUAUUUCUUGGAAGAAAAUAGGAAUGGAGAAGAGGAUCAUGGUGUUGUGGAUUUGUUCAAUGGUGAUAAGCUCAAUGGUGAUGGAAGAGGGUGCAAAUGCGACACCAAUUAGCUACCCAGGACUGGGAAAAAACCGUCAAGUUCCAUGCAAAAUUGGAGGCGGUAAUUGCCUCCCACCACCAUCCAACGAUUAUGACAGAGGAUGUUUACCCCAAAAAAGAUGUCGAAGUCAUCAUACAAUGCCCAUCUUUCAUUGACCACAACUAGAAAAUGCACUUCAUUAACUUCUCUCUUUUUUUUUUGCUAUCAAAUUAUAUGAAAAAAAAAGAACAAUUAAUCAUUUCAUAUGUUUAUUCAUUCCUUAUUAUUGUAACCC